GUUCACUAACACAGAUUUAGACAAAUUUGUUAACAGUAUUUGAGAGAAAUAGGUUUUCUUUUAUGUACAUAGAAAAAGUCUUUGAUCUUUAAGUUUAGCACAUGAAAAAAGGGAGCGAAAACAAGUGUUGCGUUUAUAUUUUUGUUCAGUGUAUGUUGCUAGCAUGGCCUGUGAAGAGCCUUCUUUGUUCCCUCUGCCUGUUUUGCAGCUUUUGUACCGAGGAGAACAUUUGGACUUGGAACGAAAAACUCUUCUGACACAAGGAAGGAGGACAAAAUUGCGCUUAGGUUUAACUGCAGCAUUUUUGACCUAACUGGUUGGUUGGAUACAAACAAACCACAGUGCUUUGUCAUAAAUGCUGUUAGCGAAGGUUCUCAGUAUUUGAUGUCAUGGGACGCUGACGCCUCCAGUUCUUCAUGAGACUCGAUUUCAAACCAGCGGAAAGGUGUUAGUACAACCCAGUAGGUAAUGUUUUACACAGUGGAUGGACAGUGAGCUGUAUAACCGAGGGACUAGCUAACCUUGGAGAGAUGCAUUAACGUUUCCUGAGAGCGGAACCAUGACUGAAGGGAUGUUAUCAGAGGUGGUUGAACACCUACACUCACUGCCUCCAGCAACUCUUAUGGUAAGUCCAUUUUUAUUUACUCCUGAUGUGACUCUGCUGUGUCGAAUUUUUUUCAUCCAGCACACACAAACACACAAACAGAUCCUGUUGCUGCUGUGGAUGGACAUACCCAUGUGCACAGUGGUUUAUGUGGUUAAUUAUGUGUGUGCAUUUCUGAUUUGUUGUUAGUCCCUCUUAUAGCCUUGUCUUGUCUUGUUAUUCCCCCUUGUUCAGCAGACCCAAGCUUAAACGUUAAUAUUGUCGCUCAUGCAGUUGUGACACAGAUUGUGCUGCUCUAAUCUGGCACAUGUGUAAAUUUGCAGCUUUGAGUGAAUCUUAAAAUAGACAGCUUGAGUUGUUAUUGUUCAGUUUAAAACGCGGCUUUAAAACUAAGGAAAGUGUCUAGACAACUGCUUGCAGCUGCACACAAAUAAAACUACCAAAUGAAAAAACAAAUUGGUUACAUCAGUCCCCCUUCUCUCUUAUUUAGACACAGCUUGUACUUAAUAAGAUGAAUUAAAUAGUACGCUGUAUUACGCACUCACUGUUGAAUGAGCAAAAAUGGGAGGAUAGUGCAAGGACAGUCCUAGUCAGAGUAUACCAUGGUGAUGUUUAAGGCUUGGACCCUAAAUCCAAGGACUGCAUUUUCAUAAUGACGCAUUUAAAAUGACAAAAAGUCAUGGGAAUGAAUAGGGUUUUAAAAUGUAAUUCUUACACUUCAUUUCUGUGUAAACUGGACCCUCUCUAUCUAUUAAGAGUGGCAGCAUUAAGCGUAAAUCUGUUCCCUUCAAUGUUAAUAUAUCCAGGGUGGUUUGAAUUAAUAUGCCCUGAGGGAGAAGUAAUAAAGUUUGAAACUAUCAAGGUCUCACACAUCAUUGAAUGGUAAUGAUUCAUUUUCCAUGUGUUUCAGCAGGUCCUUUGUGUUGAUGUACUCUUUGACAUGAGUGUUACAGUGCAUACAGGGAACAAAAUGUACAAGCAGAUAAAAGUGAGUAGAACGAUACAACUUAACUAAUAUACAUAUCCUAAUUUGUGGAUAGAGUUAAGACAUUCGUCCAGUAUUUUGAGUGAUUCAAUGCAAUAAUAUAAGAAGCUGAUAUAUUGAUACUUCUUAGUCAGCAUUUAAAUGUGGGGAAUAAAUUCCCGGGUACAAAGGAUAAUGAAGUGAGGGCAAUGGCUAUUAACUUUAUCUGUUAUAAUGGCAGGAUUUUCAUCUCUAAUUCUGUGUGUGCAUCACACAGUGAAGUGUCAUUACUGUUACUUGAAUGCGCCACUCUGAACUCUUGUUUGCACUACAUACCAUGUCUUAUUUUGUGCUGCGUCAACAUGAUGAGAGGUAAUAGUCUCAUACCCCUGUAUUGAAUGUGACAUCCAUCUAUCUCUAGUAAUAGUUCAGCUUGUAAAAGUCACAGCUUUACAUCUAUCUUCAUCUUUUCAUAAAAUGCAGGCAUGCAUUAAUUUGAGAAGUGAGGACAGUUUUGUAUGUUGUAUCUUGGAACUUGAGUUUAGAUCUCUUUAUGAAAACCUGGGUUUUUCAACCUUACUGUACAGUUGCAUGUCUGUACAAAUAAAUGCCGUUAGAGCCCUGAUAGCCUUAGUUCUCAGUGAGUCUGAUUAAAGACAUUUGUGACACCUGAGGCUUUUUCUGGAGCAGCUGGCCCUGCUGCUCAGGUUCAGGUUUAAGUUACUUUAUUUGGACCCAGAGGUAGAUUUGAUUUGUGGUGAGCCAUUGGCAUCCAGUUUGACAUUGAAUUGCAAAACUGAAGUAAACAAAACAGGUCACACACAGACACACAAACAAACAGAAUAAAAACUAAAACACACUGAAAUGUGAUGAAAAGUACUCAUUGCUCCAUCAAUCAGGCUCAUGGAGGAAACAAAGUUUGGGGUUGAUGCUAACACCAUGCUGCCCAAAUAGGUGAGCCAAAAGAUCGGUCAUGCUGCCACUGUAUUGAACUAUGUUGCAAACAUAUGCAAAAGUAAAGUGGACAUUAGCUUUAUUAGCAAUUGCAUAGAAAUGUUGUGCUGCUGUUUGCCCAUUGCAACAGGUGGAUCUUUAGGAAUUAAUAUUCAUGCUUCAAUGUCAUGAAGGAAUUGUAGCAUUCAUAAUAAAAAGAUAGUGUAUCUGUUGGAGUCUUUAUAUUAUUCCCUGCUCUGUAACCUGGAAAACUUAUUUCACAUUAUGAACCUGCUCAAAGCUGCAAUAGCUGUCAAGCUUAACUUAGUGACAACAAUUGUCAGACAGAUGGUACCAGUACACCAAUAGAGAGGUCCAUUGGGUGUAUUUCAGUGUUCACUUAUGUGUCUGAAAACAGAGGUUCAGGCUCUUUCUGACAAUGUGACCAAGGAUUAAUACACAGUUCUCACCUCCAGAUAUAAGAAUUAAAGUGAAAGGAUCACAUCAUUCGCAAAACUCACACAUCAUGCAAGUCCAAGUGCUCCACCAUAGAAAUAUGACCAAAAUGCAGGUUAAUUAAAAAGAGAAACCUUAUCAUUUUUCCUUCCUCCUUUACCCUUUGAUUGUUUAGCAUUGUUUAUCACACUUUUGUUAGUCUGGGCUUGGGCUAAAUGGUUUAUUGUUUUCUUAUCGAAUAUGCACGGUGGCCAAGUACAGCCACUGCUGCAAAUAAAAAAAGAGGAAGAAAAAAAAAAUUACAAUGGAAGUUACUGAUGAAAAAAAGAAAAGAAACCAAUGCCAGCUACAAAUGAAAAAAGAAACGGUGCAGAUAAAAAAAAAAAAAAGGGGGUGAUAGAAAAAGAAAAUGUUACUUACUGUGAAAAUAAAAGGAUGCAAAUAAAAAAAAGCCACAACUGAAGUGAGAUGCCAGUGACCAAUAAUGAUGAUGCACCGGUGUUUUACGAUCUAGGCACGGGAGACGACGGCGAGAAGACAAGCAAACAACUUAGUGAAAAGGUUAUUGUUUAAUUUUGCUUCGUGUGCUUUUCAAUGUGUCAUUUGGUUAGGCCAUGUAGCGCCUGAGUCGCUAUGAAGUUGAACUGAAGCUAACACUACACCAGCAUCCUCCAGAUCAACUUCAUAUCAACUCAGGUGCUACAUGGCCUGACCAAAUGACACAUCGAAAAGCCCAAGAAGCGAAAUUAAACAAUAACCUUCCCACUAACUCAUUUGCCCAUCUUCUCGCCGUUGUCUCCUGUGCCUAGAUCAUAAAAAAAAGAUUGAUCAUCAUUAUUGGUCCCCGGCAGCUCACUUCGGUUGUUUUUUUCUUUUGGUAUUUGCAUCCUAUUAUUUUCGCAGUAAGUAACUUUUUUUUUUUUGCACUGGCUAAUUUUUUUUUUGCGUCAUUAACUUCCAUUGUGGCUUUAAAAAAAUAAAAAAAUAAAUAAAUUAUUUGCAGCAGUGGCAGUUCUCGACCACCAUAAAUUUGCGAUUUCAGACAAUGUGAUGCCAAAGCUGCGUUUUCUUUUAGUUUUUUUUCUUUUAUGUUUUUUGUUGUUGUUUGUUUGUUUGUUUGCUGCACUCCUGACUGACUCGGAAUCUGUCAGUCUCCCCACCGUCCAAUCAGAAGCGGCAUAUGCCACUCACGGCUGGGUCGCGUUAACCAAUCAGUAGACUAUUUACCUGCUCUCCGUGUUUUGAAACGUGAACGUGUUUUUAAAGUGGCUUCAGCGCGGAGUUAUGUGAUGUAAUCCCCAUGAAAAGUGGCACGGCGAUCAUCUGGGAGUAUAUUGGUUGUGAAGCUGCAGACGCGCACCAGAAACCGGUAGGCUACUGUGCAAAAUAUGUCGCGUUAAAGUUGCUACAUCGAGCAGAAUCACAACCAGUUUAUACCAGCACUUGAAAAACCACCACAGACACUUGCAUGAGGACUGCAUGACGAAAAAGUCCGGUGAAAAGUCAAGUAUGAGUUUCAGGCCCAUUAUAGCAAGCUGACUACAAUUACAAUAUCUUUUGCCGGUAGAAGCUCAUAUGAGAAGAGCAGCAGGAGACGCCAUAACAUAAUAGGGGAGAGUGGGGAGAGUUAUGCCAGUUUUUACUUGGCGUCUUUGAAGCAAGGGGAUGACAGUAAUACCGCCAACUAAAAUAUGUAAAUAUAGUUUAAGGUGUAGUGCAUCCCCGGGAACAAUCACUUUGGAUCUUAAAUAAACUGUUUUGAAAACUAAGUGGUCUUGUGGCACAACUUGCCCCCAGUGCAGGGUAAAUUGUAUCUUUUGAGAGGAUACAUUGGGAUAAAUUGUGCCAUAGAUUAUUGAAGCUGCACUUCUCUAAACCAAGCUAUGAAUCAACAAUGCUGCAGGGGAAUAUGAACUUAUGCUCCCUUCUGGUUGAACUACCAAGUCUUUGUGGUGUGGGUAGUUUCUUGAGCACGUCUAGGGAUGACUCCAUUUUCUUUAAACGUGAAGAUUGGAUUUCCAUCCACAAUUCUUACCUUUAGUUUUCAUUCUUGCAUUAAAGUAAUAGCUUUUUAUGUUUUGAUUCUUAAAUGUUACUGUACACAUUGUGAAUGUUGCACUGCAGCUUCAUUUGAAGAAAAUUGUGAAUCAAAUUGAAAUUGCAAUUUCCUCCUAAAAAAUCGGACUUCGAUCUUUUCCUAAAACCAUUCAGCCCUAACUCAAGGCUAACUGUUGAGAUUAGUUUGACUGUGCAUCGUACAGUAUAAUGUCUGUUUCUUCAUUUACAGCUGCGACUUCCUUAAUUUGUGACAUCCUGUACCCUGACAGAACAUGUCAGUAGCUAAGUGCGUCGUUGAAAAGAGUCACUUACUCCUCUCUUUGCUGAGAGAGUUCUUGUUGUAGUAAGUAGUUGCUGUAACUUGUUUCAUAUUUGAUCUGUUAACAUAAAAAAAAAAUACUGAAUGAUUUUGUUCUAGAAAAUUACUCAUCCUGCAUUGAAGAUUUUUACUUAUUUGGCUCGACAUAGUUGACUGAUGGAGAGUUGUUUUGAAAAAAAUCUUGUACAGCCAGCUGAUCAUAUAGAUGGGUUUCUGUGCAACGUCAUCGCAGGUAUGCGCGCUGCCAGGGGGGCAGAAAGUGGGACAUUUCUUAUUUGUUUACUAGCGUAGUCAACAGAGAAAGAAAAUGACAAGGAGCUGUUGUGCUGUAAACUGCAUGAAUCGGCAGAACAAACAAUCGGCAAACAUUACGACCCUGCUCCUGAUAUUAGAAACACGUAAAACAACGUCACAACCUGGUAAAUUGAGUGAAAUUUAUGGACAUUUCAGCAAGUGUUUUUCUGAUUUUGAUGCAAUGAAAGACAAAGCGAUUUUUAUAUGAAAUGACAUUUUAUUGCAGUUGUGUCAGGAAGAGCUUAUAACAAUACAAACAAUGCAAUGUCAUAAUUGAUAUCAGUUCACUCCAAAGCAGGCUUUUGCCCCCUGGUUGCGCGUGCACGUAGUAUUGUUUGUACACAAGACACCAAUCUAUAUUAGUAAAAACAUUGUUUUUUGUUUUUUUUUAGAAAACGCUUAACUUUUUUAAAGUUGCAUGAAGAACAAAAAGGACCAAAACUCAUGUUGUAGAACAAGGAGUGCAUUUUGCUCAAAUGCUCAAAAUACAAGGCCCGGUGUUACCGUCCAUUAUUUGAUUUAUUUAAAGGGCAGUGCCUCAAAAAGGAUCAGUGUUGUGUUUUGCCCUUGAGAACUGUACAGGAUAUUACGCUCGAUCAGAUUCUAAAAACUGCUUUUAGUGUAACAUUGCUCUCACCUCUUGUUAAAGCCAGACCCCUCUGCGGUGUCCCCAGACCAACACAACUCCUGUAAAUAUGGCUGCUCUCCAGGGAGAGGCAGAAUCUUGACAGAUAAUAGGACAGGUUUUCCUCCUCACUGAAGCUGUAGUCUUAGAUCUGUGUGCCCCUGUGAAGUAGAACAGUACAUUGUGGCUGUAUGGAUGCAUAUAUGAUGCAGAGGUGACAGCACAGCAAAGCCCCUCUUUGCAAACCCCCCUCCUCUAGUUUCCUCCUAUUUGUGUUUUGCUGUGUCACUCAAACUGUUGUUGUCGCAUGACAUGUUUGAAUGAAGUUUUAUCAAUCACAGUGGCCAAAUGUGACAGUUUAAUCAAUAAGGUGAGAUUCCCAUUAUUUUAGAAUUAGAGGAGAUAGGCUGAAGGAAGUAGGAAAGGAGAGGAGGGAGGGAGGGUUGUUUAGGGAGCGGGUGGGCUGCAUGCAGUACACGAACAUGGUAGAGUAGGAAUAGAGAGUCCUCAGCAGUACUAGCACUGAACCAAGUGGGAGAGAAUUGGCUAUUAACACAAUCUGCUGGACUGACAGUCUGUCACUGCCAAUGUGGGCGUCUUGGAUAGCUAGACUUGGCCUUAAAUGCAUAUAAAUGUUACACUUGACUGGUUGAAAGGACCAGCAAACCACACCAUGCCAUGCAGAUAAUCAGAUAAACCUCACUUAAAAUGUUGCUGGAUUCAAGCAGGAUCCAAGGAUCCAGUGAGUCCAGCUGGACAUCCCAAGGACUGUUUUGUAAUCUUAAGAGGCCUCCAGAAUCAUCAGUGUCUUUUAUUUUUACAUAUAUGUUGCAUUAUUUUGUUGUGGAUUAAUCUGGCAAGUGGAUUCAGUUUUUCAGUAAACCAACCAGUAAACCAGAGAAGGUCUUGCUUGGGUCAUGGUCUGUUUAUUCGGAUGAGAUGCUUCUCUAUUUAACAAACACCGGAUUGUGAAAAGGAGAUACUUCAAAGUAAUUGGGAGGUAUUUAAUUAUGUUUGAAGGUCUUCCAAAAAUUCCAUGGACCUUUCAGGUCUAACCUUUUCAGGCGGCUGUUAAUAAUGACAUCUUCCAAUUAUGAAAAUGUUUUGCUCAGAGCAGUGAGAGUUAUAAAAGCUCCUGAAGUCCACUACAGCCACAAGUAUAACCUGAGAGAUGGAAAUACGGUAGAACAAUAAUCAACCCAGGGCCAGCAGGAGAAAGGGUAACCAUGGUUUGUUAGUGGCAUGCUCAUUUGCCUGCUAGUGUGAGGUUUAUUGUACCACAAUAAGCCACUUAUCAUGUUUAAUGGAAGCAUUGUCCCUUGGGGGUUUUUCUUUAUGCUUUCCUUCGUAAAAGUGUAAUUAGUGAUGAGGUAUGGGGCUUUCUGUUUCCCAGGUAUUCAUCUCAUAAAGUGCAAAAGUCCUCUUGGCUGGUCAGGGAUUUUAUUGUUACUGCUGAGUAUUAACGACCGCCUCUUUAUCGGCAUGAGCCUGCCAGUGGCAAGCCAUGUUGGCUCAAAACAUGAAGGAGUUAAGAGAUACAUGUAGCCCUGUACAAUAGCUUGUCACAGUUAGUUCAAGUAGAGAACUUACACUACAAGCCAAAAGUUUGGAGGCAAGAUCAAAUUUGUACAAAAAAAGAUCGUAAUACUUUGCAACAAAAAAAAACAACCUUAUAAUUAUCUAAAGAAAAACUUACCAGAAGACAUUUUUACUAUAAUUACCAGGUAUUUGAGUUUUUCUUGCUUAUACUUUGCUUUCCUCAAAGUAACCUCCUCUGGCAACAGCUUGGCAUAUACGAGGCAUUCGUUCCACAAGUUUUUUAAGGUAUGUAGCAGGAAUUGCAUUCCAAACUUUCUUAAGAUCAUCAAUGAGAGACUGCUGAUUUGUGCAAUGCCCUUUUCUGAUUGAUCAAUCCAAUUCAUCCCACACAAGUUCAAUUGGAGAGAGGUCUGAAGACUGAGGGGGCCAAACCAUUUUUUGAGGAACACCUUCCUCUUCUUUUUUGUCUAGGUAACCCUGACAGAGCUUGGAAGAAUGCUUAGGAUCAUUAUCUUGUUGCAAAACAAACUUUGGGUCCAACUUUGGACUUUUGAGUCCAGAUGGAACAGCAUGGUGCUGGAGGAUGGAGUGGUACUGUUCCUUCUUCAUAAUACCCUUUACUUUAAACAAAUCUCCUACUCUAUCACCUGCAAAACAUCCCCAUACCAUGGCACUACCACCUUCUUGCUGAAUUGUUGGUGUUACGCAUGGUGCUUUGAGACGUUCACCAGUUUGUCUGCAGACAUAGACUCUGCGUUUGGAACCAUAUAGUUUAAACUUGCUUUCAUUGGUCCAGAGGACUUGUUUCCAGUCAUCAUAGGUCCAAUUUUUGUGAGCUUUUGCCCACUCAUAUCAUUUUUUUCUUGUUCUGUGGAUGAAGAAAUGUUUUUUUUGCAGAUACACAACCCUUCAGACCAGCCUUUCUCAAACGUCUUUUCACGGUUGUCAGAGAUAUGGGUUUUGACCUUGUCAUGUUGAUUUCCUCCUUUAUUUGUGGUGCUGUUUUUCGCUGCUCUCUCUUACUGAUGACAAUAUGUUUAUCCUCUGCUUUUGAAGUGACCCUCCUUCUUCCAGGCCUUUUUCUAUCAUCAUAACUUCCAGUUUCUUCUAGUCUCUUCAGAGUGUAGUGAACUCCUUUGUUGGACACCUUUAGGCGUUUUGCAAUUUCCCAUUCAGUGUAUCCUUCUUUUCUCAGUACAAAUCUGUACUCUUGUUUCUUUACUCAGUUGCUUCUUUCUAGCCAUGACUGCGAUAGUUUGUCAGAGUUUUGAACACGGGUGAGAUUUAUUGGGAUUUUUGUAUGCAGACACUCAAAAGCCAAUACGUAAAAGUGAAUAAUGCAAAGUGAUUUGUUUUUUUUUUUUACUUUUACACUGAAUUUGUGACUCUUGCUAAUGUUCUUGAACCUAAAACUAAGCCCUUCCUUUCUUUUGUUGACAUUUAUUCAGCAAUGGUCUGGUAACAUCAAUGUAUACCUAAAGGUAAAUUGAGGAAAAUGGUGCAUAUCAAUGAAAGCAAAGUCUAGUCGUGCAAUAAAUACAUCCCAAAAUACAUUUCACUUAUCCUUUUUUUAUGGAAGCUUUAAGUAGUUUCCAAAUGUUUGGCCUGUUUUGGUCUUGCUUCCAAACUUUUGGCCGGUAGUGUAAGUAUGAAUGCUUGAAAAAUAACUUGUGUGGCAUUUGAGUAUUGGCGCUGCUGUGUAUUAUUAAAAGGAAACAUUAACUCCAAGUAAAAAAAAAAAAAACACGCCUCUACAGUGCACCACACUUGGAAACAUCUAAUCUGCUUACAUGGUUGGCUCACUGAACACAAUUUCAUACCUUAGCCUUUUCAUGGCAUGGCAUCUGAGACCAGUUACAUAAAACCUAAUCCUAAAAUCACCGCUUUCUAAUGUGAGUGCAGGUCCAGGGUACUUAUCCCUGGGGCUGUGAGUCUGAACACAUUGUAGAGUGGGAUACUAUGUAAUCCAGUGAAAUGGUGCCAGCAUUAAAAAGCGCACUAUCUUUUCAUUUGAAGUCACUUUUAUAAUCAGCUCCCAAGGAAUCACAAAAAAAGCAGUAAAAAGUAAUGGAAUCAGCAGUGGCACAGACACAGGUAAUUAUGUUAAAAACUGCUUUCACAAUGCAAGCUUAAUACUGUAAGCCUUGAAGUGAGGGCUGCUGUCAUUGUAUCGCAAAUAAAUGGCUGUGGUGAACAUGUGUGUGUGUGCUGUCUAGGACGAUUUGUGAGAUGUAAUUAGAUGUAAAAUGCUUUUUAGCUGGCUCUUAAAUUGACUUUUGGCUAGAGUGAUUUGUGGAUAUCAGGUUUUCUCCUCGUGGCACCGUGUUGUCUCCAGUCAAGGCCGACGGAUUAUUUGCAAACACCUAAAUCCACUUUCUUGGUCUGGACUUGUUCGAUCAGCUCUUUCUUGUGUGGAAGUGAUUUCUUUAACCCCAUAGAAUGGCUGAUCUACAUGGAUAUUUAAGAUUCCCCUUAUGGUAUUCCCAGAGACGUUACUUGAAAUACAUCCUGACAGCUUUUUCAACAGACCUACAUAUUAAACAUUCAGCUGAACACCUUUGCAUAAGGUAAUCUGCCUGUGUCAUACAGCAUUGCUGACUACCAAUCAUCUCGUAUGUAUUCCAGGUACCCAGCACUGUAUUUUAAUGGCUGACAUCUCAGGGCUGCAAUUCAAGUGUGAUUUAUAUCUUCUCAAGUCAUCAGUUACAAUCAGAUCCAAGGAUCUGACUUUGUGCAUGCAGGACAAGCAUAGCUAAUAUAUAGGGGAUGGAAAAGUAAAAGAGCUCUGUCACAUAUUUUUUUUUUGCAUUUUUUUAUAUCAAAGGUGCUGCAGUAGAGGUGAGGAAGGUUAGAUAAAGAGAACAGGGAGGGGGUGACAGGGCUUAGCAUUGGUAAGCAAGCAUGUCUCUCAUCCUUUAAACCAAUUUCCUUCCUCAAUACUCUAGGGAGUGGUCUGAUGUGCACCGUUUCCUUUCUCCCAGUAAGUGUUUAUCCUGCGUUUACAAUUAGAUCUCGCUCCCAGCUGCUGCAUUAAUCAAAUAGUCAGAGAUAUUCUCGACAUUUGAAGAUUGAAGGAGUGAGGAAAUGUGUCCUACAUGUCUUCCUCUGCGGUAACAGGCUGUGAAGCAGCAGCACUGUUACUCGAUAACUAAAGAGUCUGACACAGACUGUACACAGAUUUUACAGGCCAAUUGGAUUUCAGAGGGAACCAGAGUCAAGGUUAUUUAGAUAUGCGCUGCUUGGAAACAUGAUUGAGAUCUGUUGAUCAUAUCGAUACGGCUUGUUCUUGGUAUGAUAUUUUCUGUGAUGAAGGAUGUGAAUACUUUGCCCUUGUUAACUAUUAAUGAGGAUGUUUGUUUAAAAAUGAUUAUCAAAACAUUUUACUUGGAUUUCAGUUUUCUUCGACUUUGUCUUUUUUUUGUAGUUUUCACUGCACCCAGGAGAGAUAUCUAACUAAUUGUUUUAUUUUCUUGUUUAAUCUACUUGUUUCUAAUACCAUUCCAUCGUAUGAAGACAGUCUUUGCAUUAGAGCUGGAUGUACAAGAAAAAGGAAAAGGAUUAGGCCUAAAUGCCUGUACUUAUUCAGUGAGGAAGAGAAAGGACGACAGCAUUUAAUUUUUUUUUAGCAUGGGACGAUCCUGCACUGAGAUGGAGAGAAGAUGUGAUCAAGGAGUUUUUAUAAUGUUUCAUGGUUAAUAGGAGGUGGCGAUCAGAUAUGACUCUAACUGGACUGUUAUUUACGCUCUGUCUCUGCUGUGAACUGUAUUUUAUUGCAUAUUGUCUGACAUAAGCAUGAUCAACACCUCCACCUCCCCCUGUUAAAGUUUAUAAUGCAGCACAGUUGUUAGAAGUCACUUGGAUCUCCGUGUUAAUACCAUCAAUCUUUUUUCUUUACGCUAAUGAGACUCCAGGCUGUGCUGCAGUCAUUUUAAUGACUGUAACUUCCCCCUAAAUUAAGGAUGAAUCCUCUUUCCACAGAAAUCUUUCUGGUGCUGAAUUUACAGUUUGCCUCGUCUGAAUUAGCUGUUUUCCUUUUUCAUUUGGCUGCGAGCUGAGAUGUUUUCAAAUGAGUGGUUGGGAUAUUGAGUUUGGUUGAAGUGAUGUCAUGUGUGGUUGUGCAGAAGUCUGUCAUGUGCUUCGGUUGGCUUGUUUAUACUCCAGUAUUUUAUUUUGCUGUCAUCGUGACAGCUCUAUGCCAAUAAGACACAAAGGUGACAACCUUUUUACAGAACUUGACCUAUCAUUGGAUUCAAAUCUGGCAGACUGGUGGAAGGUCAGUGCAGAGAGGUUUACCAGACAGGUAAUGUUGGCAUGCAUGUAGCUAUAUACCCCUGGUGCUGUCAGAAUGUGUGUUUUCUGCCACCUGAUUGAUCAUGACCCUGUUGUGCCCCUGACUGAGACACAACCAUGUGGACAUGAUGACUUAUCUCAGAGGGGAAAAAGUAGGCACAGUACACUGAGUCUGAAAUGUUUUUCUCUUCUCGUCUCUUCUUGGAUCAAUUUCAUAUGUAGUUUGAGCCUCUCUUCCUGGGACUGUAUGUCUGGAGAUUAUUUGUAUUCCUGUUCCACAUGUUAACAUAUUCAGCAUAAUAAACAGUAAGAGCAUAGAGGUGCCUCUUUAUAGCCUGCGGUCAUGCACAAGUGCCAGUUAUACACAUUAUGUUGACGUGGAAAAUGACAGAUUAAGGGAAGAAGUGGAGCCUGCUGUUUGUCUUUGCAAAGAAUUAACUUUCCUUUUAACGAGUAUUCAUUAACUGAUUGUUGAAACCUUAAAAAUAAGUCAUGGAGAAUUCUUUGAAUUUGCAUCCUUAGUACCGUUUAGCACUUGAAUUAUUGAGUUGACCCCUUUUUUUUUUUUUUUUAGUUAUUUUAAGUAUUUUUCCCUUAUGCUUUGUGUGAAAAUACACAUAAUAAUGUCGUGAAGAGCAACACAGUAUUAAUUAUAGCCAUUAAAUUGGAUAGGCUUCAUGCUGUAUCGUUUUAAGGAAUGUUAAAGGGGUAUUACGGCGUAAAAUUAAUUUAGGGUCAAACACACCGUAACACCGAGUUAGACACCCCCUUGAGGGAUAAAUGUUGCCAACUGCUUGCUUCUCUAGUUAUACCAACUUUAGUAAAGACCGCAGGAUUAUUACUUUCCUUGAAUCAAUGAUCACCAUAUUAAUCAUUUUGCACUGCAGACGCGGUAGUUCUUCUGACUUUGCGUCUCGGUCUGAUUGCAUUUCCAUGAAGAAAUGAUCAUAAAUGUUUUUCCUUGAGCUGCGUCACCCCACAGCAGUCCGUAAUGGACUGGCCUGAGGUCUUGCUACAAACAAGCAGCUGCUGGAAGAGAGUAGGUGAUAAGGCUGCACGAUAUUGGAAAAAAAUAAUAUUGCGAUUUUUUUCAACCCUGCGAUAUAUAUUGCGAUAUUAAAAAUACAGGAAUUUUCACCAGAUGACAUGAAUAGCAUUUAAUGUUAUGCUGCACUGCUGAAAUCUUGAGGACAGUUACCCUGCACUGAUCUUACCUCUUUUUGUGAAUGUUAGAAUGGCUUCUGUCUCAGAGAUAUUUUUAGCUCUUAUUGUGCUGGGACGUUAUUGUGGCAACAGAUUAACACAGAACACGUGUUUUGGUCCUUCUUUUAACCGAAAUAAUUCCAGAUAACUGACUUUCCUUUUCUUUUUGGCAACAAAUCUUCAUUUUCGGUGGUUUUCGCUUGUUCGUUGCUCAUUUUGCGAUCGUUGUUGUUAGCGGUGUUGUGCUGAGAAACGCAUGUCCUCCGAGAAUUGCAUGUACCUCGCAAAACGCGCACCGCUUAAAGUAGAGUGGUCCACGGAAAUGUAUAAUUUAAAACCCAUACAGUUCUUAUUUGUUGGGCUUAACAGUCAUGAGUAAAGUUCCGAAGGUAAUUCUCAGCGGACACACGUCGCCCUCCAUGUGCAGAACAUGUGCAGGGGUGGGUUUCCUCCGCUCUGAUUUUGAUUGACAGCUGGCAGGGUAGUCUGAUUGGCCACUGAGAAGUGAGUCUGAUUGGCAACUGAGUUAAGGACGAAUGUGAUUGGUGGAUCGCUGCAAAGCACAUGCAGAGUCACAUGCAGUGUAUCUCAGUCAGUUACCCUUGAAAUUAAAUGAGUUCAUUCACCUCCAAUAUCUCAGGCUCUGCGAUGUGACUAUCGCACGUACAUCGCGAUGACGAUAGUCAAACGAUAUAUCGUGCAGGCCUAGUAGGUGAGUUGUGUUUAGUCUCUUUGCAAAAGAAAUCAGGCAAAGUUGAAAAAAGAUGUUUGAUGGUUAGUGCUGUGGCUAGGACCCUAAAUGUAUUGUUGAUGAAGUUAGGUGCUGUUCUGAGCAUUAAUUGUGGCUAUAGAGUGGCGUUUUAGUUGAGGUUUGUUUAUGGCUCCUCAGACCGCUGUGUAUUGCUAUCCUCGGGUCGUUACUAAAGUUGGUAUAACUAGAGAAGCAAACGGUUGGCAACAUUCAUCUCUCUGGGGGGUGUCUAACUCUGUGUUAUAGUGUGUUUGACCCUAAAUUAAUUUUACGCCAGAAUAUCCCUUUAAGCUGUAUCAAAUUGGUGCUAAAUUUGGACUGAUUUCUGAGCAUUUCCUGCUGAAAGACUGGUGAAAUGAUCUGGAUUUUAUUUCCACUGUUGUCAGGAUGAUUAGGAACAUUGCUAAACCUAGACAUAGUCCAAAACUGUGUUCUGAAUGAUACAGAUUCAUCAGGGGUAGAUUGUUUCUCUCUCUUGGAAAAAAGAAUGGCACAAUAAUACUUUGAAGAGUUAUAGUCAAGAGGCAGUCUUACACUACAUCAUAGACUUAUUUAGCAAAGAAAGCAUGGCUCUCAUAGUUCAUGGUUCCAGUAUUGUGUGGGUGUGUGUGCAGUCCUCUCUCUUCAUAGCAUAAUGUCAAUAGAAAUCCAGUACAAUCACUUAAUGUACUCUGCUGCCCCACUCUACAUAUGGGCUUUAAAUGCUUUAAUCGAAGACCUGCUCAUUUUUAUUGGUGUUCUUUAUAGGUAAGGUUAGUGAUGAUUUUCAAAUGCACUCUGUGAUUUGUGGCUAAUUAGGGCGAGAGUUAGUCUGACCACAAAAAUGUAUGUAAGCUUGAGGGCAAGGAGUUUGCAAGUGGUGAAAAAAAAGGCCACAAUAUGCAGCAGCAGGACCAGUCCUCCUCUGUAGACAGAGAGCGAUGGCCAUCUGAUAUUGGACAGAGUUCAGAUGAAAAGACCAGCAUGUAGUGUGGUAUUAUGUACCAGAGGAGAAAGCAGCAUUGUAGCAUUUCUCAGAGAGAAAUGAUUUACCAAUUGAGCUGUUGCUUCCGUCACCAUGGUUACCUAUGAAGGCUGUAACACUCUGACAGGGAUAUGGGUGACAGCUAAUUUAUUAGUCCAGGAUUAUAUUUGAGAGAGCCAGAAUUAGACGUGAGGGAUAGUGAAGACAUACACCCAUCAUCCACAAUGUUGAAACUAGUGACAAGUUAAAUAGGUAACAUUGAUCAUCUUGUUACCGUGGCACCUGUCAAUGGGCCUUUACACGAAUGAGCUUUCUGCUUCAGGCAAAUGUGUAAGCAACUGGAAUAACAGGCUUGCGUGAGGAUUUGUGCUCAUUCCAUAAGAGCAGAUGAUGAUCAUCUGAUAAUGAUCAUCUGAGAGAGGAGGUCGGUCAGGUGUUUGAACAAUAUCAGAAAUAUUUGCCACUGGAAACUGAAUGUAAACAUUGAAACCCAAGAUUAUCUUGAAUUAUUUUCAGUCGCUUCAAAACACUUGCUAUGAAUAACAAAGUCUGAAAUGGAGUGUGUUGGUGCUGGUUUCAACAAAUGACACUGCUAAUUUUCAGCUUCUUUGGCGGGCCUCCUCAAAUAUAGCAGAUUCUGGGCCAAUCCAAGAUUUACACACAUACACAAGCCGCAAGUUUUCUGCCAUGUGCCCAUGCAACACACACUCACGCAGGCUUACAUGUCAGCAGUGUGAGUGUGAGGUGCUGAUCAGCAGAGAUGAAAAAAACACUGACCUACUGCAGAAUAAACGAAGGUCGUUUCCUGGCGCAGCAAUUUUGUCCAUUGGUGAAAAUAUACCGCAGACAUCUACUGAAACACUUCGAACCUCUCUCAUGAGAGAGCUCUCACUAAGAUUAAAGUUUUCAGACAGCCGGGUACUUCAUGACCUUCGUUGACAACACAGUCAGAGUUUCACCAGACGUCAAAUGAUCUGAUUUUGUCUUGUAUUCCCUCUCUCUCUCUCUGCUCUAUUUCUCCAUCCAUCUCUUGCCAUUUUCCAUCUCUAUCCCUUUCUUUGGAAUCUGAAUCAGCUAAAGAAAUGGAAAUCUGUACAUCGCAAAUGACUGAGAUGUACUCUAAUGGGAUGAAAGCAAGCCCACAGAGGCAAUGUAAUACUCUGGCACUUGUAUCCUCUGCGGCAAAAUCUACUAGGCUGGUAUUCAUGUUGAAUUUAUUUUGACUUGUACCAUUAAAAAAACUCAAAAAUGUUGCAGCUUUGGUACAUCUCUGCAUAACAAUAGUGUUUUUCUACGAUAAUGAGAGCUGUAGCCUCUGUGCACAGGGUGGGGUAUGGAACCACUCAGCCAAGCCCCAGCGGUGACCCCUCUCAGCAGCGUAAUGCCACAUUGCAGAAAUAGUUCAGGAAUGGUUUGAGGAACAUGAUAGAGAAUUUAGGAUGUUAACUUGGCCUAAAAAGGAGCACAGAUCUCAAUCCGGUCUUGUAUUUGUGAAAUGUGUUGCAAUAGAAAGUAUUAUGAAAGCAGGCUCUGCCUCUCAUUUCACAGGACCAAGGGUCUUUUGUUGCCGUCUUAGAGGUCUUGUGGACCAUAUAUCUAUACUGGUCAGAGCUGUUUGUCACAAGGGACCGGACAGAAUAUUAAGUGAGGGCCUUUAAUCUUGUGGUUGAUCCGUGUUAUCACUAAUUGGUCUGUUUUGUUCCCUGUGAUGCAGUGAACUGCUGGAGUUACAUGUUAAUUAUCAUAAGCGAGACCUGCAACACCUCUGGCAGCAAAGCGCCUAGCUUAUUAUUCACUUAAUAAUCCCUCCUCACUUCUCAACUUUAUCGGCUGUGAAACCUGUUUCUCCACUCUUGAGGAAUUGUUUAUUCUGUAUUUUCCCAGGAAGAGUGUUUCCUCUGCCAACUAUAAAAGCAGCUGUUUUGCUGUGUCGGCUAAAAUCAUCUGCGUCCAAAUGCAAAUAGCUAAUGCAGCCCUUAGGUGGGGAGUUAACACGUUAUGUGUACUUCAAUAUUUAAUGAGCUAAAUGCCAAUGCUUCCAAAAGAGUCAUGAAAAUUCAGUGGAAAAAGCGCAAACACUGAGAUGUAAAUGACUUCUUGUGGACUCGAAUUAUGUGAAGGUGAUGCUCCUUCACCACAAAUUGGAGUGUGAAAACGGCAGAAAUUGGUCUCCUUUUUCCAUAUGUUCAUCACAUGGAAACAAACUCGAUGUGGCAAAAUGAAGACCACCAGUUAUAGUGACUGUUCUCUUCGUUUUCAAGAUGAAUGUACCUUCAUUUUUACCUUUGUGUUUUAUUCAUUUUGUAAUAUAAAUGUAUGGUUGAUGUACUGGUAUAGAGCAGACAGAGAGAUUCAUCAAGUUUUAAUUUCAAUUACGAUAAUGGGCCUCCACAUUAAUGAACAUAUGAUUGAGAUGGAACAAUUACUGUGCCACGUGCCCUGUUGUGUAUAUGUUGUCUUACAUGGAAAUGAAGGACACACAAGUAAAAAGAGUAUUUUUUUGUUUUUACUGAAUAUCUUUUUUUAGAUUUUUUUUUUAAAUUAUGUGUCAGUUAAAAAAAACAUUUUCUGAGAAGUAUUAGGAUAAAUCAAGAUAAACUAAGUUUUGUGAAUAUGUAUGUGCAGAUGUCAUAACAAGAGUAAGCAGCUUAAUCGUGAUAAUGGUGUUUGUAAUCUAGCAAGUUAACAAAACACGUAACACACACAAAGAACAUGUCAGUCUUUAGUCGUAAUCUAUUUUUUAACUGUGACUAUAGAGUAGUGUCUGACGAAUGUUGGUUUUUCAAAGACUGAUGCUGACACUGAUUAUGAAAGAGAGCAGGAAAGACAGCAGGUUGGCUGCUCUUUUAUAAUAACCUGUAAAUAUGUGGAAUCACAUCUUGGUCAUUAAUUAGGAUCAGAAACUAAAGCUCCGGUUGUUAAUGCUGCAUUUCUCUCUCUGUUUUACAACCGUUAUCUCAAGGUAGGUAUUCAGUUCUGACAAGUGUUCUUUAAAUAAAGACAUUUUCAGCCCAGAGCACAAUAAUAUAUACCCUUGAAGGCUGAACUCAGGCUUUGAAGCUGAAGAUGACUGAGGCAUUGUUCAUAUCAUACAGCCCAACAUUAUACCAUGCUUUUUCUUCGACUGAUUCUUCUAUUUUCUCUCCCUCUAUGCACGAAGCAUGUAUCAUCCAUAUUUAAGCCUGUAUUUGAGAUCUACUGUGCUGCACUAACAGUGGCUUAAUCCCAUAAAGGGCAGGUUCCACCUUGUGAAACAAUAUGUACACAAGAUUCUAGUUCUUUCUUCAUUUCGCAGGUCGGUUACACUACCGCAAAGCAAACACACCAGUGCUAUUCUUAUUCUGUUGUCAUUUACUAUAUUACCGCUGUCACGUAUGUUGUAAUGUUCAUGGGCCUGCAGUGACACUACUGAGCAUGUGGGUGUGCCUGAACGGAUGGAGAGAUUGGCUUACUUACCGCUGAACUGAACCAAGCUUGAAACACACAACCUUCCAUUGUAAUGAGCUGCUGUGUAGACUGACUUAAUUAAAAGUGAUGUUGAAUAAUUUCUCCGUGGUGAUGGUGCCAUGAACUCAGCUCAGCCUUCCAGCGCGACCUGGUACUCUGCUCCACGCCUGAUUUCAGUCAUCAUGCACACUUGAGAGGCUGUAUUUAACAGAAAAGAAGUAUUUAUUUCUCCUUAAAACAAGCCAUUACAUUUCAUUUGGAUUUGAGCGUUUAUUUCCCUCUCUAUAAACCCUCUACAGGCGGACUGAAUCAGUGUGAUUGUCCGUCUACAAAUAUAAGAUGAAGCGUGGAGGAGAACAAGAGGCUGAGAAAAAUGAGGCUCUGCUUUGGAACAGUGCCUUAGGAGUGUCUGCUUUUCGCCUUGAUUGCUAAGUGUUCCUCGAAGGCUGUGCAAUAUGGACGACAGUUCGAUAUGAAAGUAGAGGAAUGGAGUACCAUUAAAUUUCGUCUAAGGGUUGAGUGAACUUGUCAUGGUAUCACUUACUGCUAGUGUCUGUGUGUGUCUCUCUGUGUGUUAUCCUGUUUUCCUGGAGAUUGAUUCCAUUGCACAAAAAUAGGCUUAAGAUGAUGCCAUACAUUACAAAAUUAUUCAGCCUCAUUAGAACUACUUUUCGAGGACGGUGCUGCAGCCAUAUCUUCAAUUUAAAAGCAACAAAUGGAAUUUUUCAAGCAUCAUAUGACAAGGACGAUGAUAUUGUACUUGUCUGUCAUGCCUGAGGAUCAGCGCAGUCUAGGUUUUCCUGGCAUUAACUUAGUUUUCUCAGAUUUAUGAUUUUUAUAAUGGCAAGAACAGAAAAAUGGCAAAACACACACCCCACAAAGUGAUGUUAUUAUUACCUGUCAAAUGAGAUGGAUAAAUUAGAAAAGUGUAUGAGUAAUCUCAGGAGAAUCAUAAUGAAUGAACCAGCAUCCCUCAAUACACACAUGUUUAAUUUAAAAUGUAAUUAUUGUUCAAAGUGUAUUAUUUCAUAUUCUUUAUCUUGUCAUAUCCCCAGUCUAGCAGCUCACAAACAGCCCCCAGCCCCCAUCAGCCAGCCGAACAGCAGAGUGCUGACAAUGCAGCUGCCGUCACACUGCCUUUAUAAUAGCAUACAUCAAGCCUUAAACGCUUCAGAGAAACACUCAAACAUCUACGUGCGGGUAAUUUUUGUUGCCCUAUAGAUUCUACCCAGACAGACAGAGUGUAAAAUAAUAGGUGUGCAGCAAAAUGAAGAGCACACACUGUUUCUGGAGGCACAAGUGAUUUUUGGACUCUGGUAAUCAGUGAGUCGGUGGCAUCUGCAGAAGCCUCUCACUUCUGCUCUUACCCCAGGAGGUGAAACUAACUUACAGUGCUCCUGUUGUAUGUAAUGUUUUACGAAGGGUCUUAAUGUAGAUUCCUGAUAGCAUACUGUGUGGCAUUACAAAUAUAUGUGAUAAGAAUACAGGUGCCAUUUUGACGCUAAUGUUACUCAAGGCAGCUAUUAGCCUGCACACAGCAAAUGACUGACUUUAUAUUCAAUGGGCCUUGUGAUAUUGAAUCUGUGUAUAGAUUUGCACAUAAAAGUCCUUGAUACUAAGAGAAAAACUACUCUGGAUUUAUGAAGAGCUGAAAACUUAUUUGAUCAUAGGCACGUGUACAUUUCAUAAAUGUCUAUCAAUCCUAAGCAUGCUUCCAUAAGUCAACAAUCAGCAUACAUCCCUGCCCAUGAAUAGUCAAUCACCCCAAUAAAAGGAUGUGUGGAUAGAUGCUGCCUGUGGGCCAGAGAGAAGGAGAGAAAGAGGAGGAAAAACCUUUGAGAUGUAGAGAGAAAUUAUUUUAGUUUAAGUGGAGUAAAGAAAAAAAAUAGUUUUUUUCUUCCUCCUGUGAGUAUUGUUGUGACACUCACCCCUAAAACACUAUAGGCCUGGUCUCUUGGUAUAUAGUGGGUCAGCAGAGUUAUAUCCACAGCCCUUAGUGGGAAGCUUCUGUUUCUUAUGUAUAGGUAAGGUCUCUGCAUAACUCACGUGUGCACAGCUGCUAGGCACCUGGGGGCUCUGUACACAUGCAGUUAUGUAAACAGACUAUAUUCUCAUUGAUGAGCUCAUCAUCUCACUGCUCCGUUCCCCAAAUGAGUGCCACCAGGGCUGUUUCGCAGGAUAAAGCUGUGUCGCACCAGACCACUGAGCUGCAAUGCAGACUUGGUAUCCUGUAUGUGUUCAACCUUAAUUUAUGGGGAUUUAAUUGUUUUUAUUAUCAUAAUACACGUGCAUUAUGCUCUUUCAAAUGAUAACUCUUUUGCAUUUGAAACCUUCUGAGACUCUAAAGUGCAACAUACUGAGGCCCUUCUGGUAAGCUGUUUGUGAUUAAGGGGAUAAACAGACACAGACAGGUGCUGGGAAUAUUUAGGAACCUCAAACAGGCUUGUGUCUCAUUUGUUCAACAAUAGUAACUCAAACAUACACGCUGUGCACAUACAAAGAUACUUUUCAUCUUAGAAGUGUCAUGGUAACCUCUCUGAUUGUUUCAACCACAUUUGUCAUCAUUACCUGGGCAACAGGACAUCGUUAGAUUCAGGCUCUGGCAGUGAAGCUCUGAAUUUUCAUUAGCCUGUGGAAACCAAGGUCUAACACUGUGCAAAAAGGCUGGUUAUUGAGAGCAAUGUAGGAACUAUUUUUUGCAUCCUUUCGCGCCUUUGGGUGGUUGGAUUUCUUACCUUUUGUUGAAUGAGUUGAAGUUGAAGUCUCUGACAGGUUUUUGCUGGUGACAACACUUUUUUUCACUCUUACUUUCAAAGAGUGUUGGGGUUGAAUGUUUUUUACAUGCAAAAUUGAACUGGUUGUAUUAAAGCAGAGUUGUUUUGCUCCUUCUUGCAUCACCUGGGCUUCACAAGCAUUGUAUGUAGCUACUCUGCCUCACAGGUGAGAUUUGUUGUCCUUGAAGAGUAUGACAGCUGCUUUGUUGGAGUCAGCAUUCAACCCGUUCUCUCUUUUUUGUGUUUUCUGUGGUGUAGAACCCAAAAUAUUUCCACAAGAAGCUUCUCAGGUGUUUUGGUGUCUCCAGGAUCUACCCAGGACAGCCUUGGGUGUAUCAUACAUCACCCAUUUUUGUAGGAAAUCCAUCGCUUUAUUAGUUUACUGGGGUCAAAAGUGUCAUUCAGUGGUCAGUUAUCAAUAGAGCUCCCUCUGCUGGAUCAAAUGAUAAGCUACCUUAGAUGGCCUUUAAAUUGAGGGGUUAGGUUUUAGAUAAAAACUGAAAGCCCUAGACUGAACAUGUACAAAACAAAACAAGCAAAGACCUCUUUGUCCUUGGGGGCGCCAAAUGAAAACAAACUGAAAAUUCUUCACAGGAGCCUUAAAAAAUAGGCCACCACUUACAGCACACCCCAAACGAUCAUUUGUCCUUCAAUAAUUUUACUUUAAUAACUAAAAUAGGGCAAAUGGAAGUGUUAUUCGGCGUUUUGCUGGUUGACAUGACAACUGUGCUUUGGAAUAAGAACACAACAUCUGUUCAGUCAAUAAUUGGACCUGAGCUCCUUGUGAAAUGUCUCACUGUGCUGAAGGUUAGUUCUUUCAUUUCCCUCAACCAGAUUUUUACAUUUAGAGAAUCAGCUUAUUGAAGUUUUUCCAUGGGACUGGUCCUCAAAUGUUGAACCUCUUCUUGUGCUUUUUGUGCUGUCAGAUUUGUAAGUUCCCAUAAAUCACAUUAACACAAACCAUGAGGAGUUCGGCAACCAAAAGACUGCUUUGACUUAUGUUUUGGUGCUACACAAUAUCCUUUAUCACUGAGUACUUAAAAAUGAGGUCCAUUGCGAGAAAGUACAUUAGCAUAAACUCUUUGAUUUAAGUUUCUUGUAACUACAAAGGAUGCAUAUAAGCAAGCACCAAUUAAUGAAGGAGUUAAAUCAUGAGCAGACUAGACGUAAAACACAACACUGGCCAAUUAGCCAGCUCACCAGGGUGUAAUCUCACACUCCGCACAGCACCGCCUCUGGCAGUUCUUUCUCGUCCUGUACAGAGUUUUGUGAAGUCCAGCUCAUCACCCGAAAUGACCUGAAACGGGCUGCGUGUUAAUCUUUUGUAGCCUUCCAGUUGCAGACAGACAGUGACACAUUGGUUGCUGCUGGCAGUAUUUAAUAGAUAAAUACAAAGAAAUCUGUACUACCCCAACCUGGAGUCCACGUCUCACUUAUUGAUCAGGUUAUGCACCAGCACUCCAUACAAAAAAACGUGAUGCUUUUCUUAGGGGUGACCCUGAGGAUUCACGGAUAUGAACAGACCUUGGUCAGACCUCAGAGCUUGUGUCAUUUACACCAACAGAAACACAAGAGCAUGGCUGCAACAAAACUUUCAAACAUCCUCUUCUAGAAAUAUUUCAUGAAAUGUUGUUUGUACUGUAUAUCUACACUGCUUAUUCAUAUUUAUCCCCCCUGAGCUGAUCUCCCGCAUAAAGACUACUGUUGGCAGGGAAUCAUGUGACAAUGUACAAUGUCAAGUGUCUUUUAUUGCGGCUUUGCUCCCAAAGCCCAGUGGUGUUUAAACUGGAUCAUAGCAGAAAAAGGAUUGAUGGAUGUUUGGAGCUGCUUUUUCACUUUGUGGUUAUUACAUAGAGCUAGAGUGAAGAAUCCUUCGGGACUGGAAUGCUCACAUACCAUUAAGUGAAAUGUAAUUUGAAAGAGUAUAUUCAUUCAAAAAUGAAAAGGGUGAAUUACAGCAAAUGUAGCCUAGGAAAUGAAACUCUGCCAUUACAUGACAUAUAUCCUCAAAAUAAAAUGCUCAUGCUAAAAGCGUACGGUACAAAAGCAGAGAGGAAAGGAAGGAAUCUUGGACAUAGAGAAUUGCUGAAUGAGUCAUUUUUAUGUUACCUGCCACUCUUGUAAAAGAGACUCUUCAAUUUUUUUUUUAAUGAAUUACAUGCAGAACCUUACAGAAUCACAAAGAAAAGUGCAUAUUUCAACCAUUUGUGUUGCAGUUGCAUCACAUCAGGGUUUAAUCUUUGCUAAAUAUAUCAACACUGUGAACAGAUCACUGCCUUCUCACUCAAAGCACAAACCUCUGCAGUUUAUCUGGAGGGUUUACUCACUUUCUCAGAUUUAAGGACUCUGGACUCCUCAUCUGCAUUUAUAUAAGCAGCCAUAAAAGCUGGUUUCUGGUCUUUUUGCCUCGCUCUUCCUUGGACAGUCUUGAAAAACAGGAAUAGAAUUGAGAUGCUGGCAAAGGCUACUUACCCGACGGAGGCAGCAGCUGCAUAAACAAUGCUUUAUUUCACAUCCUCUUAAUGUUUAUUCACUGGCUUCCAUUCGUACACUGAUAGUGCUGAGUCACACUCUCAUGUGCAUGCUCUCUAAUUAUCCUGUACCAUAGCAACCGUAACUUAGCAAUUGCUAAACCUCUUCCAUUUUAUCCUUGCAAACUUGGGGAAGUAUGAAGUCAAACUAGCAGUGGCUACAGUAUUUGAGUCUCUAAUCAGCACCUCUCUCCACAACUUCGAACCCACAAAAUCCCUUUUGUGAUACGCUGAUUUAAGGUCUUAAGAGAUGAAGUGAAGUCAUUAAAAAUUGGCUUGGCUAACUUGUUAAUGACUUAUAAUUUCAUGUAAAAUAUAGAAGGUACAUUGUUUUAUUUAAAUGAGGGCUAUUAAAAUGUAGUAAGUGACUUAUAUCUGAUGUCCUCACUGCACAACCAUGUAGCACUGUCUGGAGGAGAGCCACAAUGAAUUCUGGGCUCUCUGACAACUGGUGACACUCUGCCUCGGCUGAUUUGUCUUACCUCCUACAGACUGUAGGCUCAUAAGGAAGAAGACUCACUCGUACAAAAAAAUAGGAUAUUAGGUAAAUGCCAAGAUAUUGAGGAUCACACAAGAGUUCAGUCUUUUAGUAAACCUGCUUAAAUUAAUUUUACUGUGGAGUUACAAUAUGUUACCUUAAGCAAUAUGACAUUAUUUGUAGUUGUCAGUUAUGUAAAAAAAGGGGUUUCUAAAGUUAAACGUUUUUGGCAGGACAGGACGUGGGGAGAGGGAGGGAGAUUGGCCGGCACCAAAUCAUGUCAUGACCAGGAGUCAAUCCUACGACUAGUGCAGUAAGGUGUGGCCUCUUUACAUGAGGCGCCUGCAAAAUCAACUGAGCCAAACAAGUUCUCGGACCUACGUACAGUUUAAGUUGUGAAUGAUGUGGUCCAAUCAUAGACUGUAAAUACUAUGGACAACUUGGUUCCGCCAUCCAGCAGUAUACAGAUUUAAAGCUGAUAAGAUAAUAUUGGCCGGAGGAGGUGGGAUUUAUGACCUAUACUGCAGCCUGUCAGCAGAGGGUGCUGUUCUCUGAGUGGCUUCACCCAGCGAGAAGGUAGACGGCGUCCAUUCUAUAUACAGUCUAUGGGUCCAAUACAGAAAGACUUCAUCAUGUAGUCUGCUGUGCUGUUGGCUCUACAAUGUUGUACAGUUACACAAGAAAAGAGGGAAACCUCUGGCAGAAAUGGCUGGAGGUUUCAUGUGCUAUCAAUGAAAUACUUGAUUUAAGUAGGAAAGUGGUAAACAGAGACCACACAGAUGGAGCUGUUUGCUUUCAUAUAAAAUUACAGCUAUUACUUAAAACACUUCAAGUACGGACAAACACUAUGUCAGCAGCACUGAAGUAUGGAGCACAUAGAUAACAUCAGUCCAGCAGCUGUCACUGACAUUAUUGAUGGGCUGUCAUUUCCACUGCUGAAGCCAGUCAUUGCCAUCCUAGACACGGCUCAUUAACAAAAGGUUUGAGUUUUUUUUUAAGUUGGCUCUCAUGAUGCCUGUGUUCGAACAACACAGAAUCAGUGUGUUGUUUAAAACUUGUUUGUAGGAUUUUAUACCUUUGUUUAAAAUAUAUAAGAAUUUCAAGUUUUGACACGAUACCUAAACAUCUUUUUCUGUUCGAUGUAAAGAUGGCAAAAAACCCCAAAACUGCACACAGCACUGCUGCAGUGAAAAAGUGACUGCUCAGUGUGUGUGCGUGUGUGCGCGUGUUUUUCGUUUCCAACUUUAAACAUUUCUGAGUUUUGUGGGUUUGAUAAAAGGUGAAUUUUUGGUAAGUUCCUGACAGGGAUAUAAAUCUUUCAGAAUUAAACCUCAGGAUUAUUUUUUUCCAUAUAUUUCCAUAUGUCUGCUCCAGCACCUGUAUCUAGCAGCGCCCAGAUCUAGCAGGCAGAGCCUACAUGAUCAAAACAACAGUGUGUACCAGGGUACUAACAAGGAAUCAAGGCGUAUGAGUGAUGUUGGCUGUGUGGCAGUAUUUUUUGUUGAAGUCAGAAAAGACAUUGCAACUGAGUGCAAAACUUGUUAUGCACUAGUUUGUGCUUAUAUCGAAUCAGUAUCAGUAUCUGUCAGUAUUGAAGGCUACAAUAUCGGUAUCGUAUUGGAAGUAGAAAAGUUGUAUCGGGAUACCCCUACUGGAGGGAUAGGCUAUGUCAAAUAUGACAAACCAUUUAUUUCAACACAGCUUGAAUUUAAUGGAAUGCUUCAUAUCUGCUGUGUGGCAGCUAUAGACUGUAUGUAGUAUGGACAAUGUGACUCCGCCUCCCGUCUUUGUACAACUUUGAAGCUGAAUUGCUCCCAGUAUUUUGGGGGAAUUUUCCCCAUUUCCUGAACCAGGCAGUAGCAUUCAGUGGAAGAACGUUGUGAUGACGCUCUGCUCAUACAGUGGAUGUCCUACACAAUCUUAGUAUGCCCAUUGACUGUAUCCAAGUGUCAAUCAUAGAAAAUAUAUGAUUUUUAUCACCUGAACAAGUUUUAAAAAAAUGUAAAAAAAAAACCUGAAAAAGGAGGACUUGAGCAAAAAUCAGACUCACAAUAACUACAUGGAGGAGGCAGGGUUUAUGACUUACACUGCAACCAGUCACCAGGGGGUGCUGUUCUCAUGGAGGCAUCACCCAGUGAGGAGGCAGAUGACGUCCAUUCUAAAUAUAGUUUAUAGUAACAACCUUAUGUUCACAUAAACGCGCCAGUGAUGGAUGUUAAUUUUUUUUUCUUAGCGCAUCAAACACGGUUUGUUUAUGGAUCACACCCUGUACAAUCAGCUUUAGUUCCUAAGUAGAUGUUAUAAAGGAGACAGAUCUUAGAGACAUGGCAGAAAAGAAAAUUAGUUUAAACGAUUGGAUUUAAUCUAAAACAAUUUAAAUCUCAUGAAUCAAUUGUAAAAGUUCCCUUUACCACAUUAUUCAAUGACUAAAAAAUCAAAGUAGUAAACUGUAUUUAGUCAAUAUGAUUAGCUUUUUUGAAUGUGAGGAAAGAUGAAUCUAAUUAUCUUUCUCCCAUUGUAUGGUUUUCAAGACUUUCUGACUAAAGCACCAUCAAAAAACAAGUCUGUGCGAUUAUCUGGGGCUUUUAAAAUAAAGACAUUGUUGAAAACUGUUCAAACAACCAAUAAAAAGAAAAGAAAUCUCCAGAAUUGAAUUUAUGUGCUUGAAACUGGUUCAGUGUGAUCUUUGCCCUUGUGUCUUAUGGCUUAGAGAGUAUCACCCUGUUUGUCUCAAGAGCUUCCUCUUGUUGAAAAUCCUCCAAAAAUCCUCUCCUUUUUUCUUUACUUUACUGUCUUAUCUUGUUUGUUACUCCCCAGUCCUGGAGCUCGACUGUGCCAGAUACUCUCUACACAUAUAGACACAGAGUCCAAGCCAGUCACACAACACCACAGACACACGCACACACGCGCACAUCCACGAUUGCACUCACACUUUUCCCUUCCUGCCCUCGCCUAAGGGUUUGGUUAGAUUCAUGCCCUUUGUCAGAGUUUGAGCAGGUCUCAAAGAAAUAAUGGUGUGACUUCCCUGGGUGUGCAGCGGCUUCCUUAAUUGGUGUCUUUUCUCGCAUGUACAUCACAUUCGCCCUUGUUCACUGGGAAUCACACAUCAAAGGAUCUCAAAUCUCCUCUCCUGCAGUGUCAACUUGCAGUUCAUACCACCGAGGUCUUGAUAGAAGCAGCACAUCAAAAAUUUUGACGAAGGAGGGAAGUUUUAAAAACAACAAAUAGGAGCCAGACAGCUUUUCAUCUACAGUACACAUCCACUGAACGCAGAAGUACAUCAGUCACUCCUUUGAGAUUAGCUUGCAUUGAAAUAAGUUCGAGUCAAAUGUUAAGGACGAAUGCCUUGUUUUAAAAAAGUAGGACUUAUUUGCAGUCAUUCGGAACUAUUCUUCAGUCUCACCAUGUAGCAAACCAUCCUCCGAUAAUUCCAGCGUGAAUUGAGAUGUGCCCUUUAAACAUGAAGGAAAAAUGACUUCCUGAAUCUAUUAAGGCAAAUAAGGUAUGAGGCAGGACUCGGUGUUUAUGCAGGCAGGCACUCCACAACCCUUGAAGAUGGCACAACAAAAAUUUCCUGUUACUAAGUAAGUAGAAACUGUUGCAAAAGGUAACACUACUAAAACAGUGUAUAUUUAAUUAACAUGUUUUUAAUUACAUUUGUGAAUUGAGAUGUUGUUUUGUUUUUGACAAACCUUACAUCAGACACAGCCAAUGAGAGGAAGUCAUUUCAAAACUGUCCUUUGAUUUCACUAAACUGUGUAAUGAUACCUUCACACAGUGUAUGGAUAAUUAGGAUGAAAUUAAUGUCUUCCCUUGCUGCUGUUGGGCUCACUUGAAUGAUGGUGAACAUAUGUCUCCUGCAUUUCAGUCGAAUUCAAGCUGUGAGGUUUUCCCUGUCACCUGCAAAAAUGAAUGGUCAUGUUUUUAUCCACUCAGGUGUGAAAUUGCUGCUGUAUUUGGCAGAUCGGUGUGGGUUAAUGUACUCUCUGAGGUCCUACUUCCUAUCCCUUUUGCACCGCCCUGGCUUGCGUGAGCGGUUCGUUUCACACAUGGUGUGGUGGUUUCACAGAGGCCUCUAGUGAUAACAAAAGAUUUGUGUGCUUGUGUGCGGGAAUGUGUUCAAAUGCACAAAUGUGGGCUCUAAACGCUCUGAUGGAUCUGCCCAAACAGCUUAAACUCCUCAAUGGUCACGCUGGCUCAUUGAAUGGUCAUCCAAAUGAAGAGAAGGCUGCAGUUUUUUCCCCUCUAGUCAGAAAAAGGGGUGGCCAUUUGAUAGCUGAUGAUUUUGGGGACAGGGGGCAGGAAGCCAUCAAAAAAGCCCUGAACCUGCCUGUUUUGCAGCACUCUGCUAUGCACCCAGACACCCAGGUUAGAGUCACUGGCUAGGCUUUCUCAACUAUGCAUUGAUCGCUCUGUUUUGGCUCCUCUUUGAUCUAUAAAUAAUGUAGUCAUCUGUAGAGUGUACUCCCUCAGAAACCCCCAUGUUACCAGAAUGGGGAGACAAUAAGCCCUCUAAAGCAUGUCACGCCUGUCGAUGAUAAUUAUUUCAUAGAUGCCACUCUCACUUUCUGUCUCACUGUUUAACUUGCUCUGACUCUAUGUGGCAGGUGAUUGAAGGUAGACCAACUGUUAAGGGCUCUUCUUCCUGUCCUGCUGCGUCUGAAACCCCUGACACAAACACACCUCAUUUGAUUCAUUCAUAAGAUCACUUGCGAGAUCACCAACGCUGCAUCAAAAGGCUGCAGCUCACAUAAACCACUGAUGGCCAUCUCCACUAGAGGGGUGAAUAAAAUCAAGAGUUAAAUCUCUUGACUGGCUUGUAAAUAUUGCCCAAGUAACACUCUCUCUUUCUAUCUCUCUCUCCCUCAUUAUCAAUGCUUGGUUGGUUGUCUUACCCAGUGUACUGUAAAUGCUUUCAAUAGCAAUCUGGGAGGGCUGAGAGUGUUGUGAUUUCCAUUCUGUUGCACAUUUCUCUCUCCUGGUCUCCAGAGAGAUGGGGGAUUGCCAGGGCUCCCCUGAGGUUGGACACCAAGCCCCAGGCGGUGUGAGCAGAUUAAGCUCAAGAUGGAGAGUCACAUUUUUUCCCUUAUUUUCCUUAGCUAUAGAAAAAAAAGUUGACGUUGUUUGUGUGCCAUUAGACAAGAUGAGCAUUUAUGUAAACCAUCUUACAAUACAGAGUGAGAAACUCUGAAUAAUAAUGCUCGUAUUGAGUAUCUGCUCAUAAUUCAAUGUGUUAGUUCACCUUCAGAAAUGACAUAUUAUGUGACUGAAGUGUGUUUGUUUUUUUCCCCUGACACUGGAUACACCUCACAGAGAAGUAGUUGAAUGGUAGAGUAGUUGAAAAGCUGAAAUGACUGCUCAGAUGUUGCUUUUCCGUUUCCGCCAUAUAAUCUGUAGUGAGUGUUUCCAAAGCACCUGGCAUAUGUGUAACACGUUGAUUUGUUUUAUACCUUCAAAAGGCUGGCACUGGCACUUGUAUUCCAUUUUUAUCUGUUCUUAUAGCACUCAAAAGACAGAGAACUGUGUGAAUCCCACAUCAAAAAGCAGGAGUUAUCCUUUAAUCUCUCCCGUAAAAGGGCCACUUGACACGGGAUAUUUCCCAUUACGUAGCUUUGUUGUCAGGAUUAGGGCCAGGGUUCUUUUUAAUGAAAUGUGAUAUCUUAAGUGAGGCAUUUAAAAGAAGGGUUAAAGCAACAAAAAAAAAAGAGUCACAUGUUCAGCUUCAUUCAAUUUGAUUAGCACUUUUUCUUCACCAGCGGUUUACAGGCCAGAAAAUAUAUUUAAAAAUUUGCACAAAAAGCAGACAUCACAUUACCAGGCUCUUGACAUUUCUCCCGCCAGUACUACUGUUGCUCUGCUUUGUUGCGUGUCUUGAGAAUACUGCUUCGUACUAAAAACUGACAAUAAUUCUGUUGAGGUUUUGAAGACUCGCUUGGCUAACAACUGACAACAAACAAGACUCUGUGGACCAGAUCAGCACUGCAAUCAUCCUGCUGCUGUCAUAGUUUUUGAAGACUGGCACAAAUCAGAGUCAAAUUUACCUUUCUGCAGAUCUGAAUAUGAGAGCUGGUGAGAGAAAAUCACUGAAAACAAGCCAGAGGUGACUUCAAGCACCCACAAAUGCAGAUGAAAUAGAGGUUUGUGGCUUUUUGCAUUGAACUACAUGGCACGUGAACACUGGUAGCCAUAUGUGGUAAAUAAUAUAUAGUAUAUCUUGUUUUGACAUGCUUGUAGUAUGUGCAGUGAGAGCAAAUAACUUGAAUCAGCAAGAUGAUGCCGGUAUGCUGUGUUGUCUACUCAGAGUUUUAAGGUAUUGACCCCAAGUAGUUUUUAGUUUGACGUUUGAAUAAUGAAAUCAGUCUAAGAGCCACUUAAACCUUUGUGUUAUCUAGCCUUGAAAAAGCUUUCAGGGAUGGUCUUGAUCGUUGAGAAUUUGGGAUAUUUGCCUCUAAGAGUUUGACGGUCAAAGAACUUGCUUCUCUCCCAGGAGGCUAACAUUAAAUUUUUAAAACUUUACAAGUUUGAUCAACACAAGGUUAUUACUGCGGAGUCAAGGACUGUGUCACAUUUACUAGGAGAUGUUCAGUGAAAUGGACUAAUGACAUUUGCCGAGCAGUAGCUGGCAAAUGUGGAUUUCCUAGAAAUUUCAAAAGAAAUUGAAAGUCUGGCAAACAAACUAAUCUAAGCAAGUAAAGAAAGUUCAGAAAAGAAAAAAAAAAUCAGUGAAUCUAAAACAUUUCAUACAGGAUCACAGUCUGUGAGGCAACUAUUAUUUUGUACAAUGUGGCUCACUUUUUGGAUGCACAUUGUACUUGAGUGAUGCGAAUUGAGCGAUGCGUAUCAACCGACUGGUUUACUUAGUUCACGAGUGCAUGCAACGAUCAGGUUACGACAGGAGGUCCCUCUCCCUCUAUGUAUCAAACAGCAGUACUUCAGAAAGCCUGCUUUGCUACUGCACUUUCUUUCACAUUUAAAUAGGUCAAUACUGUAUGAAUAUCAGCCUUCAUCCCCAAGUUUGAAGAUAGACUUCACUGUGGACACUGCAUUGGCUGUUUAUACUCAGUAUGCAUUUGGACACUGCCCCUGUUAAUGACAAUGUCAAUGUUAGCUUUAUUUAUAUAGCACGUGUAAGAACAGCCAGUGGCCUACCAAAGUGCAAACAGUAAAAUAGCCAGAAACAAUAAAAAACUAUAAAAACAAUAAGAGCAUAAAACAUAUAAAAAGAUAUAACAACAAUAAAGAUAAAACAGAGCAAAUAAAUAAAAGACCCAAUAAAAGUAACUAUACUUCCCCAAAGGCUUAAGUGAACAGGUGCAUCUUCAAAAAUGUUGUGAAAGUGGAAAGGCUAGUCGCAGUACACACUGUCAGGACUCCAAUUUUAGUGACCCAAAUCAAAGGAAAGCUAACGUUACCUGUAGCAAUUUAAGUUUAAAUAACUUCUGAAUAUGGUUUUAAAGUAAAAUUUCUUUUAAUUUAGAGACACCCCAGAAAAACCAGCCAGCUUAUCAUUAAAAUGUAUAAAUAUAUUAAUUUAGAAUACACCUUAUGAACAGAAAUGACUGGAAAUGCAAUUUUGUUGUUGCUUUGAUUAGACUCUGCCAUAACGACAUACCGCUGUCAGCCACCACACUAUUGCACAUUUUAAAUACAAGUUUUUCCAGUCCAACAAAAUAAUCAAAAGAAAAUAUGAAAAGAGAGGGGAGGAUACAAUAACCUCUGAAUAAAUUGUGCUUAAUCGUGUAAAAACUUUAAAAAUUAAUUGAGCAGCUGAAUGUUGCUUUAUCCUGCUCAUGCCUGCUCGCAGCUAUGGAGAAUCUAACUGCAAAUGGAAAUAUCUUUGUCCUUUGUCCCAGAGCCCACUGGAUGUGCAGACACUGUAUCCACACAUUACUCUUUUUUAUUAGAGCCUGUGAUAUUAAUGCUGCUUAAUAAACUCGCCCUGUUUGUGAUCGUGCGGUAGCGGUAGGUUAUUGUAGAUAAUAAAUGGCAUGCAGCAGUAUUUUAAAUGAUCACCUACAGUCAGUAAUAGCAUCAGCAAUCAGCAGCUAUUACUGUGUGUAGAUUUGCAUAAAGAGAUGAUGAUUUACAUGAUGAUAAUUUACAUGAUCACUUUGUAUCACAAUUCAUCAUUGAAGGCAGGAAGGUCUGGCCUUUUUACACCAGGAGCUGUUUGAGCAAUGACAUGCAUGACAAAACCUCUUUUAAAAGGUGGUUCCACUUCCUUCUAGAAGAUAAUCCAUGACCUCAGAAUACAUUUAAAGUCAACUAGGGUCAGUUCUGUGGAGCAAAGAAAGCUCGAAUCCAAUGUUUUCAAUUAUAUCUCAAGUCAGUUUGCUGGGCAGUAGGUGUGGACCAAAAUGAAACUAGGUCUACUGUAUCUAUGUGGUCUGAGAUUGUUAGCUGACCCAGUAUUCAGUCAGGGCUUCAUGCUUCACAGAGUCCCUCUGAAAUCUACUCCACCGUAGCACCCAAGAAAUUAGGGAUGGGAGUGAGCCACUGUAGCUUUGAUACAUUUCAUCUUUGCUCAGAGAGCUGUCUCUCUCAUGCAAUAAAAUCUGGAGCCAAGCAGUCAGAGUCCUGCAAAAAGAGCAAUGAAUCUUUGCUAAGCCAUUGGGGUUUUAUGGGCUAUUCCCUUGGAAGCAACAAUUAUUCCAUUGAAAUGAAUGCAUGCACAACCGUGCUGCGGUGUACUAUGACCAUCUUCCAGAUUAUGAACACAUCUGAUGCCGAUGGCCAACAUUUCAGUCUCUUAUACCUUAUUCUAUGUGCUGCUGUCAGAGUGGUUCUGCUGCAGUUUGCGCCUUACCCUCUUAUAGCUGAGAAAAAAAAGCCCAUAAAGGACAUGGAUAGAAAUACCAGCUCUAAUGAAACUUCUCACAGUUACCAAGUCAUGAAGAUGAUGUGUCCAUUAAUGAAAAGAGAGAAAUAACGCGGUUGUUCCGUUACUAUGACCACAGAAAAUCUACAUGAGUUUUCCCCUGAGGCUCCCUGGUGCAGCCGCGUCCAUCUCAACUCAACGAGAGGCCAACGUGGAUCUAGCCUCAGAUAAAUCAUAUUGGUUUAUAUUGAGCAAUGAUCUAAUUUCUGAAGUGCUGAGGGACAAGAGAGGAGGGGAAAAACACUGAUCCUACAAAAUGCAAUUUUAUGACUCUUCCUGUCACAUCUACUUGCUUUGUCAAUUUAGUGCUAACACUGCUGCCUUAGGGCCUCAGCAUGGGGACAUGGUGUGUACCAGCCCUGUUUGCUCUAACUGCUGGAGCGUGCAAUAGUGUGCUUCACAUUUCUUACAUUAUAUAUUUAAUUUAAAAGGUCAACAGGACUAACUCAGCUGAACCAGCGUUAAUUGAUAACUGAGUAAUAAGAAGAAGUUUACACCUUGAGAAAUAUUGUUUUUGUCCAACUUUCUGUGGUCAAAAACAAAGGAAAAAGAAUAACUUUCACAGAAAACAGGGAAGUAUAUAUAUGGAUGUAAUCCAAAGUUUUUCAGCUGUUGUUGCUUAUGUGGAUAUAGUGUAAUGGACCAUGUGUAAGAAUAGUAAGAACAGUAUAGCAGCUGCCAGGCUGGGUUUUGGCAGAAAAUCUGUGGGAAGAAAUAAAGUGAAUUAGGGCUGCUCCAUUAUGGCAAAAGGAGUCAUCACAAUAAUUCUUAUGAUAUUGAGAUCACAAUUAUUCAAGACUAGGGAUGGGCGAUAUGGGCCAAAACAUUUAUCACGAUAAGAUUUGCCAUUCUGGCGGUAACAAUAAAAGUCCUGCUAAAUAAAAAAUAAAAUUCCAAUCCUUUUUUUUUUUACUCAUUUUGUCAUGAGAACACCAGUUGGAAUAGUCAAAUAAGAAACUUAACCACAAGUUUGAGUUGUAGGUUAUGAAGAAAACUAAUGACAUCAAACAAGUCUCAAAUUUGUUGAAAACUCUUAUUGCACAGAGUGAACAGCAGCAGAUCUACUGUCCGAUGUCAGGCAUACCUGAUUGGACUCAUCUAAGUCAAGUCAAGUCAAGUUUAUUUGUAUAGCACAUUUCAGCAGCAGGGCAAUUCAAGGUGCUUUACAUGAGACAAGCAGGCAAAACAUUCAGCACAAUUUGAAAAGUAAAAACAGCGUAAAAGACAUUUAACAAAUAUAAAGUUACAUUCAAAACUAAAAUAAGGUUGGAGAUAAAAGAAAACAAAGAGAGAGAAAAAAGAGAUCAAGACAGGCAGAUGAUGAAGAUGUUGAUUAGGGGCCUCAGGUUUGAUUUAAUGAUAGGCCACGGCAAACAUAUGCGUUUUCAGCUGUGAUUUAAAAGAACUGAGAGUUUCAGCAGAUCUACAGUUUUCAGGGAGUUUGUUCCAGAUAUGAAGAGCAUAAAAACUAAAAGCUGCUUCUCCACGUUUAGUUCUGACUCUGGGGACAGAGAGCAGACCUGUUCCUGAUGAUCUGAGCGGUCUGGAUGGUUCGUAACGUACCAGCAGAUCAGAAAUGUAUUUUGGUCCUGAACCAUUCAGUGCUUUAAAAACCAGCAAUAGUAUCUUAAAAUCAAUUCUUUGACAAACGGGAAGCCAGUGUAAAGAUCUGAGAACUGGGGUGAUAUGAUCUACUUUCUUGGUCUUAGUGAGGACUCGAGCAGCAGCAUUCUGAAUCAGUUGGAGCUGUCUGAUGGAUUUUUUGGGGAGACCUGUGAAGACACUAUUACAGUAGUCGAGUCUGCUGAAGAUAAAUGCAUGGACAAGCUUUUCCAAAUCCUGCUGGGUCAUCAGUCCUUUAACCCUAUAUAUAUUUUUCAGGUGAUAGUAGGCUGACUUUGUAAUUGUCUUUAUGUGGCUGUUAAGAUUCAGGUCUGAGUCCAUGACAACACCAAGUCCAAAUCUUGAAGGAAAUCCCUCAUGUGGAGCCUUGUUCAGUAACCAGCUGCUCAGAAACAUCGUCUUCAUUACCUUCGGCCAAGUUUGUUUGUUAUUCUGCUCUGUGUGGGCUAUGGCUGCGAGUCCGUAGCUCGCGCUUAUGUCAUCAACUUGCAUUUAUUGUAUUUAUCAUGAGAUGGCAAAUAUUUAUUAUGGAGGAUUUUUCUGAUGGUAUAUUGUGAAGUAUAAUUUAUUGCCCAUCCCUAUUCAAGACAAUUACUUAUGAACUGACCUCUGCAUUAAAUGCAUUCACAGAACUUCAAAAAUUAAAAACGUAACCACUCCAAGCUCUUUCAAAAAAAACAGUGAUAGAAUAAAUGUUUUAUUCACGGGACCAUGCUUAAGCAUUCCCAUCUGUCUAACUGGAUAACAAUGAUAAUAGCAACAAAAUAUAUCUUUUUGAGCUCACUUACUCAAAAAACAAGGUAUGAAGUCUCUCUUUAUGUAGGUGUGACAUUUUUUUCUCUUGGAACAAUGUAAUGGAACAGUUUCACUGUGUUCCCUGUUUCCAGUGAAGAAGUAUUGUCUCAGUUCUCUGCGUCGCCUCCUCUGCUGUCCCUGCGUGUCUUAUGUUACUGCCGUCUAAUAUGUGAUGUGAACAGGAAGUGCCGCUCUUCAUGGCCAAAGCUGAUUAAUGUGAUAAAGACGGUUACUGUGAUAGUUUAAACUCUGAUAUCCAGCAAUUCCUAGUUCUGCCUCAGCUCCAGGAUUGAUGUCACAAAGUGCCUUUACUGGAUUCAGAGGCAAGCACUGAAUAGGUUUCUAUCUAAUACUGUCUGUGACAUUUUAACCUUUGUGAUGAAUUUUCUAGAUUAGCAUUACUUGCUAUCAGUGUUCAUGCAUUGGUGGGGGCUUAACAAGCACACAGGAAGUGUUCAAUACAGAGGAGAAAUAAUCUGCUUAGAAAUGGCAGAAGAGAGACAUCAGCCUGCCUUCAUCCUCUCUCCGCUCUCUGUGCUCUGUGGAGGUGUCGAUGGCCUUCACAACAACAUUACAUGCUCACCAGGCGAGUUGUUUGACCCCCAACACCUCCUCCCUCAUCUGUCCCUUAUGGGCACACAUACACUAACACAUACACAAGUAAGCAGACAUAAAUUCUGCCAUGCAAAGCUCAUCCUCACAAGUGUUAUCUUUAGUGAAACCUGCUGUGAAUCUUGUCAGGAGAGCUCUGUAUGGAAACCUGAGUGGAGUUUAUUCUGCUGAACUGUACUCCUAGACAACAAUUCACAACACUCCUCUACACACAGACCAAAUGCUACAAAUGCUGACAUGGAGUCCUCACUUUAAACUGAUGACACACAAAACACAGCUGCAGACACACAGAUAUUAUGCUUUUGUGAAACUUUUUUUUUUUUUGUGUAGAGUCAACACUCUUUUUGCCUCUCGACUGUAAAUGUGCGAUAGUCUGAUCGCUGCCUCACCGAGAUGAGAUUCUCCUGUGGAUGAGUACUCAUACUGCAGCUGGAGGGGCCUUGCAUCCCUGAAGACAGGCAGAGCCUAGCCAUGCCUAAAGAUUGGAGCCCCCUGGGUGGCAGAGAGGCUGGGAAAUCUCCCAGGGAACGGUUGUACAUGAGGUCACAUCCCCUACAGACAGUUGUUUUUUUUUUCUUAUCAUUUUUUUUUUUUUUUUUUUUGAGAGUACGUUCUUGAAUGCUACUUGACUGUCAAAUCUUUUUCUCUCUGCCUCUGUCCCCAAAAGAAUCAGGCUGAGACAUGAUGUCUGCAUGCUAAAUUGGUUGCUCACUGGUGACUGUGACAUUUGAGCUGCUAAUUAUUAUGUUUUCUCAUGCACCGUUCCUCCACCGGCUCUAAAUCUCUCUUUGAACAUCUCAGGUCAGCAGCCACCGUUUCUCAGAGUAUGAUAAAAAUGGCAGUCCAUUAUGAAUCAGAAUGCAGUCGAGUAAUCCUCAACAUGUUAUUAACUGCCCAUUGUAUCACCAGACAUGUAAUUUGGGAACUUGGAUAUUUAAUUUUCACUUUACAUUUUUUUUUUUUUAAUAUUUCAGUUUUAAAGCGUUGCCUUUUAACUUAGAUAUGACAAUUUAGUGCAGGAAAUUAACUGUUCUUUAUCUUUUAACCUGACAGAGCUCAACACCACAGUUGAUUUAAACUUGUAAGAGAAAUGUUGAAUCUGCCAGCAAUUCCAUAUUCCCAUUAUAAUAGCCUGUUCACUUUCUGCCAUGCAGGUAAGGAAUACAUGAGGAGAGGAGAGCAUGCUUAAAAUGACCUCUGUCCUCCUUGGAUGAGUCUAUCUGAAGAAGAAUCUAGAGUCAUGCCAGAAAAGCAGUAAACACAUCGAUGACAUCCAGCGUAAUAUGUUUUUAUUAUGCUUUUAUCAUGUCUCAUUGUGAAACCACUGCAUUGUAAACCAGCUCAGUUAGACACAGGUCCAGUCAGGCCAAUAGAGGAGUCUCUAGCCUCUCCGACAGGCGGUAACUUUGCCUGCUUCUGAAGCGCCAUCUUCAAUUAUCAACAUUUAUCUAUUUAAUUGGACUGCAUUGUAACAUGUUCUCUCUUUAGCCCUGCAAUCAUUAUCCACUGUAAGAGCAUACUGUGUGUGUCUGUGUAACGGUUGACCCAUGUUGCUGUCUGACCAGAGGAAAUUGCUGUCGUGCACCUCCCACUCUGUCAGUAGUUGGUUGGACACAUUCAUUCCUCUCAGGAUUGAGAGGAUCUUUUAGUCCUCAAAGGAUACUUAUUUGAAAUUCAGAUUUCCCAGACAUGUUUCACUGUAUGCAGUAAAGAGCUUACUGCAAAAUAUUCUCUUCAUAAUAACUAAUGGCUUCAACAGUGUUUAUCCAGUAUCUUCAGACACUGAUGUGAAGCAGUUUUACAAAGUGCAGUCUUUUCAGCGUUUCCAUCAGCUAUCUUCUGUAUGAGAGCUUCCCCUUUUGUUUCCAUUAUGUUAAGAAUUUGCAGAAGUUCUUUAAGAUCUUUGGGAUUUUAACAAUGGUGACACAAAGAAAAGACAGAGCGGCACUGUAUUUCCUUCAUAAGUGGGCUGAUUUUUAUCCUCUGCUUUUUUUAAGCAGGAACCUUUUUUUUAAACUUGCUUUUCUUCUGCUUCCUCCUAGUGUUGAUUUCUAUCUACCCUUUGGAAAGGAAAAAAAAUGCCUUUUCAAGUAGCAAACAGAUUCACUAAGUUGUAUUUUCCCAAUAUGAGUUUAACCUGUAGUUGUUACAUACACAAAAGUAUGUAUUUGCAAGUAUCAUGAGAUUAAGUACAUGAUGUGAAAUGGGGGAGGCUAAGAAAGAUGAUUGACUGGAGCCCUUUGAUGGAUUCCUACAGCAUGCAGGAAUUUUCCGGAAGAAUUUCAUCCCCUCUCAUGUAUGUCAGGGCUGUAGGUGUAAGCUUCUUGGCCAUUGCACAGAAAUGUGGGAAGAAAAUCUCAUCCCUGUUUCUGGGACAUGCCAGAAAAUUUGUACUUUGGCCACAGUGGGUUUGCACAUAAAUGAAUGUUAGCAGGACUUUUGUGUCAGGAUGGACCGUCAUGUCGAUAUGCUGUUAAGAUACACUUGAAUACAGUUUAUUUUUAUCUUUUGAACGAUAAACUUUAAACUACCGGUAGUUGGAUUAAGAGCUCAGAUGAAUUGAAUGGGCGGGGUUAUUAAUUUUUCAUCUUAAUAAGUGUUUUAAGAGCAGUGUAAGAAGGAUCACAGGCUCUAAGGACCACAGAGAGGGCUCCAGACAUGUAAUGGAAGAUUGAUGAACAUGUUGAUGAUCAUAAAACAUCCAGCAGUAUCUCCAAAGUACUUCUUAGUCAUUGUUCCUCUCAUAGACUGACUUGAAUUAACAAAGCAAAACAAUUUUGUCUUUUUUUUCUUUAAUGAAAGCAUUGGUUCAGUGAACUGCUGGCUGUGUAUAAAUGAGUUAAGCAAAUAGAUUAAUAUGGAGCAGACGAUUGGCUAAAACCCUUGACAUACCUGCCAGAGGGGAUAAAACACACCUUAGGGCUUUUUGCUAAACUUGCCCCGGGAUGCUAUCCCUCUCUUUGCCUGCAUCUUAUUUUCAUAAUAACAACCUACUGCUUUGCAAAUCUUAUUUAGUUCCUCGACAUUUCAUUAUUAUUUUGUUAUUUUGUUGUGUGCUCUUUAUUUUCACAUUUAUUUAUUUAUUUUUUUUCUUGGCAUUUAAUUUCCUCCUGAGUGUUUGCCACCUACCUCAGACCUUUAUCUUUCAGUUUUGCCACCUUCUCAAUGGGAUUUGUUUGACUGCGCUGGACUCUUGACCUCUGCCUUUCUCUCCAUCCAAUCAACCUUCAGAUGAUUAUAUACAUGGUUUCCUCCUGGAUUUUUUUUUCCCACUUGACCUGCUGUAACAAAACAUAAGACAAGAUUGUAUCAGCUUUUGACCACCCACCAAUGCAUGAUAAGUCAAAGGAAAAUAUACAGUCAGUCAGUGGUCAGGGGAAUAGGAUCCUGACAGGGUGAGACAAGAUCCAGACACAGAGGAGUUUCAUUCAGAGUAAAGUUUAAAAAAUUGUGUUUUUCUGUGGGCAUCUCUAUAAGAUCCUCUUCACUGUACUUUUGUGUUCGUCCUCUAACACUGCCAAAGCUUAUACUGUGUUGUGGUUUGUGGCUGCUUUUUUCUGCUUUUAUUAAUUUGGUCAUUGUCUCUAUCAUCAAGCUCCUUGUGUGUUUUAAUAUCCGUCACAGUUACUCAGUCUUGUCUCUUCUUUACAGUUGACUGGUCAGCUAUUCAUCAAGAGUGCUUAUUUUGCUCGCAAAAUAAAUUAAGUAAUGUUAAAGAUCUGUGUUGUUACCAUGCUAUCCCAUUCGAUUUGUCAGUAACACUUUUUAUCAUGUUGUCAGUGGGGGAUAGUGAAAUAACAAAGUUUAACAGUUAAUGUGUUUUUGCCUCUACUGCUGUUAUAAUGCAAGUCCCCCAGUUGUGGGAAUAGUGAAGGAUUAUUCUAUCUUGUCUUAUUACUAAACCAGAAUAAAUAUGCUUUGACAUUAGACUUGCUGAUCCACAUAUUAUUAUUCUAAAAAUAUACUUCAGGAUAUUAUCUCUACGACACUUUAAUUGGAGUGUUCAAAGUAAAUAGUAAAGACAAAGAUGAUAAUCUGUGUGCACACAUACCCUGGCCACCCAGUGUCUCAGUUUUGCCACCUAAGUCAAUAAAGUUUUGGUAAGCCCCUGCAUAUUGGCCCGAAAAACAAAAAAAUACUUGGACCUGAGUGCUGUCAGACUGUGAAGUUUGCGCAACAAAUGCAGCAAGAAAACAGUUUUAAAAGGGAACGCUGAGAGAAACGGCUGCCAAACUUUUACACCUAUCCCAGAAUGACAGUAAAGAUGAGUCCCAUCCUAGCAGAAGGGGGAUUAACAGUCAGCUGGAGUGUAAUAUGUACUUUGCUGUUUAAUGUUUUUUGUUUGUUGUGAUUUGGUGUGUUAACCUUGCACAUGUAUCAGGGUUUAUGUAAAGCAUUGUGUGCUACAUUUUUUGGUUGAAAACAGUGAUACAAAUAGAGUCUGAUGAAUUAAUGGAUUGACUGAACGUCUGUCCCACAAAUGAGGCUCUAAAUCUGCAGCCUCCGGGUCUGCAGACACAUAUUGCAUGUGAUAAAAAUAAGCUUUAGUUUCAUCAUCUAGCAGCAACCAACUAUGUCUAAAGGAGUAGAGGGAACAAAAACAAAGACUUGUACUGCGUAAGCUGCUCAUUCUCAGACAAGACUGUCAUUUACAUUGACACCACAUGGCAUCUUAAUUUAUGUAUCAUUACCAAUAUAUAUUUACUAUCUGAUUUCCAUUUUUGAAGCCAUGACAGCCAACCUUUUAUAAGGCUUUAAUGUCCUAGAUCUUGUCAUAAAUCUACAAAAUAUACUUGAAGAAAAACAGUUCACUCCCCCCCAGUCCCUGCUGGGACAUCAAAAUGUUUAAUUAUAUGUUAUUACUCUGUACUUAAUAUGAUGAUUGUUGGUGGGCUUUAAAGCACACUUGGGUUGUAUAAAACCUAAUGUGUUUUUUAAUGACAUAUCUAAUGACACACACUUGGUACUGAAAACUGAUUUAAAUGGGCUGCAAGUCACUGCAGGUUAAGAGACAUGAUUAAAGAACUCAAUCAAGUGGUGGUCACUUGUCUGACAGAAAAUCAAACAACUUGUGAAACAGAAAGAAAUGCUCACAGUCAACCAAGCAUUUACUUAUACAGAGCAUAAAACACAAAUAUAUUUUCAUUUUUUUAUUUACCUGUUUUUCAUUCAAGAGAGUGAUGUGGACAUCUUAAUAUGAAAAACUGUAUGUGAUGAAUGAAGUGAAAAUAGGUCACCUUUUCAGGACUACUAUACAAACUCUUUGAUAAGUCAUUGCUGCAAUUCUAAGCUUUUUCUAAAACUGUGACAGAUUGCAUUUAAAAAGUCAAACCCAUAAUAAUCAAGCUCAUUUAUCUGAGUCAGAACAUAUUGUUUUACACAUGAUAUAAAGAUACUGCAGGAGAAAUACAGUAUGAGUUUCUCACUUACUACUCACAGGCCUCUAUAAUACACCUUUUCUAUUCAGACAACCUUUUAACAUGUCACAGUAGAAAAAUCAUAAGUGGAAAUAAUUUAUUUAUGAAUGAUUAUUCCAUUCAGCUGCUUCAGUUCCAAGGUUCAGCUAUUGUGCUUGUUGGCUCACCGUCACACUGUCGAGAACUGCUGGGACACAUGAAUAAACCAGAGUCAUUGUUAAUGGUAUUAGUAACACCUGGGCUUUUCUUGAAAAGAAAAGUCAAAAUGUCUGCUGUGAAUAAAGCCUAUCUCCAAAGGUCCACAUUGCUUUUUACAACACAAAGCCUCAAUUGUAGUACAAUGCGCAGUUCCAACAAUUUUUUCAUGUAUAUAUUUUUUUGGGAUAUGUUCAAUCACUAACAAAAGAGGGGUAGUGUAAGGGCACACACCAGACGUACAACUCACUUAAUCUUUCAGGUCCCAACUAGAUCAUGACGUCUCGGGAUUCUUAAGCUGUUUUUUUCCCUACAAAAUACCAGUUAUGUAUUGGCCAAGGGGGGAUGAUGCAUCUAUAGGCUUUGAGAACCAAUCCAACCAUACUGGAAAAUCUGUAAAAGCCUCCAUAAGCUUGAGAAUCAACACAAACACAACACACAGCCUUGAGCUCAGAGCAUGUUAAGAGGCAGCUCAGAUCAUGCUUUCCAAGGUCAUUCCAAAUGAGCUUGACUGACCUUGCACCUCACUACAAGCAAGUCAUCAUAAAAAAUAAAUUAAUGAAUAAAAACAGAAAGGAGGUAGAUAGUAAAUCCUCCUGUUUCUGUAAAUUUGACCUGUGCCACCAUAACUGGUCAGGACUUUGCAUAGUGAAUGAAAGAUAAAUCCUGGGAUGCUCUGAGACACAUUCUUGGUGGUGUGCCUGAUAUCAUUUGGUGUUUCAGGUCUUUUGACAUCAUACACCCUCCCUCAGGUGACCAAGCCAGUGUUGAUCAAGUCCUGGCUUUUGUCCGAGCAGCACUGUCCCAAUGAUUGCUUUUCCUGAUCCAAAGCCAUCUGGAGGCUCUCUCUGCAGUCUCCAGGGUGUGCUUUAUGGCUUUCCUCCUUGCGACCCCCGUGAUGCCAAGCAGUGUGCAAACUUUGCACAGUGAGGGACCAGCAAAGCCUCGACACCCCUCUUCUACGGGCUCACAGUGUGCCUUCCAACCACUUCCUUGGCAUUGCUCCACCAGCUCCUUGUACUUAGACAGCGUCCACUUCUUUGCCUCCUUGAUACGGACCUCCCAUGGAACUGUCAGAUCUAUCAUGAGCACUUGCCUUGCAGAGACAGGGGAAAGCAUGAUGUCUGGCCUCAAGGAUGUAAUGUGGUCUGGGAACAUGAUUUGCUUGCCCAAGUCUACUCUCAGCUCACAAUCUGAUGCUGAGGUUAGUAGGCCACCUGCUUGGUUGUGACUGAGGCUGCUCUCCAGCCCUGACGAAGAUGAUGUUCCUCUUGCUGGUGCUGGUUGUUGUUGUGGACUUUGGCCUUGGAGAUGGCUUCAGCAGCUGCCUUCAGCACUUAGUUGUGCCGCCAGCGAUAGCGACCCUCCCCCAGUGCUUUCAGGCCGCUGCUGAGGAUGAGCUCAAGUUAACCUCAAUAGCAAGAUAGUACAGAGCACAAGCUGAAGAGUCGUCCAUGCCCCAGAGAUGGAGAUUAGCUGGGCUAGGUGGGACAUCAUAUGCAGCUGUGAUAUCCGCAGCGGUGCCCUCUUGCAGUGGGGCUAAAGACAAACCCCAAACCCUGCAUGCCCCAUUGUCAUGGUGUCCACCAAAGUCCUGUGUCUCAGCUGGGACUCAGCUACCUCCAGGCCUUCCUGUGCUUUUCACCUCUGCCUGUACACACCAUGAUGCCUGCCUAAGCAACUCUCGAGUCUUUAGAGUCUUGAUGGAUCAUAGACUCUUUUGUCCAAGGCAAUCUAAAGUCCUCGUCAAGGCUGCGCAUUGGGAGCUGGAGUUUGUUGGUCUGCAAUGGCUGUAAGGCAGGCCCAGCCACCUGCGGAGGUAACUGCUGGUCUUCCUCACCAGGGUUUCCACUGUUGACAGGGCCACUUUGUACACCAACAAGGGCUAGAGUGCCCUGGUUAGGACGCUGUGCUGGUAAAUACAUGUCUUAAACCUUGCGAGCAAGCCAGACUUGUCUACAGCUGACAGCCAUGUUUCAAGCUCCUUGAUGGUAGUUUGGAUUGCUGCUUUAUCCCUAAGACUACAGUCAAAAACCUUUGUGGAAGAAAUGUCUGUUUUUUUUUUCCUACUAUCAUGUACCACUUCUGCAUGACACUGGAAAAAGCAAAGUUUUUUCAAAAAUCUUCGUUACACUGAGAAAAUUAUUUAGGUACCUGAACUUUCUAUCUGCAUGGAUUUUACUGCGCCAAGAAAAAAAACACGAUGAAGUGUCCUGUCCUUGACUCAUUAGCAUCACAUAAUCAUAUUUCCAUCUGCUCUGACUCUUGUUUUUGUGACUUUUUAUCACUUUAACCUUUUCAAUACUUGGCUGUAAUUGUUAAAACCUGCACAUUUUACUUAGUGUCCCUGUGAUUCAUUUGAGGCAUCAAGCUGAAAAAAAAAACAAUAAAUAAAAUACAGUUUUGAAGAAAUAACUGUAGAACAAGAACUCCUGGAGCAGUUAAGCUGAAUACUCUUUUUGUAAUGGUUGUAUGUUUGUAUGUGGUCAGUUAUUUCCGUAGAUCAGAACAGUGCAGCAAAAAAAAAAAACAUAGUACCCAAGUGUUUCUGUUCUGGUUUGAUCUCAUAACCACAUCCAAUUACAUCAAUCCACUUGAAAGAUUGUGAAAAUGAACGCUCUGCUUUUUAAUGUGUUCUAGAGGUGUAACCAUUUGUCAAUGUGGGCAACAACAAUCAAAACAAGUUUUAGACUGUAGUAAAUUGUCCAUAGUAAAUUGGUUAUGUCAUACUUUUGUAAUGCUAUGAGUGGAUAUAACAUUGCUUUAUAGAUCUCAGUUACUGAGGAGUGAGCUAUCUCAUAUCUUUACUGUCUCUGCUAAAGGAGUGCAUGCAAGACAGUGACCCAGAAGUGACAGGUGAACAAAACAGCAAAAUGGCAGUGUCUGAAGCAACACACUUGUGUCCUAAAAUUUCACUCAAUUCACUCUUAGCAUGCAAUUAAAAAGAUAGAAUGAGAUCAGAAGAACUUAUUGAUCCUUAAAGGGAAAUUCAAUAAAGGGCGUCCUGUAAAAUUUGCGAGCCCAUCUUGCUUAUCUUAGGAGCUCACAAGGAUUUAAAGAGAAGGCAUGCUGGGCAUCUGGGCAACACCAAGAAUGACAUUCAACUGAUCAGUUCAAAUGAGAAAGAGACUGAUGAAUCAGUGAAGCCAAAUAAAAGCAUUUUGAGAUCAUCAGCAUUUAUCAAACUAUUGUAUUUAAUCAAAAUCAUUACAAAAAGACUGUUAAAUUAAUAUAUUUAUGUAUUUUACAACAUAAACCCGAAUGUAACCCUUAUAUUCAAGAACCAAAAAUGAAAUAAAUAAAUAAAAGCUCAGUCCAAAAUGUGUAAAGCAAAAUACUCAUAUGAAAUUAUCAAUAAUUAAACUAUCAAACAGAAAGAAAAACAAAUAAGGAUAUUCAUCCACAGGAAAUAACUCAAAAUCUCACAAUAGUUAAGUUGAGAAUAAAAUAAAAACGGUGUGUUUUUCUAACAUCAGUUCAAAGUAAAAAGAAAAGUCUACUCUCCUGCUGUACCUGACCCUUCCUUCAGCCUGAGUAACAAGAAGGGAGAAACUGAAUGGUGGCACAAAUGGGAAUGAACUGGAUGUGGAUGUGGGAGUUUCUGAUUGUGUAAGCUUACACUCCUUCAGAGGUCUAGUGGUGUCGGUUACGACAGGUCAGGACUGUUUUGGACCUUUUGGGGGUCGUACAUAAUACUGACCGGCUGGUCGUGGUAUUUUAGCCAACUGGUGGAUUCAUUUAAUAAUAUUAUGUCCAAAGCUAAGACAAAAACAUGGCUGAAGUUAUGAUUUUUAGUGAAUUUUGAGCUUCAAGGUAAUAAUACAUUUGAAGGCUGAUAGGAAAGAGCCAUUUAAUUAUUGUCAUCAUCGAACCAGAUAAUAAACCAUUAUGUUAAUUGAUGUUCUGUUGAUUAUCAAAAUAGUUGAAGCUUUUAGUUGCAUCCCUGAUAUGGUCUUUCAUCAACCUGUUUAUAUUUAUUUUAUUAGAAUAACUUGUUAUAGGCUAAACACUGUAUGUAAUGAAAUACUGUGGAAUACUUGGCGAUGAUAUCAUGCAUUAAUUAAAUAGCCCUCAAGCCAUUUUUCACCAUUUGUUGUCUUGAAAAUCCAUGUGUAGCCAUUAGCUCCUUAAAGUUGCAUCUAAAAUUCGAAAUACUAGUUGUGUAAAUCUAAAAUUGAAAACAAAAACUGUAUGAAAAAGUGAUGGCAAUGUUGAUGCAACAACUUCCUGGUAUCCCUCUGUCCACGGACCCUAACCUUGAGUGUCAUGUUUUAAUAUGAUGACAGAAGAUGCAAUCAGAGUUGCAAUUAGUAGGAUGAAAUCAUCUGCUUGUGUUCUUGACCUUAUUCUAGCCAAGUUGUUAAGACAGUUCCCAGUUCUUCCCCUGAGAAACAAAUUAUCAUAAAAUGCUCUGAGAUUAGUCCCCUUUCCCCUAAAGCUUUUUAAACAGCCAUGCUCCAACCUCUGCUUCAACAGCGGCACUUAAAAAUGACAUCUCUAAUCUUCCAAUCUCGGUAAAAUCUCCUGCAAAAAAAGGUUUCCAUCCAGUUAUAUUUUCUGCUGUGACAUUUCAGAAAUGUAUGACACUCACUUUUACACAGCCAUUUAAAAAGUUCUGUUGGUUCCCACUGUAGAACUGGUGAGGCUUAUCUGCCUAACAAACCAGGGAUCAUCCUGCUGAAGAUAUUUAUUGCUGAAAAACAAACAGACAUAAAACCCACCAACAAAAAUGAUUUUAGCUAGAGGGCAUGCAAUGUUUCUGAUUGUUCAACUCAGUGCUUCACUUAAUCCCUGUGUACUUUUCAAAUAUUACAUUCUGUUCUGCAGCAGUUUAGGUAUAUAAAUACACACACACACACAAUUGUACAGCUGUAUUCAUAGUCAUAUGUGUGCCGGUACAUUCGUGCAGUUGUCUUCAACCACCUAACAGAUAAGUAACAUUUUCAUUUUACUUUUAGCCUUUUUAGUUCUGGUCCAUCUCUAAAUAUUAAAGAAAACAAAUCUAAAAGCUCCACCAUGCUCAACAGCUAGUCGCUAACUUUGUUAUAAAUGCAGAGCAGUCAGUGUGUGAUGCAUGUAUUAUUUAUCAGAUCUUCUUUUUAGUUUGAUACAGCUACAGGCUACCCAGAAAGAAUUGAUCAGUAAAAAUGAAACGAAACAGAAAAAGCUGCAGGUCAGAGAACCAAAACGAUGAGUUGAAAGCUCCAAAGGUUUCAAAAGCAUCUCAGUUAAUCUUUUACCAUAAAAUACCACAUUAACAUUGUAUUUUCUAUCUAAUUAAUCUGAUAUAAAAAGAAGCCAAAGAACAACUUUUGCAUAUUAAACUGUGUGACAAUGGGUUUGAGAGUUGAGGUAGUGAGGUUUUGGAUAAAUGCAAAGUUGCAUAUGAAACUAACAACUCUGACAAGCCUGUUUCAAAAGCAUGUCUUGUCAUUAUAUACAUUAGUCAAAAAUUAUGUGUAUGAUUUAUAUUAUGGUCUAGAGAGUAAGUUGUGCACUUAGAGUUGAAGGACCUGUCCACUAAAGUAGGCAAAGAUCUAUCUAGCUGCAUUGGUUCAGUUAUUCUCUCAGGAGGGAAAGUGCUCUGCCUUUUAGUAUGUCACCAUUUCUGUAGCAUCCAAUUCUCUGUCAGGACUUAAGUCUUUAAGGCUUCAAUUUUAGGUUGGCAUAGACACUGCACUCUGUGGUUCAUAAGAAUGAAAAAGUUUUGGCCAGCACUGUAUUUAAUCUUUUUAUUGAAGUGAAGCUCCGAGAAUAGCUCCCUCCCACUGUCUUGGUUAUGCACUCAUGCCAGUGACUAAUAGUCAUCACGAAUUUUGGGCAGGUACAUGCUUUCUCUAAAAUCUGCAAUCUGAUACAUGUAGUGUGGGACAAAUUAAUCAUAAUUUGGCCUUUGGCUUUCAUUAUGCAAACAUUUCCAUGUGAAUCUGGAAGUGAUAGGUGAGAAUAUAACAGCUUUUGUUAGUCAUCUUUUUUGGUCGGUUCUUAGUAGUCAAGGAGGAAGCAGAUUAGAUGAGCUGCUGAUCUUCACAGUUCUACCCACCACUGAAGCCAGUGUUUGAAGCUAUGGGAAGUCACAACAUGUUCUAUAUCUGGUAGGAAAUCUAAUCCAAAUAUAUCCAAGGAAUCAUUUGAUUUCGCACAAGAGUCGAGUGAAUUCUUGGCAUUAGAUUGUCAAUUCUACAUUUCCCAAAGCCAGGUUUUGUAGUGGAGCUCAAUCAAAUCAGCUUUGAAUUCCAGUGAUCAUCACACUCAUUAAAUUGUGUUUAUACUGCAAUCAAUUUUUCCAUGCUCCAGUAAAAAGACAGCAGUUUUAGUUAUGUGCAGCCAAUAUUGUCUCUCUCUGAAGUUUGAACAGCCCUUUUAUGAGGACACAGUCUCAGCACAUAAUUUACUUUUACUUGUUACUUAUUGAGUAUUUCAUAGUACAGUGUUUUAUGUAGCCUUUGUUAGUUUGCCAUUGUAAUUUAAUACCCAGCUCAUCCAAAGUCCUCUGAACUUUUAGAUACCAUAUAAAAUAAAAUCUCUGGAUAGCUUCAUAUGCUUAGUGCAUGUAAUAAAUCUAAAGUAGAUAUGUAAUUCAAUAAAUCUGAAUUACAUUAGGAGAACUCUAUCUCAGCGAUUCAAUUUAGGACUUAUGAGGCUUGAAUUAUGAAAGACGAUCACUGUCUGCCUUCUGCCGUCACUGCAUUCGAACUAAAACUGAGAAGCAUUUCAUAAAGACAGUUUAUAUUAGUCGCUUUUAUAAAUGAAUAGAGUUACAUAUAACUUAAAAAAGACGUGGAUUUUUGGAGAUGAUGGUGUGCCUGGCUUUAGAAGUCAAUUGGGGUCAGCAGUAUGAGGCUUUUAAUUUUCCUCCGCUUUUCCAUUAGUGAACAGUUGCAGCUGUUUUUGCAGUGAUUAGCUUCACACAUGUGGCGUAUACAAAGUGCUACCAGGCUAACAGCUGAGUCAAAAGUAGAGGGCCAGGCCCCCUUGAUGAGGUUUUCUUACAAAAAAGAAAAAAAAAAUCUUUCCCCUUUUCUGAAAAUCUCCUCCUGUCUCCGUGGGUGUAAAUGAAAAGAAAAGUAUCUCCCCUUAAAAGUCUCAACGGAAAGUGAUUUGCAUUGUAUUAUUCAAAUUGCAGUUAAGUGCAUAAUACAGUCUAAUUACAUGGUACAGUACCGAGUGUGUUUUGAAUUCAUGCAUUUCAUUUUCAAGCAGGCUAACACAGAAUGAAUCACAUGAAAUGAAUAAUGGAAGACUGCUAUUGUGUGGAUCUAAAAAACUCAGUGCUUUUGCAUUUCACUGUGAGAGUGGGCUGAAAAUGCGCGCUCCUCUGUGGAAUGUAAAUACUAAAGUAAAUACUUGAGCAUAUGUGCAUGCAUCUGCACCUGUGUCUGCCUGCUUGUUUGUUUGUAUGAGUGGAUCCUGUACACCAGGGCCAGGGGACACUCCUACUUAUGAGACACUGUUCGUAUAGAUUAUGAAAGUGAAUGCCUGGCAUCUGUGGAGAUUCAGACCUAAUACAUUUGGUUUUACUAUAAAGCAUUCAACAAUAUUGGAUUUACGAAGAUCAUCAGGGAGCCGUGCUCUUCCAGUGUUGUUGAUAGUCUUUCAGUGUGGCGAGAUCCUGGGACCUGGGUUGGGAUUUGAGUGGGUCCCUUGAAAACUUAAGGGGUCCCUGAUAAGAAUUAGAGAGUCUAGAGCAGCAGUACUGUAGAAAUAUUCACAAUGAACAGAUGUAUCAUUAUAACUGUUAAAAAUGUUCUGGAAAUCAAAAGAAUAAUAAUUUAUCACAACAAUUUGCCUAAUCUUUGCCUUUGCUGGCAUUUCCCCCCACGUCUCCUCACAGUAUUUAUUCAGGAACUCCAUAGUAAUGGAAAAUGAACAGAGGUUGGAAACACAUGCAGGUAUAUGUUCUAUUUUUAAAGCUAUUUUAGAUAAAGAAUUAGAAAGAGUCCAUUUAGGAGGGAAAAAAAAAAAACAUCAGUUGCCACCUAAAAAAUGUCAUCCUUUAGAGCCAAAUCUAUUCAGUAUCUGGGUGUACUCCAACUGUUUCUGGCAUUCUGAAAACAUAACGCAUAGUGCUAAAAAUACAUUAUUUUCAGGAGAGAAACCGCUUCAUGAUUUUAUUAUAAGGAUACAGCACUUAGACAAGGGUAGGAAUUAUGUGUUCGAGAUUUUAUGUGAUUUAUUGUGAUAUAUGUUAUUUAUUUUGAAAAGAAAACAUGAAAAACAGGGUAUUUGGAAUCAGGAUCAAAAGUCAUAUGCAUUUCUACAGAUAUGAUGUUUGACAAUGUUGAUAAUGAAUUUCUUAUAGAGCAAAGAAACUCAUCUAAUGCAAAAAAUAUGGCUUGAUAUGACCAGUUUGCUUGCGAAAAUGAAAUUGUCAUGUACCACAGUGCAGCAGGGUCCCUCUAUGUUUCUUACUAUUAACCACGACACUCAGCAGGAACAAACAGGCCAACUGUCCCAUAAAUGGGCUCCUCUGUCUCUGCUGCAGUGAUCAGAGCAUCACAGAGACAUCACCUAUUUUUCUGGUUACCUGGGUGACCAGUCCCACCCCAUCUACUUAAUAAUUGGUAGGCUCGAGCAGCAACACUAGCACCUUGCCAAACAAUUUAGGCUGUGAUGUUUCAGUCGUAGCGCCCUGAGCAGCAAAACAAACAGAGCUGUGUGUGCUCUGAAAAAGAGACUGAACACAGCGGUGUCUGCCUAUGUGCUCAUUGUUAAUGCUGUCCUUUCCUUUGGAUCAUUUCAACAAAAAAACUUAACAGGCUACCGUGGUAUGCAAGCUACCCUGGCUAAUGCUAGUGAUCACCUCACUGGCUUGUAUUUCUCGAAUACAAGCCAGUUUACUCAAGCUAAUGCCUGAUGAAAGUGACACAGAGGUACAUUUAUAACAUAACAACAUUAAAAGCUACACCCCUGCUCCACUAAUGGUUCACAGUGUCACGCCAGGGUCCUCUCAAAUUUUUAUGGGUGAGGGACGCAGGAUGUGUACCAAGCGACAUCACUGCACUUUCUUCCCUCAGUAUGUUGAUCCAGAUUUAUCAUGUCAGUAAGGCAGCAGCUUAAGUUAAAAUGUAGGCCUGAGUAAGUGUGAGCAGUUACAAACCCAGUGUCAAAUGUCAAAGAAUGACCAUAAUCUUCGUAUCACUUAUAUGGCUUUGAUGGAAUUGUUGCUCUAAAUAAAUGAGUCAGCUAUUAAUUACUGUUCAUUUUGAUUAAAAUCAGCCCAGGGUUAAAUCAAAUAAAGGGCUGUGUGGGCAGAUGAUCAAAUAUAAUGGAGGAAAGCUUCAUUAAGAAUGACAUUGAUAAGUUUGAAAGUUUAUUGGACACCACACGUGUGUACUCAUCAUUCUUUGAUACCAUCUGGAAGGAUUUACAACUUUGAAAAACUGUCACAGCAACAGGAAACUCAGCUCUGGUUGGAACAAUCAUUGCACAAACAGUAAAAUUAAACCUGUUAUGUAACUACAUUGUCGAUGGUAUUCUUGCUGAUCAUUUUCCAAUGUUGUAGCUUGCAAGUCAGAAUCAGAAUACUUUAUUUAUCCCAGAGGAGAUUUGGUGAACUUGUGAACUUACUGCUGGCCCACUCUCUUUUAUUCUUUUGCUAGAGCCUUUUGUGUCAAAUGUGAAUGGCUUGUUUUCAUGCAGAGCUGAUUUGGCCCUCCUCAUCUACUGACCUAUAAUUUAGCUGGCUAGUUAGCUUAAGGUAACCAGAUUUCUGUAAUUAAAUCCAGGGACAUCCAGAGUGCUAAGCAAAAUGUGAUUUUAGGCCCUCUAUUUCGGCAUCGGCUUUGUGAUCUCAGACAACAACUCGGUGCUACUUAGUAGCAGCGCACGCCCCCCGUAAUAACUCCCCGUAACAACUGUUUUUCAGGACUGCAUGCAACAUGCUUACCCGUGCCUCCUACCUACUCGGCUACCGUAAAAUAACCCUUUUUCUAGUCUAUACGCAACAUUUUUUUCUCAUUCAUGAAACACUUAACUCGGGGACAUUUCCAGGGACAGCUUUAGCCGGUGACAGGUCAUCCAAAACGGGGACGUCUGGUCACCUUAAGUUAGCUACAACAGGCUACCUUCCUUGUCAUAUUUUGCAUGUAAGAAAUUUAUUCUGAAACAGGUUUUCUUUCAAAUGUCAUGAGCAUGUGUGGAAAAACUAACACAUACGUCCUGAAUUUUGAAAAUGGAAACCUGCUACAGUCUGUGACUAACAGCAUGAUCUGAUUGGAACUAGCAAACUUUAUCCAAACUGCAAAAAAAAAAAAAAAAAGAAAAAAAAAAAAAGAAAAAAGGUCCAAAAACUGAAUCUUGAACUUCCCACAAGAGCUGAUGGCUUCUUACUUUAUGGUGUAUCACUCAGGAUACCAUAUCUGAUGCAUCAUUUUAAACACAGUCUGCAAGAGAUCCGUCUGGCAGAAUUGGCGCUGGUGGGUGCUUUAUGCUGCACAGAGCGUUAGUUUUUAUGUUUGCCUUGCUGGAGUGGGAGUUUCUAUAUGGCUGCUCUGGGCUCACAUAAGAACACUGCGAUUCAGCUGAGACAGAAGAACAGAGGUGGAAAUAUAAUGCAUACCUGUGUUAACUGCUGUAUACUGCUAACAAUCUGUUCACACUGAGGACAAAAGAGAUAGCAUGACAGCUCAACAUAAGGAUAAAAAGAAGAGUCUGAUGGAUGUUAAGCCAUCAACUUUUCCUUUCUUUUCAUACUUCACAACAGAAUUAAGCUUCUUCAAGCACAUUGAGGUAGACAUGCUCUUUCAAAGCAGCUUGUCAAUGGAAGAAUAAAUGCUGGUGUAACUGACAAUGUUAAUGAUUGCUCUUUUUAUUCUCAUGUCCUGGUGUGACAUGACAGUGUGACAUUAAGCUAGCUCACACAGUAACUGGAACACCGGAACAGAAGCAGCUUAAUACAGCCAUUGCUUUGUUAUUUUCUCUGUUUUACACUCUUAAUCAGCUACUCUAACACUUCAGAGACAUUCUGGUCACCAGUAUUUAAAUUUCAUUUUAUGUAUAUGCUUUGACCUAGAUGGUUGUUAUGUGAAUGGCCUUGCUAUUAACACAUUAGAGUCAUUAGCAAUGGCUUCCAAAGCAUGAUUGACAUGUUAAUUAAUUAGAUGGCCAGACAAGAGAGAGUGGUAAUUUGCCUUCAGUAAAAUAGGUUAUAUUGUCGGUGUCAAGCCAUAAAUUCUGUGAGCAGGAACUGGAUCUUUCAACUGAACAAGUUUGACACCUCCCGUCUGAGCAAAGCCAAAAUUACUUGUAAAUCUGUCUGUGAUGUUUUAUGCUGCGGUGUAAGAACAUCCGGUUUGAAUGCACAACUAGGCUGUGCCCCCAGUAGACACAGAAACCCCACGAUUAUAUCAUCUUGUGCAGGGCUGGAAUUUUGGUGCAGGAAUGCAGGUAUUUUGCAGAAAAUUCUGGCGCUCAUAAAUCAGCCAACAUUAGAGGAAUCCUAUUUCUUUACAUUGUGUACAAAAGAAAGACACACAAGCCAUUAAUGAUGCAGCCAAUGUGCAGUUAGAAUGUUAUAUUCUUUGGCUGAGCAAAAUAUUGUUUGAACAUUGCGAUUAGGAUGUGCAAUAGUAUUGCAAGAUGUGCAUUGUCAGUCACAUGGCCAAUUAUAUGACAUGCUAUCAACACUUCUUCUUUUGAACAGAGAACUGACUGCUAUGCAUGUAGAGUCUGUACGUGCGUGUCACAUAACUGUAAACUGUAAACAUGCAUGAAACACUACUGCUGUCACGGAUACCUCAGUAAACCUCAGGGAAGCCUGAGACCAUCUUCGACUAUCUAUGUUCCACCAGCUACAAGAACUGUGCAUACGUGGCUUCAUCUUAUUAGUACAUAUGUAUGCAUGAAAAGAUUGCUACAGAGCUGGUGGAAAGGUCCUUUAAUUCCAGAAUAACAGGCACACAGCACAGCAGCCUUACAUGAGUUUGACGGUGCAUGUUGUCAACAACAGUUGGGCUCUGCAAAGUGUCUGCUUUCAAACAGUUUACUUGCCAGAUUAAAAGGUGAGGGAUAACAACUUGUUUUGUGUCAUUUCUUUGUCAUUUGUAUUCUUUUCUUUCAGAAGGAAAGAACAAUAUUGAUUGAAAUCACAACUUGGGUUUGGUGUGAAAAAUUUGGAAAUUUUACCUUUGGGCCCCAUUGCCGAGUCCCAACUUCCAUAGCCUUUAUGUUCCCAUUAACAUGAAGAAACAUUUUCAUUUUUGGAUAAUUCUUCUUUCUGCAAAAAAACAACAACAGUUAAAAAGUUAUGCAUCUCAGCUUUGAACCUAGAAAAAUCGAUCUUUUCACUGCACAAAAAUCGUGUGGGGAAGACGAGAAGCAUUUGGAAUAAUGUCUUCCUAGAACUCCCCUUACGUCAGUGCGAGUGUAAAGGAGGGUAAGUGGCAAGCCACCAAGCUGUAACAGUGUUGUUUUCACAGCUCUACAGGACUUGCCACCUAUGCGAUGGGAGUGCAACCACAUGCAAACAUGGAUUCCAACUGUGUAUAGAGAAACAAAGCUAUAACCAUACACAAACACAGGGCCUUUAAAGUGCAAAGGCACUACUACACAGGCACUCACUUAACUCUUAAUUAUCAUGGAUGCUCUUGUCAUCAAUUAUUAAGCACACUCUAGGCAUUGCUAAUGGUAUUUUUGGAGAGGAAGCUUUAUCUACUGUAAGAAGGUAGAUGUCUAGUUUGGGAGCCUGUGAAAUAAUUUAUCCUGGCCCCACAGGCAGUUUAAAUGCUGUCUGUAUUUAAAUUAACUGCUAUGUCUCAGCAAGUUUAGGUGGUUUUGUCUGACCCUUAUUUUGUAUCCAUUCAGACAGCAAUUACUUUCCAGCUGGCAUGCAAGACAGUUUCAAUAAUUUGAGACAGACGUUAUCGUAAAACCACUGCUCGGCUGUUUCUCUGCAAAGUGUACUGGAUACCAGAGCAUUGUUGUGAUUUUUUUUUUUACUUUUUUCUACUUGAAACCUUAAAAAAUCUGUACUUAAAAUCAUGAGUUAUGUAAAUGACUCAGACAGAACAUUUUUCCAUACUGUAUGUCUAUUUAUAAUGAUGCCAGUUUGAUUGACAGUAUUUCAUAUUAUAGCAGAUGGUUGCAGAAUCUGAUGCUGAUGAUGGACAUUUCAGGAAAAGAGAAUACCUAUUUGGGUAUAUACUGUAGGACAAGGUAUCCAGUGGCUUAAAACAAAAUAAAACACCUCAAUACCACCUCACUGUGAUGGGGCUCGAAAUUUGCCCCUCAGCUUUAAAACAAAUGCUUUCAAUUUGGAACAAUCCAAGCAUCACCAAAAUGAGACAUUGUGCUGGGUGAGGUAGGGAUACUGAAUUUUCAGCAGGAAAAGAAAGGCAGUAGGAGGCUUUGGUGGUGAAAUCAGCAGUGUUGCUUGUCAGCUCCUGUGUAAUGGAAAAUGUAUUUAAAAUGGGGUCUACUGGAUCUCAUUUUACGAAUCAUUAAUAAUAAAUUGGUGCCAUCAAUCCUAAUGAUGACGGGUGCCCUAUUAUCAGGCCAGCAUUUGGGGAAAUUUCUGUUGGCUUGGAUCAAUUAAUUCUCCUUUUCCUUAUGCAUAAAACAUCUGUUUGCUUUUUUGAAAAACACUGUUGCAGAAAAAAAGGACCUUGGGGGUUUGAAGCCUUGCUGGUCGGAUCAGUGACCUAUUUAACCUCUGUUUGUGGUUUCUGUUGACUGCUGAUACCGAGAGACAGAGGAGGCAGAUAGCAGAGGAUGCUAAGCUCCGGGCAAUGGACACAUACAGAAUAAGAGGGGGGGUAAAAGCUAAACCUACAAUAGCUGAGUUAAAGAUCCAUGACUAUACACGCUCCAGCCAUAUGACCACACUAAUAGAAGAGAUUAUUUGGAGUACUAGGGGCAUUAUGGUUAGAUGAUCAUGGAUAUGUCCUUGAACAACAUCCAUCAGUCAUAUUUUCCCCCUCGCUUCAUGCCAUGUUUAUGAGCGUGCCCUGAUAUGCAGCCAUUAUGUGGAUUUACUUUCAUAUACACAACAUGCAGGUAGGUCACUGCACACAAGUACAGGUUAUCAUACAGGCAUGUAAAACAAGAAGCCAUUUACCUUCUGCAGAGCAUUACUACAGCAGCAUUUUUCUGUCUCUUAUGUCAAACGUUCCGAAACUGGGAGUAUUGAAAAAGGCGCACAUUGGAACAUUUUUCCAGCAGGAUAGUUUAUAUAGGAAUGUUUAUGGCCCUCUGUAGGACCAGCGAUGCAUUGCCAAGCUCUGGAAAGGCGACAACUGAAAGGGUGUUGAUUUAAUUACAUUAAAGCUGCAUUUAACUUGCAACCAUGUCCACAGCCAAAACAUUUUGGGUGUUGGAUGCUUGUCUUACAAUCAGGAUUAGACAGAAGAAUACGAAUGAUGUGAAAUGGAACUACGGUAUCUGUUUCCCAUUUUAUCAUCUGUAUGCUUGUGCAUUCUCAACCCCCUAUUCACUAAGUGGUACUCUUGGUUCAGCAUUAGUUUAAAUUUGCCCAGGCAGACAUUAUCAAACAACUCUGCAAGUGGGAGCUUGCAUCAGCUAGAGCAGAUCAUCAAGUCAAGUUUGUGUUGCUAACAGCAGCUACCAGGGUGGGCGGCUAUGUGAGGGAAACUGACCUCACACAGUUUCACUGCAGUAUUUUAAGAUUUUGUAUAUAUGGACUUCCAACGUGACAGAACCUUCAUAAUUGUUCUUAGAAACAAUGGAGAGCAUCCUGUUUGGUUGCUGGGCCCAUCACAGAGAUUCUCUGUAGCUGAUGAAUUAAACUAUUCAGAAGGUUGUUGCUUUCUAUGUAGCAAAUAUAAGUAACUUUGGUGGGUUGAGAUCUCAGUGCAGAUCUCAAAGGGAACUAAAAGUGGGCACCCAUCUCUGAAACUGGCUGUUGACCUUGCUGAUGUCUGGCAAACGAUACUGGAGUAUCUGCUGCUGUUCUCGCAGACUACAGAGUAACUUCGUUUCCCCAGGGUCUAAGGCUUAUAAAUUCUUCCUCCGUACUGUAAAUAAAUCUUUCUCUUCUUGUGUGUGUGUUUUUGUGGGUUGCAAAAAGAGACUAGAGCUUGCAUUGUUGUGCAACCCUGUGAUAAAUAGAUGUACCUUGAACUGUUAGUCCUAAUCACCCAGACCCUGAACUCCUUAGGGUCCAAGGCAAUAACCAGAGUUUAGGGAUGUUUUAUUUACAACAGAUGUUUGUAUUAAUGUCGAGAAUACAAAAUGUUCCUGGAUGGCACUUACUAUGAAACAAAUGUGAAUAAUACUCGGCAGAGUGUCCACUCAAAAUCCCCCCCCUUCCAUAGAUAAAGAAGCACCCAUUGAAAUGUCCUAUUUGUGAUAGGACAUUUUUCUUUGGUAUUGCUGUUAAAGCACAAGAAAUGAAGCCCAGCAUGGUAACUUAUUUGUCUUUUGGAAACAACUGUAAAAUUUAUGGGCUGUUAAAGGAACAAAUUCUAAUUAGAUUUGAGCUGAUAUGGCUUCAGACUAACUUUUUUUAUAACCGUCCCAGAACUGGCACAAAAAAAAACAAUUGUAACUGUCCCAAAGUGAAUUUAUAUUGUUCCAAAAUCAAAAUGCAGUUUCUUUACUUUCCUAUUAUCAUCUACAGCUGUUGUCAGUGGCAUAAGAAGAACAACAUUGAAUAGCGGAAACAAAAUAUUUCUUCAUCACCUAUCACGGUAAAUUAGGAGUUUGGGGGGUUGAAUUGUUUGCUGGACCAAACAAGCAUCCUCAUGUUAUGUUUGGCUCUGUUGCUCUGAACAAAUACUCUCAGUCCUUUUGUGCUUUCCUUUGUUCAUUCCUGUAACUAGAGUAACAAAGUCUCCAUAUGCUCUUUAUUAGCUGAUGCCAGUUAAACUAGCUGUCAAUGCUAUGUAACCAUUGAGGUGAUGGUUGGCUCCCUCAAACAACUGUCUCAGUCAGAGUGAGAUCUCAUUUUGGUGCACCUUGUGAAAGUGGCGGAGUAAUAUUACAGCAGUGAGGAAAUUCACAGCAGUUCUGUCCAGUCUUCUGAAGGAUGAAAACAUGUCAGAGACCAAAUAGAAGCGAGAGGCUGGUAUCAGUCAGCAUCUAUCUUUAGAGGCCUGAUUGUGGAGAGGUCUGCUACCAGGGUACCAGGAGCCUAUCUUUCAAGAAGUAACCUCAAUUUAGUGUUAGUCAUCAAACUGACCUGUAGUGACCUUGUAGGCGCUGUUUGUCGCUGCACAGCAGUGAUUAUCUUUAAUGUAACUUCAAGAACCUCAUCCCGGCUCCAUUGUCCUUUAUUAGAUUUUCUUCAUCAAAUGUUUGUUCUACUUGUUCCAUCCCGCGAGGUUUUAAGCAGUUCAUUGUGAUGACAUGCAGCUUCUUCUUCAGUGUUUGAUUUCUCAGUUUAUGCUGUUUUUGACCUUCAUCAUCCUAGCUUUUGCAAUACAUUUGCUGUUGAAUCUGUUUUUUUUAUUGAUUGAAUAUUUGUUUAAGGGCGGCAGUGGCUCAGGAGGUAGAGCAGCCGUUUAACAACCGGAAAGUUGGUGGUUCUAUCCCCCCAUAUCCCAAAUCUGUGUGCUGUGUCCUUGGGCAAGACACUUAACCCACUUUACUCCCAGUGUGUGUCCUCCACUGGUGAAAUCUGAUGCAUUGUUAUUAAUUGUAUUUGUUUUACUCUUUUGUUUUUCUACAGCCUAUUACACCCAGUGGAAAUCUUACCCAAAGUUUUCACUUGCUGGCCUGCAUAAGUUGUUUGUAGUUGGUAAUAUUACUUUCACUUUUUAAGAUAGUUUAAAAUAACAGCAAAUUGGUAAGUGCACCUCUAGUGCUUGGGGACUGCAAGGUGUUUCAUCACUAGUAAGUUAUUGUAUUAUUAAAUAAAAUUAUUUUUUAAUUGUAAUGCAUUAUGAAUAAGUUUCUGAUUAGAGUGACAUAAACUCCUCUGAUACAGGCCCCCAGUGUAUUUUUUAUGGUCUGACAGUUUGAAUGACUCUCCUGAUAUCUUGAUAACUUCACUUCUUGCUGCUUUAGCUUCUUUCUUCUGUUCUAUUUACUUUGCAGAGAUUUUCAUCUGUGUUUACCUCUAUCACUAGAUCAUGUAUACUGCCGUUCAAGUGUUUGUUUUGCUUGUGAAUUGGUUCUCCAGCUGAAUCCUUUUUGUCCUUGAGUGAAGUCUUUGAUUAUCAAAGCUUUUUCGGUAUUAUUUAAUUGAAUAAACAGUAGUUUAUUGCAGUAAAUGGCCCUUUAUGGUCUAAAGUAUGGGUCUCACCCUGAAUUAAUACCAAAGAGGAUAAGUCUCCAGGGUUUUUAUACAUAAUGUAUGUCCUCAUUUGCCAGCUCUGGUCUUUUUCAUUUGAUCAAUGGCAUGGACCUUACUGGUACAUUUAUCUGACGAUGUUUAGACUUAAAGUGUGUGCUUUGACAGCAGCAAACAUUACCAUUUAAAAUGACAAAACAACAUCUAUGUUGUCUCAUUUGUCAACCUGUUCUCACUCACAGCUAGAGUGGAACAUGAAACUAUGAAAGUCAUAGUUUUUCAUCAUGUGUAAUGUUGUGUCUCACAACAUUACACAUGAUGAAAAAUUAUUUUGUUGAAAUCAGGCUAUCUGAAGGUCCAGCAGUGAUACUGCAUGACUGACUUUUAAAUGUUGUACAAGACAUGCUUCACAUUAUUGAUGUGUCCAAGAAUACAGUUUGGGAAACCUGAGAGCUUCAGUGACUUCUCAAUGCCUCACAUUUUUCAUUACAUUUUUACAUUUUGCACAAAACUGACUCACUGUGUAUACAUGCAUUUUCUGCCCACCGUGAUCACGCACAUUUAAAGUGAAACAUAAAUUUGCCUUGAGGUUAUGUUUGUCUUUGUAAGUUAGGCUGUCUUAAGUAAGUGUGGUAAUACUCCUGCUAGUCUGUUUGAAUUCAAGUUUGAUAGAUGCUUACAAAAAAGUUGCAAAAGUAAAACAUGUUUGGGUCACAGGUUGUAGUCAUAGUUCCCACAGGAAAAGUUUCAAGAAUUUAUUUUUGAUAUAUUGUUAGAAAGAGAAGGUUUAGAGCUGGACUUCAUGGUCUCUCAAAAACUGCCUUCAUUAACUAGAUGAAACACUUGUCUCCCGUGUAGAAUUUUCUGCAGAAUGAUUAUUACUUUGUUUUAGUGUGCCAGGAUAGCUGACAAUCAGAUUCAGAUUCAGAUUCAGAUUCAGACAACUUUAUUUAUCCCCUAAGGGCAAUUCUGUUCACAGUUACCCUGCCGUUUGAUCCAUCCAAACUCACCAAUCAGCAGACAAACAGACCAGACAAGUGCAAGACAUUAAUAGCAGCCAGUAGACAACCCCAUUCCCUUGUCAGUACUUACAGAUCAGCAGAAUCAGCACUAAGUAGCUAAAUAAGUACAACAUCAUGUUUUUUGGGGGGGACUUGUCCUCUGUUGUUCGCCCAGACUUGAACAAUGAUCAGCUAUAACAACAUGGCCACCUGCCUAAUACACUUACAUAAAUUUAAACCAGAUAAAUGCAGAGUAUUUUGAGUGUAAUCAGAACAAUAUAAUAUAAAUAACACUAAUAUCAACAUUAUAUAACAUUAUAUUAUCAAUAACUAAUAAGCUUUAAGACUGUUCUCUAUGUGAAAUGGAAUUCUCCUCCUGCUUAUAAUAUCUCUCAAUUACAAUGUCUAUAGGACAAAAACACUGCCAAAGCCAAUAUAAACAUAUACAUGAAAAAGAAUCAUGGCGCCCACAAGUAAGGGGCAAAAACAACCCAAAAGUUCUAGAAAAGGAGAAAUGUUGUGGGCGGUAGAGACGUGGCUAGGAGAAGAAGUAGCAUCGGUGUUUUUUUGUGUUUUUCUUUUCAAGCAGCCGAGCUGAGCAUGAGUUUGCGUUGCAAUGUUGAUUUCUGUUAAAGUUAUGAAUAAAGGUGAGAAGAAGUGAAACUAAUCCCAGUGUUGGUUUGUUCAUUUGACAACAUCCACCACAGACUGAGUGGGAUUUUCCUUUUCUGUGCCGCAUUCUGCUCUCAUUCAGAUAGGCGAUCGGGAUGUUUGGAUUUCAAGUAAUGAAUUAAACCCGACUUGAUGAAACUCUUGGCAGAUGGCUCUUAUCUAGACAAGUGCAUGCUGGUCACGGUUUUGCUUGUGUCAUCACAACAUCUGUUUCAGCUGUGUUGUUUCGGUGAGAACAGUGUUUUGGCCGAAAAACUUAUGGGCUAUUUUUGGUCCAAAAUUUCCAGCGGCUGAAUUUUCGUUGCAUCCCUAAGGAUUACCCAACAAUACAAUAAGCUUGACAUAUGAGUUGUAAGUGACACAGCAGGAGAACUGAUAAAAAGACUGAUGUGGAGUCUGGUAACGAUUCCCGUCGUUCCCAGAGGAUGAUUUCUUGUAUCUUGGGUGACCUCUUGGUUUGUCAUCUAUCAUCAAGUCAAAAGUUUCAGUCAUCCUAAACCUUUGGUUCAUCUGUCUUUACGAUGAGCAUCACCAGGUGACUCCUAUUCUUAUUCCCUAGUGGCAUGCAAAAUCAGAUGCUUUAUUACCUUCAGUUUUUAUUACAUUGCCAAAAUUGUCUUGCCUGGUUAAUCAGUGAUAAUUCCCUGCCAAUUAAACAGUCACGUAAUGUGUGUCUCGGUAUAAUAAAAGAACCACUUCAGUUUUGUAUUUAUCGGUACUGAAAGCCACUUUCAGCUGCAGUCAGAUUGGGCCCCUGAAAAUCUGAGGUACUUGUGCUUUUGAAAUGUUUCUCAGAAAAAAAAAAGUAAUUACCUCCAUUCAUCUACAGCCCCUAGUGAAUCAAUGUUUUCUGGCGUGCAAGGGGCUCUUGAGAGUUAAUACUUUGCAGUCCACUAAGCCACCAAAGAAUACGCUGCUUUCCCUGCCAUUGUGGUGCACACUAAAUAUAACAUUGUUAGUGGAAAUAUAGGCUUAAGUUGUGGUUGGAAAUGUUAUAUCCACAUUGACGAAGAGUCGUUGGUGUACAGGGACAUUCCCAGCCCAACAUCACUGAUUGUUAAAACCCAGACUGAGUACCACUCCUCCUCAUGCCUGCCUCGUCAUGCUGCUGCUCAGCUCGUUUGGCAUCUAACACCCGGGGCUACAGAUGAGUUACGUCUGCGUGCAAGCAACAAGGUCCAGCGACCAGGUCUCACUGAAACCGCACUAGACCUAUAGCCUGCAGGCAACCUCUGACCAUUCCCGUAACAUUCAUCUAUCAGUGCUGACAUCAUCCACACCACUCGCAUUAUGAUCAAUGUUGCAAGAAGUGUUUUGGUUGCCUCGGGAGGAGCUGCACUUUGAUUCAGUUCCUGUCCUGCACCUCUUGUGGAGUGUGCACAAGCAGCCCGAUGUUGGUGGUCACAAGAACCAAAUUAAGAAGCUCAUGUCCGACCUGCAGAUGAACAGGAGUAAUGUUGUUUGACAGGCUACAGGUUUCGUUUUCAAAGAAUGUGAUAUCAGACAAGCAGAACAACACAUGAAUGAGUAUAAAGUAGUGUUUGGGGUUAUGAACAAAAUCAUAUUACAGUAUGAGUAAUUUCAUAUCACGGUAACGGCAUAUCACGGUAUCCCCCCCCCCGUAAAUUUGAUUAAUGGCUUAAAAAUAAUCAUACUGUCGCAUUUGUUCAUUUUCCUUUUAUUUUAAAACUCAGAUUUGUAUACAAAUGCAAACAAAAUGCCUGACCAGUCUGGCGAUUUUUAUCAUAUAGUGUUCCUUUGGUGAAAGACUCUACCAAGCACUUUUGUAUGAGGAGCUGUUGCAGCUUUAUUUUUUGGUGCAGCGGGUGCGCCACGCAUCUUUUGGCUCUCAUAAUAAAGCUUGGUGUGUUUCAUCUUUAGGAGGUGGAAGAGGUGGCUGGUGUGUUCACCUCCAGCAAUGACAGCUACACGACACUUUUAGCAUGGUAUUGUUUAUUGAUCAUUGUCGGAUUUUCUAAAUCCAAAGAAUCUUGAGGCAACCGAUGUUGCGACUCGCGCUCUUUUUUGGAACCAGUUCCUCCUCCGCUUCCACGUGUUGGGUGGGUCAGGCUGCCUCUGUUUGCUCGGUACUGCCACUAAUCUCCACGUCCGCCAUGACCACCACCAAUGAAACUGUUUCUUCUUUGUCAAAACUAUGCCAAGCAGUCUGCUGGAGAUGUUGUUGAUUAUAGGGAGCGCACCCAAACCAGACUAAUUAAACUAAUUUCUACCGGUAGACAUUUUUAUACCAUCACACGGUAUACAUACCACCCAACACUAGUAUGAAGUUAUUGUAUGCUAAAGUGACAAUAAAUGUCAAAACAGAUUAAAAAAACUGUGUUUAAUACAUUUUUCGGUCUUAACUAUCACAUUUCAUUGAAGCCGUCAUUAUGCUGCAUGAGUCCAAUGUCAGUGUAAUGUCAUGUAAACGGUCUUUUGUCAUGUUAUCUUUUUUUUUUUACAACAGGAAUAUAAUAUUAGCUGAGUGUCUCGUUUUGGGCUUACAUUAACCUGCCAGCGUACCAUAUCGCCAUAUAUGAGGAAUGCCUCAUAAAAAGCUGAAGCAGUGAUUUAAAAACAGUUGCCUCUUGCAGAGAGCUUUCUUAUCUGAAUUAUGUCAACGCCUGCCAGCAAUGAGAGGUGUGUGCAGAGGAGCUCUGCCGUUAUCUGGAGAAGCAUGUGAAAAUAGGCCUUCAUUGUUUGAUGUCACUGUUUUAAUGCCAUGUCUUGCCCCUCGCAAACAAACAAGCGGAAGACAGCUUCACAGAUUGCACUUAGUGAGCAGGCACUCAGCGGACAGGAGUCAUCUUAAAAUGAAGGGCACAUCAGGUGAGAAACAGUGUCCGAGGCAUUUCCUCCACUAGAUUGGCUUAGAUUUGGACAAACAAGUUCAUUUCCUUCAACUACAAGCCUAGUUGUGACAUUUGCAUCCACUUAGAUGAUUGUAAGUGACAGCUACCAUGUUUUGGCCUAUACUUAGCCGUAUGCUGUGACUUUCUUCCACUUAAAUUAUUCAGGUCUUUGUUGGACAGUGUAUUGCACCUCUCUCCAAGGCUUUUUAACAAGUUCUGAUUUGUAACAAGCCACUUUUGAAGCAGAAGCUCCUGCGUAACACUUGACUAGUUAAAUUUUGAAGAUCAGAAUGAUCUGGUGCUCACAGGGCUUUCACACUACACUGAUUUUCUGUUUUAGCAUGGACUGAACCUGAUGAAUUCAUAUCCCAUAACACAUGCUGCAUCUAGUUGUGAUUCAACAGCGUAAUACACAUAGGGCAGUCUUUCACAUAAUCAAAUUCAACCAUGCACACUGUUAGAUUGUUGGCCACUGCUUUGUUUUGAUAUAAUCAGAGCUGUGCAGACACCUUUUCCUACUCAGUUCAUGGAAAAUAUAAACAUGCUGUUCGAGACACCUUCUGAGGGCAUCACCGUCUCUUCAAAAAUCCUUCUCUACUGCACUGAGUAAUGUGCUUCAUUAGCAUGAAGGGUGAGAUAAAAUUCAAGCCAGUGCAUUUUGUACAGUAUUCAUACUGUAUUUUGUAAUUAGUUUUAUACAAUACAAGGAAAUCAAGGGUGGAACAAGAUAUCAAUAUGGCAUCAUAUCAGUGUCUUUACCUGUGUCAUACAUUGUGCAAAGUAUUUAUAUUGUAAUUGGAAAGACUACUGCACUCCGUUUGGAUUUACCAGCCAAUCUGGCUCAUAGAAUCACUUCUUAAUGACUCCUCCCUAAGGCGCUCAUGACAAUAAUGAGGGUAAUGUGAACAAAAAUCACAACUGGCUGAAGAAGCAACCCAAAGGAAGACAGUAAGAUCAUUUUAGAGAGCCUUGGAAAAAAGCUGAGAAAUGUGCAUGUCACUCAUAAAACCAAAAUGAAGAGGAAACGUUUAUACCUGCUAUUUAUGCUGAGAUGAAGGUAAAGGUCGAGGACACACCCUUGUCUGCAUAGAGAUUUUUAUUCCUCUGCAAUGGGUGUUCACAUGUCAAGGAGUCUCUUGAGACAUUCACAGCCGAUUUUGUUAAAAAUGAGAGGGAAAUGCAUUUCUUGGUACUGCAAUCAACCGUGAUGCACAAGAAUUACACCGGUGCUCAUAUGGAUGGAGGUAUAUCAAAAACUCUGAGGAAUGGAGUCUGUCUGAAAAAAGAUCAAGUUGCUGACUUUGAAGCAAUUGCAGCUGUAGAUAUUAUAGGCUCAGUCGAAAACAAGCAAACAAACCUGAUAAAAACUGAAAUCUGUGAAGAAAGAAUUUGAAGUGGUUGAGCUUUCAUGCUUUGCUCUCAGUUUGUAAAUACAGAUCAAGUAAAUGAACAGACCCAGAAAUGGUCAUUGUGACCCCUUUGUUCACUGCAUGUGAAAUGAUACAUACUGUAAAUGUAGCUUCAUUUGGAAAUAGUGGCCCCCCCACAUGCCCUUGAAAAUGGGACUUUGGGUACACUCUUUUGCUGUUAACAGUGGUUCCAGAUAAUGCUUUGUGUGUAUGGCAAAGCUAACUUCAGCUCAGCAUGUAGAUAACAUAAUUUGAGAUUUUGUAAGUUAAUCAAAGUUAUAAAUCUAGCCAUAUUGCAUUGUGUGUCCUUUGAUUCAUGGCCACACUAGUUGAGUGUUUUUACUCGAAAUAACUCAGAUGGAUGGACAUACUUUUUAGGAGAUAAUUCAAGUACUUUUUAUGUCUUGUAAAUGAAGUUAUUUUGGUGGAGUUUUGCUGUUAAGCCUCCUUUUUUCUCUUUGCAUCAAGCUCCAUAACUGAGUCAGAGAAAUACUGCUGCGUGUUUUAACCUGUUUUCUAAUACUGUAUGUGAAACCACAUUUUCCAUGACUGUUUUUUAUUCAUUACCAUGUAUGAUAAUCUUCAUGUUUGUGUGCAUGAUGGUUCAACAGUAAAGAUGAGGACUGCUUUUCUUCUUUCGUAUUGUUAUUUUAUUGUUAUGCCAUCUUUUUAUGUUGUAUUAUUAUUGUAUGGCAAAAUAGGACACGCUUUUCAAUCUGUUCUGAAAUUGCAUGCUGAGAUGCAGAAUCCUCAGUUAUUCCGGGUACAGUUCAUGCCCCCAUGAAGUGGACAAGUGAGCAACAUCACUGGCAGUACUAUCUUUUUUCCUUUUAGGUUGGGCGAGGGAUGUUUGAAACGGACAAAGCUGAUGGGGAUGAAGUUAGAACAAAGGAACUAAUUUGCAAGUUAAUAGUGCUUAAUCAGUUUGUCGCAUUAGUGCCUGUUAUAACAAAGGGAUAUGGGCAGAGGGAUUUGGACAAAAAGGGUUUAGAGCUGCUGAAAAGGCCAGGGCCCGGAUUUGAUAACAUUACAGUGAGUUUAACAUUGUGCUGGUUGAAGGUGAACGAGUAUGCACUCUGCAGCCGGUAAUGUGGAUAAUCAUGCUCAGACAUGCAGUGGUUAAAUAAUCAGAGAAAAUAAUGAAUCGACAGUCCUACACACAUACAUAUAUACAAACUAUAACAGCUCACUUGAUCAGCCAUCCAGUAAAUAGUCUUGUGCUUAUGUUGGGACUGAAUUUUAUUAUAAUGCUUAUAUAGCCGUUCCUGGGAGGAUUAUUUAAAUAGAGCCCUUCCCCCCUCACAGGCUGACUAAGCACUUCAAGAAAACCUGGGAUCUGGAGAGAAAGAGAGAGAGAGAGAUUUACAACCUGUAACUAAUUUCUGAACCAUUUCCAAAUUUUUGUGGGAUACCGACUAGACUUUUGACUUAUUAAAGUGAUGAAUAUUCAAUUUGCAAAGAUAUGAUCUUAUUCUGCAAAAGAGCAAUAUUAAUAGGACUGGGUUACAUGCUCUUAUCCAAACAAGUAUAAAUUAAUCAUCGCUCCCCGGUGUUGGCAGAGUGUUCUACAGCAAACAUCUGUAGCAUAAAUAAAUCCAUUGCAAUCACAUCAUGUCUACCCCCACACAAACAGGAGGCUUACUGAUUUUCUGUUUACAUGUUUAGCAGGGGAAAUGUUGCAGUUGUCCCUGAACCUGGGUAUAAGAAAAACCUUGCUGCAGUGUUCAAAAAUGAUUGGGGUUUCUAUAACAUUUAAUAGGGUUGUUAAUUUGUAAUGGGAUAGUUAUUUCCCAGAUGUAUUGUGAUAGAGAUUGGUGUUUCAUUUAUAUGGAGACUUAAUUGCCCCAAUUUCUCCUUUAAAGAAAAUCAGCAUAUGUUAAUGUACUAUCUGUUUCGCCCCUAAAAAGGAAGGUGAUCUGAUACUGUAGUGCUUACUACAAAUUGCAGGAUGUCAAACGACUGAUAAUGGUCAGUUUUUAGGUGCUGAAUCUCCACCUUUGACUCAGGUAAUACGAUUACAAUCUGGCGAGGCUGUCAUACUUUAUAACACAUAAACCCUCGUAUGAGAUAUUGUUUUCAUUACAGCUCAGUGAGCAGCUCCGGUAGCAACAGAAAAACAAUAGUGCUGGUUUAAAACAGAAGCAUCAAACAGAUGGCAUUCUGCAGAGCCUGCAAUAAUUUUCCUUUAUGGCAUUCAAGAACUGAUGCAACUUAGAUCACAAUUGGCACCAUACACAGCAAGUGCAGAUGGUGUUUUUGACUGUUUAUCGCUAACAGUCUAGAAACCAGGUAAAAUUGCUUUCCCAGGAUAUGGUUGGCUUGUCACAGAUCCUGUGGCUACCCCCUCUUGCAGCAACCUUUCUCUAAUUCCCGGACUUGUGAAUUUACUCCCCCUGUCACUGUGCAUGUUUCUUCCUCCCACUCUGCCAGGAGCUGUCAUCUUUGAGCUGUCCACCAGAUGCCCUCAGACUUUCCCAUGCUAUUCCAUGUCCUCCACCCCCAUCUGUUACACAAUCACUUCCUCCCCCCCUUACCUGGUCUGCUUCCAUUCCACCACUUACCUGUCCACCUGCUUACCUGCCAUGAAUUCUGGCCUUAAAGGUCAAUCCAAAAUCAGUCAUAACGCAUCCUACUGUCUGCUUUUGGGUGCUAUCCCAGGCAUGACAAAGCUUAGUGUUGACUUACAAACAACAGCCACUGUUACUUGAGAAAUUACUGAGACAAAUGUUUGGAAAUGAAAAGCCCCCACAGUUAUGAUGGCCAGUCUGGAUAGAUCAUCUGGACUCCAGUAUUUCAAGAACUUUUCCAUCUUUGACACAUUUUGUUCAGAUACUUUUACAAAUAGAUGAGAAAAUCUCUUUAUACUAAAGCUAGGGCUGUCACAGUAACUGUAACAAUCAUGGUGCCGGGUAGGCCACCUUCGUAACUGCACGUGACUCAAUCUCACCCUUACCCAAGCUCAGACCGACACAUUGGCAACUGCUCUGGUACCUGAAAGAAAUCCAACUUUGAGAAAAUGUUGUCCUUCAUCAACAUGAAAAGGGGGAACAAGGCAACAUCUAAAACCUGUGUUUAAGAUCCCUGUAAAAUGAGGACAUUUCAGAUUUGAGGUCUUAUGUAGCAAAGGUACCAUUCAGGUCUCUAGGUAAAGCUCCUGCCCCCUUCAGCACAGAGUCACACAGCAGCUUAUACUGGUUAGAGCCUACAGCUUGGAGACAUAUAGCCAAUACUGUCCGUUACCACAGUGCUGUGUUUCUGCAGUGAAGCUAGUUAAUGUGAUGAUUUCACUGAAAAAAACAGAAAUAAAAAAACUAGCAUCUUCAUUCGUAGUUACUGAAAAAGUUACUCCAAUAAUUAACUAUUAACAGAUUCCCACAUCAGCCUUAACUGCAACAUAUCUUGCUGUCAGUGCAAUGAGUGCAUGCCCAUCAUUGAAUUAUCCUGUGAGCAUGGAGGGAACCUGUAGGUUUCUGGAAUAUCUAAGUCUUGUUUCAUGAAAGCCAGAGACUCUUAGGACGAGUCUGACUUUUAUGUACUUUUCAGUUUCCUGCCUCUCUUGAGUUAGCACUUUUUCAGGGCAGACAAUACAAAUUCAAUCCUCUGUAUCAAUGCUUGGUUAGGGCUGCACAUAGUUGACAAACCAAUUUAAUACCUUCACCUUUGCAAGGUGGCAGCAGAAUCACUGGUGGGUUUAAAAAAAUGUAUAUUUGUCUUGCUGUAGGCCAUGCUGCCAGUCAUAUGUUGUGCAUAUGUUGUAGUGCUUGUCGCUACCCGAUACGUCCAGGAAACCUGAUUUGUACUGUGCAUGUGCGAAACAUACAGCACUUCCUCUCUUGACAUUUCAGUGUAUUUACGGCAGUGAGUCGCUACCUACCCGAUCUGUACUGCACAAGUGCAAAUUUACUUCACCUUAAAAACUUUAUUUAAACGAUCGAUCAAAUCAGAAACAAGCUGGUGAUGUGACAGGCUAUGUAGCAGGAGGCUCCAGAGCUAAUGCAGAGGCAUUCGCCAGAGCUCCUGCCCAGCACGGUGAGACCUUUUGGGCCACAAAUAGCACCGCCACCCGGUCAAAAUGAUGGUUCUCUGACUUUUCACAGUAUCAAGGUGGGAUGCUCUGGAGGUGUGUGGCCACCUAUGGCGCACCCUCCCCAGGCCACAGAGAUCGCCACAACCGGGUCAAAUUCAUGGUUCUCUGACUUUUCAAAGUAUCAAGAGGGGGAUUUAUUUCAUUGAUUUUAUAAAUUAAAUUUAUUAACAAGAACCCUUUACAUCAUGGACAAUGAAUUCCAGCGUUUUUAAAACGCAUACAAUUUCAACACUGAAAUAUACACAUUCAUUCAAGCCUUUUGUAACUACAUUGCAGUUUUACAAUUUAGAUGGAGUAGGAACCUUUAACCAUAAAACUGGGCGCCAUUCCCUUGACUUUCUUGGCUCUGCUUCAGUCGGGGGAAGCACUCCGUUCAGGAGAAAAGAAAAGCGUGUGGUUGGUGACAAACUGAAGCAUCCUUUCUGACUGUAGCGAGCUCACCUCGCUGAUGCUGAAGCUGUCGAACAAGUGUCGACGCUGUCGCAAACCGUAAGGGGCAAUGAAUUGCUGAGCUGUCGCAAAGAUGGCUAGUAGAGGAAGUGACAUACAUUUCACACAUGGGCAGUACAAAUCAGGUUUCCGGAGAAGGAUCAGGUAGCGACAGUGCUGCCACCCACCACCAGCCAGAACUGCACCAUAGCAAUGGCAUCUGCAAUAUUGCUAAUGUAAGCAAAUAUUCAUCUAACGUGUUCAGCCAUGUUGGAUAAACUGAGCUCAAUCCUGGCUGUGCUUUGACCGUUUUCUUACCUUUGGACUAGUUGAUAAGUUUGAAUUCAAGUUUCAAGCAGGAAAUCCGUUGGAAACAGUUACAGCUUCUUUCAAGAUAUGAUUUUAAAAAUAUAUGUAGAAAUCUGACAUCAAAAAGACUUGCUGAUUUUCAGGCAUGUGGGAUGCAAAUACUCUCAACUAAGAAAGGCAUUCAGAGUGCCGACCUCGGCUAAGGCCGGUGCUCUUACAUUCUUCAAUUCUGCGAAGCUGCAGUGUCAGCCUCUCAAAUACUUAAAAAAAAAAAAAAAACGUGUGUGGUUGUAUGCAGGUGUGCAAAAGUGCUGAUCAGAAAUGGUAUAUCCAGCAGUUGUUAGACAUACUUGUUCUUUUCUCUGUUCUUCAGGCAGGAAAAUGCAACUGAAGAUGGGAUGAUGAACUCAUUACAUGAUUUCAAGUUUAACUAGGGUUGAUAUGAAAACAGCACUAUCCUUUUGUUUCAAUCUCCCUGUAUAUGAGUGCUGUCUAGACUAUUCAUUAGAUGUUGCUUUAUAUAGUUCACCCCCAUAAUAAGAGCUGAUUGAAAUAAGUUAUUAAAAGACGUACGUCUUUCCUUAUUUUCUUCCACAUACACUUGUCUUAUGAAUUUCCUGUCAGUUGAAUUUGGUACGUCUGUAGUAGCUGUUCACUUUCUGUUUUUGCUGAGCUAUAAUUUGUAUAUUAGUCCAAGACAUCCAAAAUAACUGACUGUUGAGUAUGAAUCCCUCAAUAUACCUGAGUUAAAGCCCAUAACCUGCCAUUCAUGGCACCCUAUCACUUCAGAUGUUUGAGCGAUGCAGAGGAGAGAGCGUGACACAUAUCUGACAGACUGGGGAGUAAAAUAAGCUUGUAUGUGUUGUUUUCUAGUCACUCUCUACUUUAUGUAACAAACAUCUCUAAAAGCAAUUCUGCUGCUGCUGCUUCUUGCACAGUCCAAAUUGCUCUGUAGAGCUGAUAAUGGUAUUUUAUCAAGCGUCCCCAGACAUCCAGAGACCAUUAAUAAAUGCUCCCUGGCUGGGUGUUACAUGAUGCACUAAAGCCAACUGGUCAAGACACAAGCUGGAAAUUAAACCUGUUGUGGAAGGAAGGGGUGGAGAUAAAUCUCACUUUAACUAUCCAACAUAACCCGUUUGGGGAUUGGCAGAAUAAACGCAGAUCAGGUGCACAGCUGUCCAUUGUGUAUAUAUAAGAUAAAUUACAAUCAUUCAUGAAGGUUAAGUCUUAUUCUGAAAUCGACGGAUUCAUUGAACAGCUCUGUUGAUAUCGUCUGUCCAAAUAUUUAACAUAGCCAUUAUAAAUAAUAAUAAUAAGAAGAAACAGGUCAAAGAUACAGUUAUUUUGGCAUGUUUUGGGAAAUUUUCAUGCAGUUUUUCAGUAAACACAAUAGUUUUAUUCCAUCACUUCACAGUAAAGCAUCAAGUAAUAGUUAAAUGGGGAUCUAGAGACUAUAAACUUUAAAGUUGUGAAUAUAGUUGAGGUAAUUAAUGCGUAAAUCUGCUUCAAAUCAAACUGUCUACUUUGGAGAGGAAUCAUUUGAUGAUAAAAUGUCAGUUUUGUGUGAUUAUGUUCACAUGAUAUGUGUCAACAGACAAACAAAGGCUACCACAACAUCAUAAUGCCCUAGUUAUGUACCGUGGAUGCUGGAGAAUAAGCGAUACCGAAUUCUGAUGAUAUGAGGUUCGAAAAUAAAGCUGCUGGUCAAACAACCUGAUGCCAGAGCAUGCGGAAACAGUGAUGGCUGACAGCCAUGCUUCAGCUUGGCCUGGCUUAGUAUUUACACAGCUGUGUCUGGUCUGGAGCACAAAGAUGCAGGUCAGCCACCUCACUGACCACAGUGGGUCACCACAACAUGCAGACACCAAAAACAAACGAGCACAAUCUGUUUAGACUCAGGAACUUGUGGGUGGGGGGCUUAUUAACAUGACUAACAGUGAACACAGCAAUUUACUCUCCAAGUGUUAAAUAUAAUAAGCUGUGAACUCUCACCAUCACGCUUAUUGCAAUCACUUUCUGUGUACAGCUCGUGCGUGAACCAGCUGCUGUUAUUUUUAGAACAAAGAAGUUGAGAGUUAAGUUGUUGCAUCGAAUCAACACAAGAAGUAGCGUUCUUUGUCAGCAAGGCUAACAGAGGUUACUUGGAUGAGUAGAACUGAUUGUCUUUGGACAGCAACUCCUCCCUGCUUAGUCAGCUGGGUUUGUCAUUACCCCAUGGGCAAUCACUUUUAAUGUCUCCUGGUAGAAAUCAUUAUACAGCAAGAGACUCUGUUUCUUAGCUUUUUCCAUGGUCACAUCUAUGGGACUCCCAAAUGUCUAAUGCAAGUGACCCACAAAAUUUUAUCCUCAAAAAAAGAGCCAGUGCUAAAGCACCUUAACAGUUCCAAAGUCUGCAAGAGCCACAUUAAAGACCAGUGCUGUGUUCCUCUGAAUCUACCAAGCAAUUAAAAGUGACUUGCUGGCACAGAGACAUGGUCCUAAAGCUGUAUGUGGUCUUCAGUUAUGUUUCUGUUCUCAUCAUCUGGCACAAAGAUGUGAAAAAUUUGAAUACCUAAUGCACCAAAGAUGAGUUUUAUCUUUGCAUCUCAAGCAGAUGUGUUGACAUUCUCACAUCACGUCUAGAACAGUAGCUCAGUUUAAAAGGUUGAGACAUCUUUUUACAUUAUUCCUUCUGACAGGCUCCUUUUAAUAUGCUGUUAAAUUUUAAGAAUAAAGGAAAUGUUUUUUAUUGUUUCGAGGAGACAUUUCUGACUCAGCUACAAAAUUGAGAGAUUGGAAUAAAGUCGGUGGGGGGUUAGUCAGGGAGAGCAUACAUGAGUCAUGAGAGGGGUAAAGAGAAGAAUAGGGAAUAGUGUAGGAUAAAAAUUUUAAACUAUGACUUGAAGAAAAUAAAUAAACCAUAUGGAGUUUUUUCUUUCACUUUGAAUCAAAGGUACGAGCAUGGCGGUUUCUGUUUGGUGCUGAUCUGCAACGAAAUACAAGCAGAACUAAAGGCAUUUCCCACCCAAGGCCUCCAUGUCCACUGUAUAACGGUAAGCGCACCACACACAGCAAAUACACCUACAAGACAUUGAUUUUUGAACAGUGACUUUCUCAAAGAAUCACCUUGAAGCAUACUGAGUUUUGAUUCUUUUUUACUGGUGAUCAGUUUUGUGCUGUGAACUCAAAGUGGUUGCCUGGGGAUGUAAGAGUUUGUGUGUGUGUGUGUUACAGUGAAGAGAGCAGAGAGGUAACUCAUUCAGUGAAAUUGUGUCAUAUCUUGUAAAUAUCUAAGUAUCAAUCCCCCAAACCAGCAGGGUGUCUUUCAUUUUUUAACCCUGUCAAAAGGAAAGGCAUUGCAGCUACACCAAAACACAGUAUAACCUCUUUUUUUUUUUUUUUUCUUUUCAAAUACGUGUUUACCUGUAACAAGGCUAGAAGCCCUCUGAAAUGUACUUGUCUGAGGUAAAAUCUGCCUGCAUUCAGUGCUUGGUGAAGGUUAAUUUAGAAACCUUUCCUUUUUUUUCCAUUUUCCUUUUGUAAACUUUCAAGUAUCAUUAGCAGACCUACAAGUCCUAACAAUCUAUCCUUUUUAUUUUUUUAAGUGUUUUUUAAGGCUGUCUUUCUUUCUUUAAAAGGACAGGAAGGACAAAAAUGAAACAAGGCCAUUAUCAAGAGACUGGACUAUUUUUAAAUAGUUAUUUUUUAUGUCUGAAACCAUUUGCAGGGGGUGAGUGUCAGGCCAGGAGAUGAACUGCAUGCUGAUGAUUCAGCCUUUUGUUCAUAAGGUUCAGACAAAUAAUACAGCCGACUAUUCAAAGAGAAGGCGAUCAAUUGAAACAAUACCAACCAAAACUUCCUCAAAUGACCCCUAAGCUCUGUUUCAAAUUGCUAGUUUGCUGAUGUUUUUACUGAAGUUUAAAUUUUGGCCACUUAGAGGGUACUUUAGCUAACAAAUUUGGGUGCAGUCACUCUUCAGGAGUGUGUUUGAAAUACUGGUGUCAGUUGCUGGUAAGCACAGUAACUCCUGCUAACCAAAUAGGGGGACAGGCUGUACUGAUCGGCUAAAUAUACAAAACAACACACUCAGUGCGUUUACAUGCACAGCUUAAUCGGACUGAGCUCAUAAUUCUUUUUUUUUUGCCGAAUCGGACUUCUCUCCUUGUCCGCGUACACAUGCGGCUGAGAAAAUCGAAUUAUUGAUGUGAACGUGUCCUCUUCCCUAAAAAUAGGGGACGAUAGGGGUCUUUUCAGCUACGCUGUUUCCGGUUGACCCAACAACAACAGCAGGUCCGUGCUAGACGUCAGAAGUGGCUACAACUGCUGCUGGACAUUUUCGAGCAAGAAGAUGGAGCAUCAUACAGCAUUGUUUUUGUCGUACAUGAUGUACGCGCUACUUUUUCUGCAGAUGAGGUGCACACUGCUACUCUUCUCUGGUGGUUUUGUUCUGGCGUGGCGCACACACACAUGCAUUGCCCAAUCAUACUCUGACUAUGCUGGUUACAUGGUAGAGAUAAUCGAACUCCAAUCCCAUUAUCAGGGUGUCUUAAUCAGAGUUCUCAGAAUCCAGUUGGACUUCUCAAACUCCGAUUAUAGAUCGUGGUGUUUACAUGCACUAGUUGUGUGGUCUUAAUCAGAGUAAGGCAAUAAUUCGGUUUUCUCGAGUGUGAUGUAAACGUACUGACUGUGUUUUAGAUUUUCAGCACAUGUGAACAUUUGUGUGGAGUAUUAUACACACUUGAUGCAAACUCUUCUUCUCCUGUUUGUAGAAUUUAGAUACAUGAUGCAGAUGAGUGUGAAGAUGCUGUUCUCAAACAGAUGACUCUUCCUGCAGGUUGAAGGUGAAAUAACUGAUGGUAUCAGCAUGAAAAUGUUGAAUACAGAUGUGGAAACAGCUCAAGCAUAGUUGCAACAAACUGCUGUGCUCUAGGAUAACAUUAAAAGUAAAGCUGUCAAUCUGUCUUAAAAUCCAGAGGGGCAGUGAUUUUAGCUGGAAACAUGUUCUAUUAUAUAAGUAAGACGGAGGUGGUAAACUGCCGUCACACUGCCAAUGCCACUCAAAAUGUAUAUUGAUGUUUUCUCACAAAAACUCUCUCUGGACUUGAAUAUAUGUCACUAGCAAGAGUGGGAAAAUGGUAGAGAAAGACAGAGAUUUCAACCCCCUCAGUUAAUGCUUGGUGAGAAAUAUUUAAUUUAACGUCAGAAGAAAUAUCUUACACGGUAUGAAGUCGUGCAUUUACAGCAGAGUGAGAGAGGGCUUAAUAAUUCAAAAGCAUAAAGUUCUUAUAUCUUUCCUGGAUGGAUCCAAGGCUUCAUUUAAGUAAACACGGUAGAGCAUGGAGUGCUGCAGGGCUAGGGAACGGAGUUACUGCUAUGAUCAUGUACUGUCUCUUUCUCUCUAUUCAUCAGUCACACUCAGACGUCAAACCUCUCAUGUUAGUUUUCAGCAUUAGAUUGUGCACGCUUGAAAGUGAGCUCAUUGAACAAACACUGCAAAUAAUCCACAAACCUCUCUCCUUCUUGCAGAAACUAGCUAGGCUGUUGGGUUUUCUUUAGAAGUGCAAUAAAAAUGUUUUGUUUUAUGUUUGAUUUUACAAAGUGUCAGACGGUAGCGACAGAUACUCCGCCAGGAUCCCUGGGUAAAAUCUCAGUUGUGUAAUUACAGUGGUAAAGAAUAGCACAUAGUAAUUUUCAGCCUGCACAGAACUUCCAUCUAAAGUGGGAUUUCAGAAUUUUUGACUUCUUGAUGUGCUCCAUUGUUUGCUCUGAGAUAAGCUGAACACUUUGCUGCCCAAAGAAGACCUCUGCAGUCUAAACAAUGGCGCCAUAAAUUUCGACAUCAUUAUGAGCUAUUCAGAUGUUCCCCGCUUGAUGUGCAUAUUUUAGAAGCCGGAGGGCCAUCAAAGUCAGACAUAAAAUACAAAUGAGGUCUUUAUGAACCAAAAUUCAUUCACAGUCUGCUGCUGCUUUCUGGUUAAUUUUCUCUAUCUCACUCUUUAUCUCUAUCAUGCUCCUCCAAUCUGUUCAGAGCUUAACAUUAAACAAAUUACAACAAACACAAUCUCUUUUAUUAGGUCAUUAAUCUGUUAUUAUGUAAGCUGUGUUUGUUCACACAGAGAAAAUACGUUUACUCAAACUACUGCAUCUCAAGGGUUUUUUUCUGGCAUCUAUAGUUGUUGAUUCAAACCGAAAAUACUAGGACCCUAACGACUACCCAUGAGAGUAACCACGAAAGAAGAAGCCUCAGGCACAAUCAGAAGUAUCUGGCCAGUCAACAUCAUUAUUUCCCAUCUGAUAAAUCCUUUCCAAGAGUCCUAACGCACAUAUCUCAGUUCACCUGCCAAGGACAAGUGCCCAAGGUCAUAUUUAGCCUCAGGUUAACACAGUGCAGUCCACUACUACCAUGAGGAACUACAGUGAGACGUUAAGCCUCCUGCUGCACAGUUUGUGAAGUUGUUGAAGUCAACUUGUACUACUCUUAAAUAAAUAUGAAAUACAAACUCAGCAUGAAUAUUUAGCUUUCAGGAUACUGCCCUGUGAGAACUUUUUUUUUCCAGUAUUUGUUUCACAGUCUUACGGGUGAUUCCAGUUGAGUGGUUAAGAAGAAGAUCCUUCCUGUCAGACAGUCACAUUUUAUUAUUGCAAACGUUGACAUCCUUUUUUGAAAGGCUGAAUCUCCUAGACUUUAAGAGACAUUUGAUGAUCAAAAACCAGGGCUUUUUUCAUGUAUUACUCUUGAAACUGUGUCUCAGGAAAAAAAAAAAUAAAAGUGAAAGUUUUUCUCCUGAUCAUUUUCAAUGCCACACUAGGUACUUUGGAGAAAAUAAUCUUAUUAUAUGGUUCAUGAAAUAGCUUUUUUAAUGUGUGGAUUACAUGACAUUUUUUCUUAGCAGAGGCCAGGAAUUCUGCUCCACUACAGACCCUAAAAUGUUCCCUAGAGAACAGAGAAUGCAAUAUUCAUCUGUUCAUUAAAAAAGUGUCAAACCCUGUUUCUGAAAAAAAAAGUAUGGAUGCUGUGUAAAAUACUUUUAAAACCAGAACCUGAAAGUCAAACCACCAUAUGUAAAAACAGAGAAAUGUCCUUUACUUUCAUAAAAGUGUAUGCCCAUGUUGAAUUUGUUGCCAGCAUCACAUUUCAGAAAGGUUUGGACUGGGUUAUGUUCCCCCCUCUGUUGCAUCACCUCUGUCUUUAACAAUAGAGGAAUACCACUUGCUGUUAUUGUGAAGGCGAUAUGUUCUCACAUGUCCUGCCUUAUGUUGGAUUUUAGCUGCUCAAGUGUUUCAUUUUUUAUAUCUUAUAAUGGGCCAAACACUGUCAGUGACUACCAAGUCAGCACUGCAGGCAGGCUGGUUUGACACCCAGUUUUUGUUUCUACACAGAGCCAUCUUGUUGUAAUAAUGCAGAAUGUGGUUUAGCGUUGUCUUGCUUAAAACCGCAAGUCUUUGCUUAAGAGGGAUGUCAUCUUCUUGGCAUCAGAAGUUGCUCAAAAACCUGCAUACUGUAUAUAGUUUAGUAUUUUUGGUGCAUUUAUUUUCCUGUUUAUGUUAACCAUAUAUUAUGUGCAAUAAAGCUAAAGCUAAAGCUCCCUUUACCAUCACAGCUGCUGUUUUUUGAGCUCAGAGCCGAUGAAAAGCUAGAUGGUCCCUCUUCUUUAUCCUAAAGGACACGUGAUUUCCAAACAAAAUCUCAGGCUUUGCGUUAUCAAAGGACAGUUUUUCUCUUCAUCUUCACUGUUGUGGACAAAGCUAGGUCCUCCAGUGCUUCAGUACCAGAUCCAGAUGAUAUACCACUCAGGGCAGACAAAAACUGCCAUGCAGUGUUGGAGCUUCUGUGGUAGGUAGGCCUGGGGGAUUUGGCGGAAAAAAUAUGAUGAUCACGAUAUAUUUUGUCAUACUGUCCGAUCUCGAUUAUUAUCAUGAUUUAAAUAAAUAAAAUAAAAACGAAACUGCCAGUUUUAAAGUAUCUGUACUUAAAGCUAAAGAAACUAGAAAUUAGUUUAACAUUUUAUUAACAUACAAAGUAAAUAAAGCAAAUUGAACAAGAUAAACAUAGAAAAAGAUAAAUAACCACUUUAACUCAAGAGUACAAAAAAUGUAGAUAAAUACUUGACAAUACGGUGAACUAGUUUAUAGUCCUGAGUGUUUCUGCAGGUAUGCAAGACACAGAAUGAACAAAUCACCCUCUCAGGGAUAAUGAAGACGCCUUAAAAUGUAAACAUUAGAUGAUGUUAACAUAAAUGAUAUGAUUGAUCGCUGCUUCGGUCUGGUGGCUGCACCGCUUGUUGUGGCUAAACUGCUAAUGCCACUUGUGCCGUCAGCAGUGGCGGGCUGUGCAGACUCCGCUCGCAUGUUCAUGCUUUCCGCAUAAUCACUCAGGAAGUACUUCUUCAAAUGAUUAAACAGAUCUGUUGUGUUGCCGGUUUUUGAGGGCUCUGACCGCCAACAUACCUGGAACAUCAGCUGAAUUGCUUGACGUCACUUUGGAGAUACCUGAAUCACCGCCACACAAUCGACGUUGAAUAACUUUUCUUCUCAACAAUGGCAUCUUCAGAGAAUGACUCACAGUCACGGCUGAUAUCUAUUUUGCUGCCCUCAGCUCUGCAUUUAGCUCCAUGUUCAGUUAUUCUGUUUACAUCUCCUGUUUACUUCUCAGGCAACGCACAGAAGUGAGUAGGAAAAGCUCGAGUCCAAUCGGCUGUUGUGACACACAUUUCCGCUAUGUUUGAGCGAGUAAAUACGCUCACAGCUGAUCACCGUGAUCGAGCUGAAAUUUAUCAUGAUCAUUAAUUAAUAUAAUCAGUAUAAUAUUAAUAUAAUCGUCCAGUCCUGGUGGUAACUAAUGAGAACAACCUGGAAGAACAAGUCCAUCCCAUCAGAAAGAAGUAGAGCAGCGAACACCUUUACCCCCAAAGAGCAAGAUUCCAGUAACACCAACCAGUUCAGAGGCAACGUUAACAUGAAAGGAAAAAUCUGAGUUCCCAACCAAAAUCUCAACUUGUCGUCGUUCUUUUGUCAACCAUAGGCUGGGUAGUGAUCAUAGCAUAACUGUCUCACUCCAGUGUGAUGGAGGCAGCUUCUUGAACAGAGGAGGGCAAAUACACAGAGCUGAUGACUGACUGCAGGGCAGCAGGAUGGUCAGCUGUCAGCUACCCUGUGGGGUCGGCAGCAGAGGCUUUGUGGGGGUGUCUGGUCACAAAUGAAAUAAGAUCUUAGAGAUCUAGCUGGGGAAGCAAAGCCAAGGAGAUUCUGGCUUUGGUUAAGGAGGAAAGAUCAGGCUUGGGGAAAUCAAAGGUCCAAGGCACAGCUGCAGGUGGCAGUGGGGAGACAUCUUCACUGUGGGUCCAUUACCUCGAAUUGUUGUUCCAGGGUUAAUGACGAGAAACAGUGGUGAAGGGCUGUCCCUGACUGAUGACCCUGCAGGUGUCCUAAUGGCACCAUCAGAGGGACGACGACAGGCAGCAGUGCCCGGCAGGUGGUCUCUUACCUGUGCUUGCUUCACCUCAGUCCAUCCCACACAGACCUAAGCUCUGAGCCCUGGUGUUUCCAGAUUGUGUUUUUAUGCUUUCCUCUUUUCGUGGUACAGUCAAUCUGCAUUUGCAGAUGCAGCAAAUCAUUUUAUACACAGGUGAUGUUUUAAAAAGUGACUUUGAGUCCAUGCCUGGAUUUCAACUACAGAGUCUGUUUUUAAUGUAGUGCGUUUUCUGCCUUACCCCUUUAGAACAGGGUUUUUGUAAGAUUUUCUGAGCCUUUAAAAAAUAUUACAUACUGUAGGAUGAAAUGACCAGAAUUUUUACAAUUUAAUUUUAUGAAACCUUGUUCGUAAUAUGUUAAUUUAUUUUAAAAUUACUUAGUCUUUCAGGGAUGCUGCUUAUAUACAGUAUUUUCCAUGAUCUGUGUUGCUGCUAUGACAACUUAAAUGAAACAUGUAGCUAACAUCAGAUCUUAAAUACCUGUAAUUUAGAUUUCCAGUUUUAACAUUUUAUGAGCUAUACUUGGAAUGUUUUGUGAAAAAUCACAUUAUGUUGUAGUUGAAUUUACACAGCAUCCUAUGAUUAGUUAAUGCAAUUGUGUGACUGAAAGGCACAUACAUAUGCUAGCAUCAUUGGGCUAGGAGCAAACGACAUAGAAAUAGAUGCAGUAAAUCUAAAAAUGUGAGUUGACUAUAUUUCUUCAGUUGAACAAACUUUGUUGUAGGAAAAAGUGAGCAUACAAUAGGUUGACUUUUGCUAAACGUACUGAAAAAAUUUAGUAUCUGCAAAGCAGAGAAACUCAACUGUAUUUGCAAUGUUAAAAAUGAAAAUGUCUGAACUAAAGUUUAAUGAUAAGGGAUGUGGAUGUAUAGUUUAGAAAACAUCUUCACACUUGCUACUCUGCACCAGAAUGACUAUUGGGUUAAAUGAGCAGCUCUUUUUAUUGUCGGCUCAAAAUGUAGGUUAUUGAAUGCCUGAACCAGUCAUCUAUUAUGGUAUAAUGCUCUUCUGUCCUGAUGUAAACAAACACAGAUGAAUUUUGAACUAGAAAACAGAAAUGGAGUUGUGCUGUCUCAUUAUCUCAACUGGAACAACUCCCAGUUAGAUAUGAGGAUAUCAGGGAAGAAACCUGUGAUUCUAGCUUUGCUAACGAUACCUACACUCAGCAAACCAGUUCGGCAUUGUUCACCUGCAGACUGUUAUCUUGUGUUUAGUUUUGUUGAAUUUUGCUUUAUUUUGACUUCAUUUGAAGUUCUUUGUACCUUCAGGCUGGUAGUUUAACUGAAAUUUGAAUUUCUCUUUGAACCAUUAAGAAAUUAGUCCUGAAGAACAAUACUUGGGAUUUUCAAUUCAGAGUAGUUUGUAGUCAUUUUAGGAUUACCAUUCCCCCUGUCUGAAUAAUACAGUUUGUAUAACUACUGCAGUUGUUUUUGUUGACAGUCACUUAUCUACAUCACUGCCAUGACGGAGUCCAUGUUUGAUGCAGGCACAUCAUAUAUUAUUGAAUCACAUUGUAAUGUACUGUGGUAACUGCAUAAAGAAAAGGGGUAGACUGUAUUGUACCCAUUCAUCAGCUCCAUUAAAACAAAUCAGGAUGUGUUGCUUUGUUUCCAUGUGUCAAGAUGUAAAUCAAAGUGGUCUCAGUGGGUGGCAAACACACUGUUAGCAGACAAAUAUACCAUGAAAGCUGAUUACAUAAUCAUAAUUUACAACCACAACAAAUCUUCUGUCAGCAUCUAUUUUGUAUUAUUGUUCUCCAUGUCUGCUUUACUGUAUUUCCCUGCUGUCAGAACUCUGGAGGAGCUAAUGAUGCUGUGUAAUGUAAUAAGAAAGAUUUCUAACUCCCUCCUGUUUUAAAGACAUGCUGAUGAUCACAAAUCCACACUGACCUUGUUCAAUGUCAGACUUUGUGCGCAGACUGUCUAAAAUCUGCUCUCAUUCAUUAGGUGCAGAUUAAUCCAAUUCUGCACAUUGUUAAGCAAAGUGAGGAUGAAAAUAAAUGAGUGGAUGAAGGGUGGGAAUGAAUAAAGCUAAAUCUGCAGCUGAGGGGCACUUAAAAAACAAAAUCUCACAAAAUAAAGAUAGUUGAGAGGCACGUGCGCUGUAGCUGAUUAUCUUUGGUUUUCCUCAGUGUGUAAUAGCAGCUCUAGUUUUAUCAAUUAUGUGUCAUUUGUUCCUGUAUAACAGCUUCAGCCCCGAAGAUUCAACUCAGUACUGAGUCACAAAGAAAGGAAAACUAGACUGUACUGGUUAUCCUCACAAACUGGGGAUUCGAAAAAUUAGAGAGACAGGGGAGAAAACUUUACCUUUAACCUUUAACUCUGUUUACAUUUUAUCUUAACAAUUCCUUUCUUCCGGGUGCCUUAAAAGACGGUCUCACGAGUGCCAGUCUACGUGAACGAGAACAGAGACAGAGGAAAAAAACAAGGCAGACUGUACGGAAAGUAGGCAGAAACGAUCUAAAGCAUGGCUUAAUUUUACUGAGAAAGACGACAACAGCGCGACAUGCAAUGUUUGUCGAGCAGUGAUAACAUGCAAAGGUGGAAACAUCAGCAACAUGCUUAAACAUUUGUCAAUGGGGAACGGCAUCAAAUAUAAGGAGUCACAUGUAUUCCAUGCUCUCCGCUGGUCGUCAGCUGCUGCCGCUCCAUCUGAGCAGGGCUUGGACGGUGUAUGUCCCGUGUUAACACAAGCAAAAUGCAUUCCAGACCAAACAACAUAUUAUGUAUCUGACUUAAUACUUGCUGCACAAAUAGUUUGUUGUUUGAUUAUUUUUAGACUCUCACUGAAGAUGGCAUACAUCUUUUUCCUGUUAUCAGAGACUGAAAAAAAUGUUGAGUUAAUGGUGAAAACCUAUAGUCUACUUUUUUUUAAAUCAAAGAAAGACAUUGACAAGGGAAUUGUUAAAGAAUUGAAUAGAUAAGCAGAACUGCAUCAAUAUCAAUAAAAUCUUAUCUAUUCCCAUCCCUAGUUGCUUUUGAAUUAGAUUUGGAAACUCAACAAACCAGGUAGGGGACUCACUUGACUCAAAUUAGGAAUCAUCGACUUCUGUGUGUGUUAGUGCUCCUGCUCCCACUGUGGGUCAUGUGAAGUAUUCCUGUACUCUUAUCUCCAUGUCCCAGUGAAUUAAAUGCCCCUGUAUUCCUCCUCUUAUCAGGUUUUGAGACUUUUGCCGUGCAUGGUUAAUGUUACCUCUCUCACCGCGAUUGCAGCAUUUUUGAGUGGACUCAGUCCAGCUGUGAGGCAAAGACAGGACCAACACGGUGCAUUGUCUGUUUAUAUCAGUAAAUAGCAAAAAACACCUGAAACAUCUGGGAGAAAUCCUCUAAUGCAGACUGUACAGGCGUUACAUUGCUGCCACUGGUGUUUUCUGGCAUUUCUGUAAUGAUGAUCUCCCCUCCCAGACUGGCAUUUUUCUGAUGUUCGUAUUAGUUUUUGAGUGCUUAGAGAAAACGGUAAAAGCUGGUUGCACCUUUUGAUUUUACACAUUGAGGAUAAACUUUCCAGUGGUCUACAGGUCACACACGGUCUCAACUGUAUAUGGUUGUCUAAACGGAUCAGAGGCCAGCUGUAGUGAAUGUGACCAAUCAAUCUGUUGAUGAUUAUAUUAAUUUUCAUUUUAUUUUAAAAAGACUCAACAGAAACGUCAUAGCUUUUCUUAACCUAAAGGGGUCAUAUUUUAGCCUUGGUAUCAACAGUGUGCUAAAUAAUUCAAAAUAUAUCACUUUAGCUGAAAUCAAAGGGCAGUCAGGGAAGACUCUGUUUCAGGGGGAAACUGAUCAUUUAUAUCUCUGUAAUGUUAGCCCCUCAUAUAAAAUAUGUAUAUUGUAAUUAGCUUCUUUCUGCUGAUAAUAAGACAAACAGGGGAAAGAACCAGAGUAACUGGAUAGAUCAGAAACAAAGAAAAAUAAUUGGAGAAAAAACAGAAAAAAGUGACCUUUGAAAUGCUGUGAAAUGAGAGAAUAUCGUUUUGUAGUAUUAAGUUAAUGUGCUAUCACAAUAACCUUGAAGCUGCCUUCUAUAGUAGCUUGGCAGCAGACUUCACACAUUUCUGUAGUCUUAAUUGAAUUUAAUAGAUGAGCACACAGAGAUAUUGUGUAUAGUGUUUAUCAAUUAUAUAUAAUUUGUUCCAAAGAAACACGCGCGUUCAUCGGUGCAGAAUAGAAAUGAAAAUGAGGUAAAAGCCUGACUCGCCUCUGUUCUGGGAGGAGCAGCCUGUUUUAUUUUGAGCUGAGUGAACUAAACUAACUGAGUUUGAGCUUUAAAGAGUAUGAAGGGAAAAUGCUGUUUUUAAGAUUAACAGUUUUAUGAUAAUUGAUUAUAAACACUUUUAUUUGUGAUCAGGAAACUCAAUUACACUUAAACCUUUUUGAAGAGAGCAAAGCUGACAUCUUUCACCACAACUACUGGGUGUGAUGUUGAGUGGAAGUGGGGAGAUAGGUUUAUCAACCUUUGUUGAUGUUUUAAAACCAAAGCAUGUUGUAGAAAAACCAAAUGUGUGUAAACCAGGUAAGGACUGUUUACGUCACAUCAAAAUGUAACAUUAAGGAUGAUAGUAAAAGUGCAGCAAAAGUGCAUACUGAAACUGCAUUCAUCAACUUUUUCAUCACUUGUUUUUAUAUCUGUAGAACAGCAUCAGUGUACAGUUUCUCUAAAAGUAAAAUACUUGAAACGACUGUCUCACUGCAUUAAAGAGAUACACUUAUGCUUAUUAAUUCAUUUAGCCCACUCCUUUGACAAAUCCCCUCCUUUGUGAAAUGGGUAAAAUGCAAAUACAAAGAUGUUUUUAUUUAUAUCUGCAGUAACACAGCAUCCGAAAACAAACACAAAAGCACAACAGCCACACUAAAAAAAAACAUAGAGUGGUGGGCAAUUAUUCAACAAUUUAAAGAUAUUAUUCUUCAUGACAACAAAAAAAAAAAACAACGGUAGCAGUACUGGUACAGAUUUUUAUAGCAUAUACCUUCAAGUCACAUCCAGGUAUGAGCUCCACAGGAAAAUAAACCUUUUAACUCUGGCCCAUCUGCCUCUCUGUGUUUAAAAGUUGAAAUAAGCUCAUACAACAGACUAACACUUUGUUUCCCUUUUUUACAAAUGCAUCUUUUCAACUUGAAUCAAAUCAGAAAAGAUGCCCCACAGCAGCACAGGAACUGACUGAUAUACGCUUCCAUGCCUCCCUUCACCUAAGUGCAUGAUGUUUACAUUCUAUACUGUAUUAAUUUAUAAGUGAGAGCCAUUUCAUGCUACACAUGGCAUUGUUUAUGUAUAAGGCUGUGGAGCCACUUGUAAGAACUGUUUGUGUUUCCCCGGAGUGAAGGUAAUUACCAGAGUUGGGGGCGUUGUGAGCUUUCUUCUCCUCUACUUCCAUAUUUGAUAUGCUCCCAUAUAUGAUUUACAGCACAUGAGAAAAUACAGUGUGUUUGAAUGGCAUACAGUAUAGGCUAUGGCUUUGUGUCUCAGAAGGAUAGUGUGGGCUGAUCUGAAGCAGGAUUUUUCCAAGAGUAUGAAUAUUUUUUUUUAGCUCAGAAUGAUAACAUCUAAUUACACAAGUCAGUGGGAAGGUCUCCUUGUCUGAUUUGUCUAGAUGUCUUUAUGCCAGAGCCUGUUCUUCAAAACUAACAAGGCUGUUUCCCUUUCUUCAAUAAUACCAGUAAUGAUAGGUGCGCAGUCUGCAUGUGCCUCUGAUAUGUUUUCCUGUGCCUGUUUUAAUGGUCAGAUUUUCUAUCAUACAGGAGUAUGUCUUUCUAUAUGGGCCAAAGUGCAGACGGAAGGUUAUUGAGGGGGCAGAGUAUCAGAGAGUGGAACAAAAACUACCUCAAAUGUCAGAAUAAGCAGCGGUAUCCAUACCAUGAGGUCCGCUGUCUUUCUCUCCAAGUCAAUAACAUUGUCACUGCAUUGAAGAAAAAUCAAUGAGUGUAAGGCAUGAUGGUAUUGUGAAUUCCAGACACAUCAAACUCCACCUUAGAAAUGUCUCCUGAUGAUACAGGACAGCUGCUUUGGGAAAAUUACACAUCACCCAGCAGCCAAAGAGUGAAGGAUACAAAGGAAAUAAGUCAAGGUGAGAUCGACCUUUUUAACACCAUCAUGUGUCAAAGACAUGCCCCUCCAAUUCCUUCUGUCGUGAGACGCACGCACACAGAACAUGAGAGGAGCGAAUGGAUGAAAAGAGAAAGUAAACAUACCAAGAAAUCUCUGUGCUUUCUCUAGUCAUGUCAAUAUGAGGCUAAGUGACUGUUCAAUAUUCUCCACCGACCACCGAAAUGAUGAGAGAGGGGUGAUGUAAGAGUUACAACUGCUGCAGUGUACUAGAGUGAGAGUUGGCGCAGAGAGGAACGAAGGGAGGAGUGGAAAAAAGAAAGAGAGGAAAGAAACUGACAGGGAGAUUCAGAGACAAAGAGUACAGAAAAUAUUAAGUAGAAGCCUUGGAGGAGAUUGUUUACAUGGCUGUUAUGCUUUAAUUUGCCUGUAAUGCACUCCCAUCUACCGCCUGAUCAAUUAUUUACACAUUUUUUUCCCUUUUAAACUGAAGUCGUGCUAUUUAGAGCGAUGAAAAAAACAAAAACAUUAAUUGCCUGUGGUUUGAUUCAAGCUCUUCAGUCGGCUUUCUGGUGUAUUCAGGCUUAGUAGACAUGCUCUGCCCACACUGGUAGUGUCAAUGAUCAGAUCACAAUCUACAGUCAAUGGCUUUUCCCUGUACCUUAUAGCUACUGGUUCUCAGGGGAAAACUCCCCCACACUUAUCCAGCUCCAGCGGGGUGGGAAGAUGUGUGUUGUGUUAGAGUGGCUGAGGUGACCAUUUGAUAAAGUGGCGCUCUCAUACAAAACUCGUUAACAGAUGCUGUUGUGUAGGAGGACAUAGGGAGUGUAUUCUAAAUGCUGAGCUUUGUAGGAGACAGUGACACAAUGGUGCGAGCUCUAAUUCAGUCUUUUCACCACAUAGCAAAAGAAGAGAUUUUCCAUUUAUUUUAGUUUGAGUGGAUGAAAUAGGUUCAGGGCUAUGGAAGGAAAUUUUCGAACACUUAAGGCAGUCAGGCUGCAACAAAACAGUUUUUAGGACGGCCUUUAUUUGGAAUUGAUAACAAAGAACAAGUUUGACAGCAGUGGGGAUCAUCACCCCCUUUGCUGCUAUCUCAGUUUGCCUCUUAUUUGUGCCAUAGCUUACCAGUUGUUGAAGAUAUUUCUGAAACCACUUCUCAGGAGUGUGAAAAAGUAAGACUAAAUCACAAUGAAAUCUAACUCCGGACAGAAUAAAGCCUACAGGGAAAAGGGGCAAAAGAAAAAGAAGAAAAAAAUCAAAAAUGCCACAAUAAAUGUAGAGUGUUUGCGCUAUACUCAGAGAAAUGUAGUGUAGAGGCUACUACAGGUCAGAGUGAUACCUCCUCAGGGACCCAUAAAGAGAUUUGUCAAGUCCCUGUGUCUCGAUGUCAAGUGGGUGUUUAAACGGAUUGAACACGCUCCCUGACCUGCGAUACUUGUCUUGUCAACCUAACUCAAUAAAGCCACAACAAUCGGAUUGAGUCAAGUGAGUUUGACUGAUUUCUGUGGUAAAGGUUUGUACUUGUAACCGUUCAGCUGGAGUGGGUCUGAGCUCACUGAGGGGAAAUUGUCAUCAAUGUAGAUCCAUUGACCCCUUCACUUGUCUCCGCAGGCUUACUUUGCAUUUAGACUCAUCGCGAUCCUAAUCAGGAUUAGUGUAAUAUAAAGAUUAAUUGAAGGAUAAUUCUGUUUUUUCUGCAGUAUCAGAGAUCCUUGUGGCCCGGGAUUUGUUAGGCUACUAGAGCUUGUAUUUAUCAAACAUCUCACAAUUACUCUGAGGCAUUAUGCUUAUAGUUUGUCUUUGACCAGAAAAUAGUCAAAGCUUAGAUAAACAUGAGAGAUAAUAUAAAUCCUUCUUCAGGCACAUUAGAGGAGGAGUAAAACUUGAAUGAGACAAUUUGUUCAAAGCGAAUAUAAAAUCAGGAUGUAAUACAUUUUAUUAUUGCUUUAAAUGGAAAUUUAAACAGAAUAAUGUGGAUACAGCGCUCCAGUAUGCCUCAACUUCUUGAAUAGGCUUGGAGAUUACAGUUUUUAUUGCUCAGCAGCAUGUAGAAUAAUAUCUUUAGGUGGAGCAGGCACAUGGGAGCGAGUCCAGAUGAGCGUGGACCCAUGCAAGGACGAGUUAAGUAACCAUUAAAGCCUUUUCACAUGCUCACAAACCUUAAUUGUGUAAAAGCAUAAUCACAGUUUGGCUAUUUUUAUUGCUCUCACUCAGGCGCACAUUUUUCUUCUUCCAUGUUCACCUCUAAACCAUAGAGCAGAGUGGAUUAGAGUAAAGCAUGAAUGACUUAGUUAUGCUGUAUGAAGGUAGACACUUUCUGUCCCAGGAAAGGACCUGUUAUAUUUUAUCCCACUUUUGUUUUUUUUUCAAUGAGGACAGCUGAAUAGAGGUUGGAGAUUUAUUGAAUGGCUGCUAUAGCCUCUAUGCAGGAAGCAGGAUUAUAUGAGCUCAACUGGUGCCUCAAAAACCAUGUGAUUGAAACAGUGUUCUGUUCGAGUCACCAAAGCUCGAGUCCGAGUCGAGUCUCAAGUCCUCAGUGGGCAAGUCUGAGUCGCAUCUGAGUUGCCCAAAAAAAAAAUCGGAGUCUUAAUCCAAGACGAGUCUGAGUUGGGUCCUCCUCCUCUGAGUUGAGUCACACUCCAUCCAAUUCACGAGGAUAUUAUUUAUUCUGAAUGCAGCCGCAGUUGACAUUUAUUCAUGUAAUAUUCCAUCCAUCCAUUUUCUACUGCUUACUCCCGUUCCCAGGGUCAAGGAGCCUAUCCCAGCAUCUUUGGGCAAAGGCAGGGGACACCCUGGACAAGUCACCAGUUCAUCGCAGGGCUGACAUAUAGAGAUGAACAACCAUUCACGCUCACAUUUACACCUAUGGGCAAUUUGGAAGUGGCCAAUUAGCCUGACCCCACUUCAGCAUGUUUUUGGGAUGUGGGAGGAAACAAGAGUACCCGGAGUAAACACACACAGACACAGGAAGAACAUACAAACUCCAAACAGGAAUGCCCUGACCCAGAUUCGAACCCAGGACCUUCUUGCUGUGAGGCGACAGUGCUAACCACUACACCACUGUGCCGCCUCAUGUAAUAUUGCUGAACGUAUCUGUUUAUGGAUGCAAGUUUGUCAAGUUGAAAAUAUAUCACAUGACUUAUCCAAACACCUUGGAGCCGUUGUUUGAAUACCUUCAGAGGCUAAUGCUGGUGUUAUUCAGCAGCUAGCUCACGAGAAUGUUAUAAGCAGUCAGAGUAACAUUAGCAUCGCCAUUUACUCACUUCUUUAGGUGCAUCCUGGACAGAUGUCUGUUAAAGUUCAGCGUUGUCCUCGUUUUCUCUUCAAUGUUUUACUUUUUUUUACACAAUGAACAUGUUGCUCUACAUUUAAAUUUGUGGUAAAAUCUUUGAAAGCAAACCGUACAACCCGUGGCGCCUCCUUUGACAUCUUGCCGCACACUGUUGCUGAAUGAGAUGGCAUGUGAAUGCGAAUGCAGGUAAACAAACACAUAUGCCUGCUGUAGGCUGAAGAACGAUCUGUUAUUGGGACCCUAUAACAGAAAUAUUAAAAAAUAAAACAAUAACAAAUAACAAAGCAUUCAUUGAUAAAUAAGCUUGAGUCCUCCUCCGAGUCCCAAUGCAGCCAGAGCUUAAGUCCAAGUCGUCAGCGCACAAGUCCGAGUUGAGUCACAAGUCUUGAGUAUCUGGACUUGUCCUGGACUCCAGUACUACAACACUGGUUUUAAAAAAUGAAUAUUUGUAAUAGUUUCAACAGCCUGAAACUGAAUCUGUUUCAAACUGUUUAUCAUUUAUAUUUGGAUAUCGGGACUCUAACUCUUUAUUGUAGAUGACCAUUAUGGUCAUUAAACCACUAGGUAACCCCCUUAAAGAAAAAACAAAAAACCGUUCUGAUCACUUGUUUUUGAAGUGCUCACACAACAGUGUUUAGAAAGAAUCUUUUAAUUUCUCAUUCCUGUCAUUACUGACACCUGCAGUAUCUGCUGAAAUUAAUAAUGUGUGGAUGACUAUGCUGUAAACAAAUCUCCACAUUUAUAUAAAAAAAUGUCUUUAAUCCCUAGUUUAUUAAACCUCUGCUUCUUGUUUGACGUGCUUAAUCAAUUUUUUGCCUUUUUUUCACUUUUCCUGCAGCCUUUGUCGAAUAAUAAAACCAUGUUUGACUAAGGCAAUACUGCAAACUUAUAAAGGAGCUUUGUAUGAAAUGUUAUUACCUCCAUCAACAGGUUGCUAAUUGUAUUUAGCUCCUUGCGAUGUCAAUAUGGUUUUGCACACUUUAUUGAAAGAGUGUUAGACACAACACUGAUACUGUUUUAAACACUGUGAUACAGUAGCUGCUGUUCUUAGCAGAGAGACACAGAUGAUAUGCCAGCUGUAAGUGACUUUAGACCACAUUAACAGUAUUUGCCAAAAAAGGAUCAACCUACUGCCAAUCUUGAAGAAAUAAUAUGACUCAUCCUAGAUAUUUGAACCACCUUAAUCCUGUAAAGACCCUGGAUCAAGCAAGUCUCAUGGCUAGACCUGCUGGAGCAACAACUCUCUAACCUCGAGAAAACAAACACAGAAGGCUAGGUCAAGAUCCAUCCGAUCUAAAUAAACAUCUGCAAGCAAGUUAACACAACAGAUUCCUAUUAAAGGUCAAGUGUUUGAAUCUGAAACGGAAACAUGACCAGGCUGUGAUCCAACAUCUCAGGCUCUGCCAGAGCAUCGGCAGCCAUGCUCUGAACAAAUAGAAAUGUCAGACAAACACAUCCCCACAGGAGGCUCUUUUCAUCAGUGCACAUGCAAAAGAAAUGGUGAACCUACCUACCAGCCAUCAGGGAUGAAAGUAAAGGAGACAGGUACAGUAAAGAGAAAAGAGCCAGAGCAAACAGAUAGAUGGAAAUGGAAGGAGGGGGUGUGACAGUAUGUGCCUAUAUAAUCCCGGACUUAUUAAACUCUGGGAUGUGCAGCUGGGUUUUUAUGUUAAUAAUGUGCACCAGCACAUGGUUAGCACAGGCAUCAUGGGUGCUCUGUCCAUUAAAAGAGGUCAUUUACUAUAGCAGCAGGACUUUACACAACCUGAGAUGAAACGAUUUUAUCCAUAGCAUCAGUCUUUGAUGCUUCACAGAGAACACAUUUGACUCUGUAUGUUGUAUGGAGGCUACAGCACAUCAGUAUUAAGGGGACAAAUGAAUGCAGUACCACUUUAGUAUACAGCAUGUAAACUCUAAAUCAAGACCCACGCCUUUUCAGUUCAUUUCCGACUCUUAUUUUUCCAGUGGUCUUGUCUCAAUACCACUCACUAAAAAAGUGUUUUCUGAACAUAUCGUGUCGCUCUUACUGUCCAUAAGGACAGACGCCCACAGCCACUGAGUACAUCCUGGUUCACUGAGUCUUUCACUUCAUCACAAUCUUUGUCUCAUCAAAUCACAUCAUAGUUAUUUCCCCAAUGAUGUAGCAAUUUGUCAUUGUAGUUUCAGUUGACUGCAUUGUAAAUGCCCUAAAUCCACCUUAUGUUUACCCUCGCAUUGUGAUUAAUUUAGCACACGAAAAGGGCAUGAGUUUUCUUAAAGCACUGAUCUGGAUAUCAUGAUGAACACUGUUGAUUUAUGACUAUUAUUGUAACGGCAAAUUCAAAAGAAUGGUCCCUCGUGUAUGCACACUCUGGGGAGUUUAAACAAUUGUGAAUGUUAUUCCGUGUCUCUGUUAUCUUUGCGUGCCACUGCCUUUGAACCUGAGUAAGCAGUAAAAGCUGAAGAAAAACUCUGUACCUUUAACUGCGAGCUUGCAGGAGUCGCUAAGCGCCUUAUGCAUAAAGCAGAGUGUUGUUUAAGAGUUUACUUUGAUCUCCAGCAGUGUCAUAGACUCACACACACUCACACACACACGCAACAUGCACACAAACAAAAAUGAUAAUGAAUAACAAACUGCAAAAUUUGCCAUGAACCCUAACACUUUGAAGUGGGUGUAUCAAAACAAUGCAACCAUACAUGAGUGUUUGUUUCAGCUCCUUAAUAGAAACGACUGUUUACUCUUUAGUGUCGGAAAUGCUAUUCUUUAAGCAAAAAGCUUAACAAAACUUUAAGAAAGGAACCAGAAAACUGAGUGAUUCUAGUAAAAAUCUGAGACUAACAAUUCCUUUUCAUCUCUCUCUAGACCUUAACUUUAUUCUGUGAAAGAAUCUAGCCACUUCUCAGUCAGAAUCAGGGACACCGAUAUUGUCAAGUAGCUUCAGUGUGGCAGAAAAAGUUAUUUACUAGGACUUAGACAUCAGGAUGUUCUGAUGCUGGACAGAAAUGUUUUAUUUGACCUGCCAGUAGACUGCAGACUAAUUCAUCUGGAUUGCAGGUGAACCUCUUUAUAUAUCUAAUACUUUGUGCUUAAUUGUGCUUUGGCCCAUUGGUCAGCUAACCACUAGCCCAGUGAGAGCAAUUACAGCCCGCUCUCAUGCAGCUGAAAGUGUGCAUUAGGACUCAAUCUGACUACCCAGAAUUCAUUGUGGUUCAGGUACAGCCCUUGCAUGUCUACAAAGUUGGUCUGUAGUUUUUUUUUGCUGAUCUUUGCCUGAUCAGGUGUCGCCUGAUGUCAGCAGAGAUUUGUCUGCUUUUUGUAGGCAGUGACAGUCUCAGUCUCUUUGUGGGACUCUGUUUUUUUUCUUUGUUUUGACUUUGUUUUUUCCUGUGUGUGAUUUCUCUCUAGUCCAGGCUGUACUUAAGCAAAUGAUGCACAUUUUUCAUUGAUUUCAUGCAAAUACUCCUCAAAAUCUCACCUCUGGGAAUGUAAUAUAUUCACAAACGCAAAGGCAGAAGUUUUCUUUGUGACUCUAACAUUGAACUAACCUUUAUUUUCAAUUAGUUCUGUCAGGUUCUGUCAGACACGAAGGUAAAGUAGCAAAGAGAAGUAAUUGUUCACUCAGUGACUGACUCACUGACUGAUGCACAUUUAUGACAGUUUCAAAGCGACCCAAUGAUCUGUGGUCAGAUACUCAAAGAGAGGAGAAUUGGACUGACAGUUGCAGGCAUAAACAGAAGGGCAGCUCAUAGGUAGACAGGAGAGUUUGCGUGCUAAUCUUGAUUCAUUAAAAGUUAAGACAUUUAAAAGACUUUGUAGACUUUAAAUAAUUCAACUCUUUUCUUUUUUUUUUUGAUUUACCUUUAAAAACACUCUGAGCUGAUAUCCUACUUUCACAGAGGAACUCAAAGACUUGUCUUUUUCUCCCACAGCAGCUCUGACACCUAGAGUGCAGAGGCUAAGAGGAGAAGAGAGUUCAAAUGAGGGACACAUACUUCAUAAACUUCAAUCAUAAAAACAUGUGCACAGUCAAAAUCAAUAUUUUGAUGAUUUGUUUGUUUAAUCUGUGCCGCCAGCCCUACAAUGGUAUCUGAUGAUUUAACAAAGACUCACUGUCUUCUUUGCAUGUGCAGCAGAUGUGGAAAAUGGAAGUCAACUCUGUGGUUCUGUUAGUGGUCUGUGUGUUCCCACAGUGUUGACAAGCACCCAAACAACUGUCUUGAAGUCCAACUCAAUAAAUUGAGCGUUUGCUGGAGUAUUUGUGAAGGCACAAGUGUAACAUGCAUUUUGAAAUUCUGCAAAUUUGUGAUGCAGAGAGUCUGUUUUCAUGCAGUUGAAAAAGAAAAUUCUAUUUAUUGCUUCAGUCUAAGUAAAAUUGGAUUUUUAAAAAUCCUGUGAACACACAUUUCUGACUGAAAUCACAUUAAAUGGAACUUAAAGAACUUAAUUUUUCAAAGUCAAACUAAAACUGGCCAAAGCAUUCUGCGCAUACUCCAGAGUUUGCAUGCUGGGCCCUGAGCUGCAAGUUCAAUAGCAUGGAUGCGUUGCUAGGAAGCUUGGCAGUAAACAAACCCCCAGCAGACAAAGAAAUGAUUUGAAAUACAGAAUUUUUCUGUCGUGCGAACAAACGGUACAAAGCUGCAUAAGUAACAGCGUUUUCAUUGUUUACGUUCACCCAAUUAGCCUCUUGCUAAUGUGUUGCCUGCUGCUUUGAUCUAAACUCGGUGAUCAACUCAUCAGGGCUCACAAGCGGCUGCUAGAGGAGAGUGGGUGAAUUAUGUUUGGUCUCUUUGCUAAAGAAACCAGGCAAAGCUAAAAAGAUGUUUGAUAGCUAGUACUAUGUGCUGGGACUCUUUAUGUACUGUUGAUGAAGUUCGGUGCUGUUCUUAACAUUAUUUGUGGCUACAAGUGGCUUUUUGGUUGAGGUUUGUGUGUGAAGAUGUAGACCGCUGUGUAUUGCUAUCGUGUGGUCGUUCCUAAAGUUGGUAAAACUAGAGAAGCAAGCAGUCGGCAACAUUCAUCUCUCAAGGGGGUGUCUAACUGUGUUACAGUGUGUUUGACCAUAACUUAAAUUUAUGCCGGAAUAGCCCUUUAACUUUCUUUGUAAAUGUACUGACAGAUACAGACUGCAUUCACAGUGGUUAGUUCGGUGUGUUUGUGUUUCUGUGUUUGUUCAGAUGAGGGGCUUCAUGGAAGUGAUAUCAGAAAGACAGUCCCUGAAGAUCGAUCAUGAAUAACAAGGAGGUG